rnacentral:lncRNA from 1 species
UUUAGAAUCAAACCCAAAAGCAGCGUCGUUAAAAGAAACGUCAUCUAAAGUAAGGUAGGUUUCUUCGAAUGGGGAAAAAUAUGGAGGGCGUUGGAUUGAAGAUGGUGGAAGGAUUUUAAACUCUCUUGUUGAUGGGUUCCAAAUGGCAGCCUUAUCCUUUGAAGAAUCAAAUAAACACAAUAAUCCAUGACAUGCACCAUAAACAGAGGGGCUAUCAUCCUCAAAAAAGGGCAAGUGAAUGUUUUGUUUUACUAUAUAAUUUUGAUCUUUUUCAUUUGAAAGUUGAGAUAAAUAAGGUUGGAAGGUGUUACCAUCACAGCGACUAAGAAGUAGAUUAAGGUUGUUGUUUUCAAGGUUGUUGUGAUAAUUAUUGGAAAUGAAAUGAGGAGUUUGAAAAGAAGAACACCAAUACUUACAAACACAGUUGAAACGAGUAAGGGAUUUAACUGGAAGCUUUGAUAGAAUUUCCAUAACCAAAGCUUCUGGCAAUUCAAAUCUUGGCCUCUGCAUCUUCCUCUUUUGAUUUUCUUUGUAAUUGACUAAGAGGAAUAAAUAAGCAAGCAAAAUGGGAGUUGGUAGGUGUCAUCUAUGGUCCAAACCUUAACCAUGAAGCAAACAUAAAAGGUAAGCAUUUGAUACAUUAUAGUAAUUAAAUGCAAUUUAUGAUGCAAAGUGAGAAAAUGAAUAAAAAUCAACAAAGGAUGCAAUCAAGGGAGUUUGAAUAUAAGACCUUACCUUGCUUGACACUUUAACCAUUAAGGCUUGUAAUCUAUUCUUAUCAACAAUUAAUUUCUAAUGUAUUCUAAGUUCGCUUACUCUAUUCUUAUUAUUCUUUUAAAAAAUUUAAAUUUCUUCUACCCCUAAUUUUGGGAUGUGACAAGGCAACUCAAGCUGUUUUGACGGAGUAUAAAAUGUAAGUUUAGCAAUUACGGUUAUCCACAAUUGAAUUGAAUUCUUUUUAUUUAAUAUAUAAUUUAUUUUAAUUUUUUAUUAUAUAUAUUUAAAAUAAUGAAAAUAAUUUAAAAGUUUUUAUAAAAUCAUAAUUUUUUAGAACUAUUUAUGGAAAGGGCUUUCUACAUAAAUUUACAUAAAUAUUUAUGGUGAGGAUUGAAACUCAAUCAAUAAAAAAAAGAAGAAGAGAAAAUCGAAAAUUGGAAGAAUAAAGUAAAUAAAAACCCAAACUUUUGAAAGUAAAUAUAUUUUUUUUUGAAAGGGAAAAGAUUUGAUAUUUUUUGUUCAAUUGCUUGAAUCUGGUUGGAUAGUUUCUAUUUUCGUUUUAUUAAAUUUCCUUUUUCUCUGUUUGAAGACGACUUUAAAGGAAAAAGUAACAUGCGAAGGAAUUGCGUUGGACUUUGCAAAGAUAAAACACACAUUAAAAAUAUGUAUUAUUAGUUCUGUUGGACUUAAAGAUUUUGGGUUAUAACAGUAGUAGAAAUUAUAUAAAGAAAGAUAUUGAAUGUUAUGGGAUUGGGUUUGGGUUAUUUUAAAUCUAUAUUCAGAUUAAUGUUAUUUCAAAAUCGAAUCAUUUUAAGUUUAAAUCAUUUAAAUUUGUUGAUCGAACUUUAUAAACAUAAAAGAACAUAUUAAAAAUAUGUAAUAUUAAUUGGAUUAUUUUAAACUAUGGCAUAAAUACUUGAGUUUCAAAAUAAGCACUAACUCAAUAAAACGCAUAUGAUAAUUUAGAGUACUGUAAUAAAACACAUAUUGAUAAUUCAGAUAUUAUAUUAAACAUUUUAAACAUAUACGAGACAAUUGUGGUAAAGUUAGCUAUGGAAAUUCUAUGGUAUCGGAUCCACUACUGUACAGACCAUAAAAUAAGUUGGAACAAUUUUGGGGAGUUCCAAAGGUAUGGGAUGGCCUCGGUCUUCCAUAAUAGAUAAACAUCUCCCCGAGUAGUAGAACUCUAGUUCUUCUGUGUUUAUUGCAUGAAAUUUGUGGAGAUGCUCCUAUAAGUUGGAAAACUAUGUCCGCAACUUAUCGGACCGUAUAGGUGGAUCCACGUGUGUCCCAUAGCUGAAUCCCAAAAUUCAUUAAAACAAAUAAGAGACAAUAAAGUAUAUUAAACACAAAUAGGAAUGUGAAGGGAAAAUAAAAACAAUUUAUUCGAUAUACUUGAAUUUAAAUUUUUCCUAAGUUGUAUGGCCGAUUGGAAGUAUGACUGAGGAUGUUGUGCAAAGUCGGAACAUGUGCCAUGUUUCAUCCAUUCCUUGAACCAAAACUCAAUGUUUGACCCUGUCGAUGCCAAGUUUGGCCAUAGUGUGGGCAAUUGGUUCCAAAGAGCUACAUCGCUUAUCAACAAUUGCUUUUAAAUAAGAAACAAAAAAAAUGAUUAUAUUACAAAUAAAUUACUUAAUAGUUUCAAGCGAAGAAUGUACGUACGCGUACUUGGAGUGGUGGCCGGGUUAGAAUAGGUUGUGGAUGGGUGCAAGGCUUCCUUGCAUUGUACAGGGGCACCGACACGUCAUGAGCGUCUUGUGCCCAAAUUCCAUGUAUUUUGAAUCCAGUUGGGAUUGGGAGUUUACAGUUGAGAGUAGAGCUACAAACAGAGGGAGGCCACUAAAGUGCCAACUUAUAGAAGUCUACCACUGGAAUUACUGGCGGCUAGGGUACUGCAAAUGCUACCCAUAAUGAAAAAUGAUACAAUGCAUUUUUACAAAUUUACAAAUCAAAAGAGAACUACUCCAUACAUAGAUAUUACAUAUAUAGAAGGUUGGGCUGAGAUUGAAUGAUUGUGCUUUGCAAGCAACUGGUUUAUGAUCUCCUUUAUAAGCUUGGCACACAUAUUUCACAAAAUUUUCAAAGUCCUGCAACCAUGAAAUAAAUAUUGAAGUUACUUGUCACAAAUUUUACUUCACAGUCACACCAAGAGAGAGAAGUAAACAAACUCACUUGUCUGAGUGGCUGAUUAUUCACCACCACCCAUGGCACAUAUUCUUGAGGUGGCUUCAGAUUUGCUGUCUCGUUAGCAUAUUGCAGCAGAAAUUGCAUUUUAUUAAUUUGGAAAUUCAAUGUUAGAAAAAGCUAAGGAGAAGUGUUAAUUAAAUACUAAGACAUGCAGCCAACCUUAUAUCCAAAUCCAGUAGUAUAGCAUUUGUUGAUUAUCCCCUAAUUCAAUCUCAGCUUUUCACUACAAUUUUUCCACAGCGUUUCAACGGGCUCCCUUUAAGCUUUGUUGCUCUAUGCAGCCAAUGAAUUCCAAGUGUUCUUUCUGCACCACAAUAGAGUAAUGAAACACGAGUUGGAGACGAGUACAAAUACUUAUUGCUAAUAGAAGUUACCACAUCAGGCCAGAAAUGGAUGACACAAUUGUUAAAAGGUAAUGUAGAAAUUAUUUGUUACUGAUUGAAUAAGUUAGUCGUUGAGUCAGUCAAAGUCUGUUUUAAAAACAAACUUAGUCUUUGUUUAAUGCCAGUAGUGUUCCUUUUAUUUAGUAGAUUUAUCAAGAUACUAUUAGGUUCUAAUAUAUCUCUAAGUUGUUAGCUACUUUACAGUAUUUAAAGUACUCUUCAUGGAAUAAAAGAGUACGUCAUUGUUUUCAAUUUUUCUGAAUUCCUAUUGCUUUUGUUUAAGUCGUUUGUUCUAUUUUUUUACUUUUAUAUUUAGCAGCAGUUUUUUUUGUCAACAUCUGGUAUCAGAGCUACUCGAGGCUUGUGUUCAAGCUUAUGAUGGCAAGCAAUCAGAAUGGAGUGAACCUCUCACAGUCGCUGGUUCUAAUUUUUUAAGGCAGCAAUUAUGGGGUUUGGAGCACUAAGAUGAAGACUUUGUUUUUAUCCCAAGACCUAUGGGACUUGGUGGAAAAUGGUUAUGAUGAAUAGGACUCUCAAAGAUAUAAGAAAGAGGGAUGCUAAAGCUUUGUUUUUCAUCCAACAAGCUGUGGAUAAAUCAAUUUUCCUCGCAUUGAAGCGGUGACGCAUUCGAAAGAAGCAUGGGACACGCUGCGAACGACAUAUCAAGGUACUGCAAACGUGAUGACUGUCAAACUUCAAACUCUACGUAGGAAGUUUGAUAAUUUUAUUAUGGAAGAUGAUGAUGUUUUAGAUAAUUAUGUGUCAAAAGUAAUUGAUGUUGUGAAUCAAAUUUAAAAAUAUUGUGAAGAUUUAAGUGAGCAAAGGGUAGUUGAGAAGAUUCUUAGGAGUUUACCGAGAAAAUAAAAUCAUGUAGUUGCAGCUAUAGAAUAAUCAAAAGAUUUGAGUGUGUUAACAAUUGAUGAGUUGCAAAGCUCUCUUUAUUCUCAUGAUGAUAGGAUGAAAAGGUAUGAUAAUGCGUCUGUUGAGAAUGCCUUUUAUAGUAGGUAGCAAUACUCUCAUGGCGGAAAGAGCACCAGCGAAACAAACUUCAAUGACUGGCGUGGAGGAAAUUCAUCUCGUGAGAGAAGAAGAGGUAGGGUUGAUGGCUGAUUCAAUGGACAAAACCAACGGUAUAGAGAUGACGAUAAAGGAGAAAAUAGUAGUCCAAAACAAUGCUACUAUUGAAAAGGUUUGGGCAUAUUGAGAGGUUUUGCAAGCUUAAAGAGAAGCAGGCUAACCUAGCUUAUGAAGAUAGUGAAGAAGAUGAGACAGAGAGCCUGUUCGUUGCUUGCUUUAGUGCUAAGGAGUGUUCUUCUGAGGUCUGGUACAUAGAUAGUGGCUGUAGCAAUCAUAUGGCAAGUGAAUUAAGUACUCUUCAGCAAUUUAGAUAAGUCGGUAACUAGCUGAAUAACGCUUGGUGAUGGAACUAUUUGUGUAGCAAAGGGAAAAGGUACUGUGUAGAUGAAUUCCCUAGGUCUUAAUUGCAUUCGUAAUAUUUUGUAUGUUCUAGACUUAAAUUCUAAUUUGCUAAGUGUUGGGCAAUUUAUGGUGGAUGGGUAUUCACUUGUCUUUGAGGAAUUCAAUUGCUGCAUUUUUAAGGAUAAAUCAAAAAAGCACCUAUUAGCGAGUGUUCCAAUGAAAAAAAAAUUUCCUUAUAAUCUCGUAAUUGAUGAAAAGAUUGCAUUGAAGGUAGAAUCAUUUGAUGAAAAUUGGUUGUGGCAUCACAGAUAUGGGCACUUAAAUUUAGUUUAAAACUCAUGUCAGAAAAGAAUUUAGUUGAUGGUUUACCUCUAAUAAAAAAUGUUGGUGAUGUGUGUGAGAGCUGUAUAUUUGGGAAACAACAUCGAGAUUCAUUUCCAAAGGGCAAGGCAAGGAGAGUUUCCUAACUUGCUAAACUUAUUCAUGCUGAUCUUUGUAGGCCGAUGAGAACACUUUCUCUCAAUAACAACAGGUACUUUUUAGUCUUUGUUGAUGACUACAGUAGAAUGACAUGGGUGUACUUUGUCAAAGAAAAAUCAGAGGCUCUUUCAGUUUUUAAGAAGUUUAAGGUAAGUAUUGAGAAACAAAGUGGCCAGCCUAUAAAGACCUUGCGGACAGAUAGUGGUGGAGAAUUUCUCUCUACUGAAUUCAACAAAUUCUGUGAAGAAUCUGGCAUUCAACGCCAGCUAACAGCAAGCUACACUCCUCAACAAAACGGAGUCGCUGAGAGGAAGAAUCGGAGUCUUGUUGAGAUGGGAAAAUGCUUACUUAAAGUUAAAGAUCUUCCAAAAAGUUUCUGGGCAGAAGCAAUUCACACAGAAGUGUACAUCCUCAACCGAUCUCCAACAACAGCUCUAGAACAAAAAACACCAUUUGAAGCUUGGCAUGAGUGGAAACCUGAGGUAACUCAUAUGAGAAUUUUUGGUUGCAUUGCAUUUGGGCAUAUUCGACCUCAAAAGAGAGGAAAAUUAGAUGAUAAUAGCACUAAAUGUAUCUUUGUUGGGUAUAGCUCUAAAACUAAAGGAUAUCGAUUGUAUAAUCCUUUAUCUAAGAAGCUAUUAAUUAGUCGUGAUGUUGUUUUUGAUGAGAAAGACUCUUAGAAUUGGAAGGAAUUACAAGCAGGUUCAGAAGCAUUACUUGAAGAUGGUGAAUGUCUCGACACUCAUCCGAAUCAAGAAAAUAGAGAUGGAAGUUCUUGCUCAUCAGCACCAACUAGUCCUUCAGUAAUUCCAAAUACCACUUCAUCAAACUCUUCUUCAUCAAAAUCACCACCUAGGAAAUGGAGAUCGUUGGUAGAAAGUUGUAAUGGCCCAAAUUUGAGGUUAUCGGAACAGUGGUUUCGGGACCACAAAUCCGAUGAGAAAAAUUUUAUUUUUCUUAUAUUUUUAUGGUCUACAAUUUCACAAAAUGAUUUCGUGAAAAUUUCGUUCGAAAAUUUCGACGUUUGGGCACUCAAUUUAGUCAAAAGGACUAAAUUGUAAAAGUGCAAAAGUUGAGUUCUACAUGUUAGAGGUGUCCAAUUGUUAUGAAAAUUUAAAUUGGAGGUCCUUAUAUGGUAAUUAUACCAUUGGUAACCUGGUAGACAAAAAUGGACAUGAGAUAAGUGAAAUAGAAAAUUUUUAAGUUAGGGGCAAUUUGGUAAUCUAGUAAUUAAAAUGAAUUAAAAGGGAAAAAGAUGGCAAAAAUCAUCAUCUUCUUGAUAUGAACGAAAUCAGCAAGGAGGGAAGCCAUAGUUAGGGUUUUCAAGCUUCCAAGCUCCAUAGUAAGUGAUCCCAAACCCCGUUUUUAAUGUUCUUUACGUUUUUGAGAUCCCGGUAGCUUAAUUUAGCUUAUUCUAGCAAUAAUUUAACCUAGGGUUUAUAUUUGGAAAAAUACCCAUAGGUGAAAAGUGUUUAUUUUGAUGUUUUAUGAUAGAACAUGAAGCUAGAAAUUAUGUUAAACAACUUUUGCUAAGCGAUUUUAAGUGAAAACGAGUAAAACGACAUAAUCGGUAAAAAUACCUAAUGUUCAUAAGUACAUGUUAGAGUGGGAAUUUGAUGUUGCCAUAGAAGGGAAAAAUGUUCAUAAUGUUAUAAAACAUAAGAAUAAGAGAUGAAGNNNNNNNNNNNNNNNNNNNNNNNNNNNNNNNNNNNNNNNNNNNNNNNNNNNNNNNNNNNNNNNNNNNNNNNNNNNNNNNNNNNNNNNNNNNNNNNNNNNNNNNNNNNNNNNNNNNNNNNNNNNNNNNNNNNNNNNNNNNNNNNNNNNNNNNNNNNNNNNNNNNNNNNNNNNNNNNNNNNNNNNNNNNNNNNNNNNNNNNNNNNNNNNNNNNNNNNNNNNNNNNNNNNNNNNNNNNNNNNNNNNNNNNNNNNNNNNNNNNNNNNNNNNNNNNNNNNNNNNNNNNNNNNNNNNNNNNNNNNNNNNNNNNNNNNNNNNNNNNNNNNNNNNNNNNNNNNNNNNNNNNNNNNNNNUGCUAAUGAGUGAUGUGUAAGUAUUUGAUGAUGUAUGGUCAUUAAAAUGGUUAAGGAUGAAGGUGUUUGUUGUUAUGAAAGAUUAGGUGAUAAAUUAUGCAUGGAAAUCAUGAAAGGAUAAAAUUUUGCAAAGAAACAGAAUUCAGGCAGCACAGUGACGUGAAUUUGAAAAAUCACCCAAGAUAGUAUAAAAUGAAUUAGAGGGUGAAUGAUAUAUGGAAUUGAAGGUUGUUGAGUCUAUUUUCAUAGAAAAAUAACGGUGUAGGAAAAGGAAAUUUAUAUUUUAAGAUAUGUGAAUUUUCGUGAGACAGGGUCAGAACAGUUUUUGGAGUCCCCUGUUCUGAGUUUAGAAAAUAAUUACAAAUUGUACAAAAAUGGUUAUGAGUUGAAAUUUACAUGCUUAGAUUCCUUAAUGAGUCUAUUUUCUGUAGGAACAAGUGGGAAUAGCAUAUGAAAAUCCUAUAACGAGAAAAGUUAUUUUUAGUAACAAGAGGUCAGAAUAGUCGAAUGGUGAAACAGGGGAGACUUUAACUAAUAAACUGUACUAAUUGGCUGAACCAAAAAUUCUAAAAAUUUUAUGGUGAGUAGAUAUAUGAGUCUAGUUUUAGGGAAAAUUUACAGAAUUAAAUUUCGAGUUCUGUAGCUCAAGUUAUAAUUAAUUUAGUAACUGCUGCGCGAUUGGACAGAUUUGCUGUAAAUAGUGAAAUAAAUUUUCAAACCUAGUUUUUAUGCUCCGAAUUGGUAAGAUAAGCUAAGUAAUGCCUCGUGCUCGACUCCGGAAACGGUCUCGGGUAAGGGGUGUUACAGAAAUUUAUGCAAGCACUGAACAAUGCCAAUUCACCCAAAUUAAAGAUCCAAUCAUCUUUGAAGAAGCAAUCAAAUCCAAGGAAUGGCAAGAUGCAAUGGAUGAUGAUAUGAAAGCCUUGGAAAGGAACAAGACGUGGGAAUUAGUAGAUCUUCCAAAUGGAAAAGAAGCUGUUGGGUUAAAAUGGAUUUUCAAAACUAAAUUCCAGGCUGAUGGUUCCAUUCAAAAGCAUAAAGCAAGACUGGUUGCACGAGGGUAUAUGCAGCGUGAAGGGUUAGAUUUCUAAGAAACUUUCUCUUCGGUAGCAAGAUUUGACACCAUACGUGUUAUUCUAUCAAUUGCAGCUCAAUUAAGUUGGGAGGCUUAUCAAUUCGAUGUCAAGUCAGCCUUUUUAAAUGAGAUCUUAGAAGAAGAAGUAUAUGUGCAGCAACCAAAAGGUUACGAGAUUACAAAUCAAGAAGAGAAAGUGUAUAGGUUGAAAAAGGCUCUAUAUGGCUUAAAGCAAGCGACGCGAGCCUGGUAUGGAAGAAUUGAUGGACAUUUUAGCAAUAAUGGUUUUCAAAGAAGUUCCAGUGAGCCAAGUCUAUAUGUUAAAAGUAGAGGUACUUCUAAGAUUCUCAUUAUUUGCCUUUAUGUUGAUGAUUUGAUUUAUACUAGCAAUAGUAGUGCUUUGUUGAAUGAGUUUAAAAAGCUGAUGACAGACGAAUUUGAAAUGACUGAUUUAGGGUUGAUGAGUUUCUUUCUGGGGCUAGAAAUUAAACAAUGUGUAGAGGGUAUUUUUAUGUCUCAAGAAAAAUAUGUGAAUGAUCUCCUUGAAAAGUUCAACUUGAAGGACUGCAAUCUCGUGAGUACUCCAAUGUGCACCAAUCAAAAAUUUUGUUUAGAUGAUGGGGGAGGGAAAAUUGAUCGUUAAUUGUUUCAAAGUUUGAUUGGGAGUCUGUUGUAUCUAAUAAAUAGUAGACCUGAUAUUUUGCAAGCAACAAGUCUCGUGUCUAGAUAUACGCAGAGUCCAAGCAAGCAUCACUUUGGAGCUGCCAAGCAAAUCUUGCGCUAUUUGAAGGGGACAAGCUCAUUUGGAAUAUGGUAUAAGUUCUCUAACAAUCAAAGACUAUAUGGUUUCUCAGAUAGUGAAGUGGGUGGUUGCAUUGAAGAUCGCAAGAGUACAACUGGUUACGUUUUUACUAUGGGUAGCGGAGCUAUUUCAUGGAGCUCAAAGAAGCAACCAUCAACUGCUUUAUCAUCUACAGAGGCUGAAUAUAUGGCUGUUACUGCUGCUGCAUGUCAAGCUAUCUGGAUACGAAGAAUUCUUGAUGAUUUAAAGCUAACACAAGUGGAGGCAACUACCAUCUAUUGUGAUAAUCAAUCAAAAAUUGCAAUGACAAAAUCCCCUAUUUAUCAUAGUAGAACAAGACACAUUGAAACACGUCAUCAUUUCAUAAGAGAGCUGGUUGCAAAGGGAGAUAUCAAGUUGGAGCACUUUUGCACUGAAGAACAAGUUGCUGAUUUGUUCACAAAGCCACUCCCGCCGAAGAAGUUCAUUUAUUUGAGAGAAUUGUUGGGUGUUGGAGAGUUUCUACCUUAAGGGGGAGUGUUAAAGGGUAAUGUAGAAAUUAUUUGUUACUAAUUGAAUAAGUUAGUUAUUGAGUCAGUCAAAGUCUGUGUUAAAAACAGACUUAGUCUUUGUUUAAUGCCAAUAGUGUUCCUUUUAUUUAGGAGAUUUAUUAAGAUACUAUUAGAGUCCUAAUAUAUCUCUAAGUUGUUAGCUACUUCACAGUAUUUAAAGUACUCUUCAUGGAAUAAAAGAGUACGUCACUGUUUUCAAUUUUUUUGAAUUUCUAUUGCUUCUGCUUAAGUCCUUUGUUCUGUUUUUUUACUUUUAUAUUCAGCAGCAGUUUUUUUGUCAACAACAACUAUGUAUAGUGUUUAAGUGGCAUUAUUUUUCUCCAUGCUGCAUAUUGUUGCAUAAAAUAUAAUUAGUUACAAUAGAAGAAAGAAAUUGAACUUCAUUAGUUAAUAAUGAAAAUAUAUUAAAAUGAAAAAUGGAGUUGUAAACCUGGCAAUGGAUUUCAGCAUUACUCCAAGGGACCAAUCUUAGAUUGAUAAUGGUAUGGAGGUCAGUGUGUAAGACCUUGACAAAGUCAUUGGAGAUAAAUAAGGCAUAACGUGGACAUAAACUUGUUUCAUAGUACAGUGACACAGUAACCUUGUCAUUAACAUUAUCUAAAGAGGAAUAGGAGGGAGAAAUAAGCCAGAAUAUUGCAAGAGCAGACAUAAUAUAGAAGAUCAAUGGUUAAAGAUAAGCCAUUGUUUUAGUGGUAGCUUCUGCACAAUGUUGAACCUCCAUUAUGCAAGGGUUUUUAUGGUUGAGAAUUGGGAUGAUCACUAUUGUUUUUUAUCACUUUCAGAAACCAUGUGACGUUAUCAUCCCUAAAAGAACUAUUAUACACCACUUUAAAAAAUUAUUUACAUGAAGAUUGUUUAUUUAUGUAUAAGGUUCUUGCUUUUUCUAAUUUUACUUUGGAAAUUACAAAAAUCAUCAACAUUGUAGUUAUAUCUAAUACCAGUUUCAAUCACAUGUAAUAAGUUCCACGUUAAUAAAAGAAGUCACUAAUUUUUCUUAACAUGGCUUUCGAUGUGUCUGUUUCAAUAUGUAUAAAUAUGGUGAAUCAACUUCAUAAGUAAUUGCUUAUAACGGUUUAUUGCUUAUAACAAUUGAUAUAUAUGUAUAUAUAUGAACUUAACCAAACAUCCUCAAAGUUGUUAGAAUUUUUGUUUCUUUAAAAUUUUAGUAAGGUUUAAAUCUUGAUUAAGAGUAUGGUAAUUAAUGGUUAGAGGAGAAAAUGAAUUGAUUUGUUUUUAUAAGUACUGUUAUUCUUUCACAUGAAACAGUGUAAGAAUCUCAAUUUAACAAAAAAGGAUUUGCUUUUAUCAAAGUCUCAUGAUUAUAAGGUAGCAUUGGUUGGCUGGUAUUUUCAUGCGUAGAAAUAUAUUUGUUUUGUUAAAUUGUGAUUUUUCCUACACUUGUAUGUGAUUCACAUUAGCAGGUAAAUUCUUUCGUUUGUUGAGUAAAUUAAAUUAUCAAAGGCGUUCAAAGUCAAAUAUUAACUUAAAUGUUGCAAUAAUUAAUGCAAAAGAGAGAUUAUGAGUGAUUGUUGGAGAUCAUACCAUAGGUAGAAAGGGAGGAAAGAGUGGGACAACCAACAAAGCCAAGACUUGAUCCAUUUAUCAAAUCCUUGCUAUCUCAACUCAGCCAUUAAGAUGUAAUGCAGUAGUUUAUACUUCUAAGUUUGGUUUCUCAAGAAUUAAAUUUAUUAUCAAAAUUAGAUUUAUCCAUAAUCGAAUUGGAUUGAGAUUACAUCAAGUUUUCCUAACGUAACCAAUGCCACAUUUAUUAAAAAUAUAUAAUCAUGUUUUAAAGUAGAAAAAAUGAUUUUACAAAACACACAAGUUUUUAUAAGAGAAGAUUAAAAAGGACCAUAGCCUUUUUAAGUUGUGAUUUGUGAUGGGAAAGAAAUGAUAAAACUUUGAUUUAAUUCUCUAAAAAUUAUAAAGAUAUAAGUUACUGAAAUAGUAAAAUUACAUUUUAACAAUCGUAAAAUUAUACAAUUUAAUCUCCCCAAAAUGAAAUUUUCCUAACUUCAUCCCUAAUUGACAAUACUAAUUUAAAUUUACUCCUAAGUCGUAUUUUUAGAUCCGUCACUAUGCACACAAAAUUUUCAUCACCCAAGCUUCAGGUAGUUUAAAGCUCCUCCUUUGCAUCUUUGUUUUCAUUUGUAUGGUGUGAAAUAGUUUGUUUAGUUUUUAACAUACGUACAUGCAGAGUUAAGAAAAUGAUAUGUUUGAUAUUCGUCAAAUGAAAUAGAUAUAUUGGCAUAAAUUUGAUAUAUGUUUGAAUGUCUUAAUGUAUUAAGCUAUGUUAUAAUUUGAUUAUUCGAAUGCCAUUAAUGAGAUGUACAUAUGAUUCGUAUAAUUAAGUUUAUAUUAUCUUAAACAUGAAUAGUAAUGAUUGACUGUCCUGAGCUGUGUUUUGUUCAGUAAUACCUCGUAACCUUAAUCUGGCGACGGAUACGGGUUAAGGAUGUUACAUUCCCUAAUUGACUAAACUUCACACCUCUUCUAAAGAGGAACUCCUUUGUAGGAAUACGGUCAAUUGAUACCAACCACAAGAAACUUUCCACUCUAGGAGGCACUUUUAACUUCUAGAUUUCAUCAAAAGCGAACCUAUUAUCCACCACAUCAACACUGACCAGUAAUUCUGUUAUUUUCCUUAUCGAGAACACCCCUUUAUUGUCAUGAAUCUAUAUUAACCGAUUUUCCUCUUCAGGGAGCAAAACCAUACAGCUAACAGCUUCCUUUAAACGAGAGACCAUAAUAAUCUCCCUAUCCAAUAACGAACGAGAAAAGAAACCAACCUAAUUAACAUCGUUAAACCCGUUCGACAUCAAAAAAUCUUUAACCAGACCACUCUUAUUCAAAGGCUAAACAAAAUAGCCUUGGAAAUUCCACUCUCAGAGGUCUUUCACCACACCAAAUAUCCUCCCAGAAAAUUAUCGAAUUUCCAUUCCCCACCAGCCAACGAAAAGACUCAAUCUUUAUUCAUUUUGCCACUUUCGAAUCUUUCGCAUUCUCCACAAUACCCCUCCAAACCACCGACAUAUCUUUUAAAUUGUUCGAUCUAAAACGCCAAUGUUGCAUAGGGGUACCAUACUUUGCAGCAAUUAUGUUCCUCCGCAAAGCUUCUCUAUCCACUGCGAAUCUCCAACACUAUUUGGCCAUGAGAGACUUAUUUUUAACCUUGAUAUCCAUCACUCCGGCGCCCCCUUAUCCUUUGGCAUAAAAAUCUAUUUCCACUUUACCUUCGCCAUCUUCCUCCGACCACCUACACUUCCCCACAAAAAAUUCCAUCUAAUUUUGUCUAUCUUGUUAAUCACUGCAAUAGGCGCUUGAAAGAUUGACAUAAAAUAAGUAGGCAGUGAGGAUAACACAGCAUUAAUUAGCACAACUUUGACUGCCUAAGAGAGAGACCUACUUUUCCAAUCCGAUAAGUUCCUCUCUACUCUUUCCACAAUUCUAUUCCAAGAAGAAAUCUUUCUAGGGUUAGCACCUAAAGAAUACCCAAAUAAUUGAAUGGCAAUUCCCUAAUCUUACAUUUACAAACAGCAGCCAUUCUGAACAUGAACUCCACUUUCGUGCCAAAACCCACUAAGCAAAACUUUCAAAAAUUAAUACUUAAACUAGAAAAGAUUUCAAAAUAGCGAAGAAUAUACUUAGAAAUCCUUACCACAGCCUCAUCCAUUCUUAAAAAUAAAAUGGUGUCACCGUAAAUUGAAGAUGAGAAACUGACUGUCCAGGAAAAAUGUCUAUAAUCCCCUCAAUGACCCCCAAUUCCUCCGCUUCCACUAAUAUCAAAUGCAAAACUUCCGUUACCAGAAUGAAUAAAAAAAGAGAUAAUGGAUCCCCUUGCCAGAGACUUCUACAUUCUGAACUCAUUUGUAACCGCCCCAUUAAUAAGCAUUGCAACCCUCGUUAUUGAGACACACUCCACCAUGCAGCCCGUCCAUCGUUGUCGAAACCCAUCUUCAACAAAAUCAACUCCAAGAAAUCCCACCUCACACAAUCAUAUGCCUUAGCAAAAUACAACUUAAAAAACUGUUGAAGUUAGUUCCCAUGCAACAAGUUGAAAUACAAAAGUGGCCAUGCAGCAGAAGGCACAACAUGCAGUCGAGCCUAGCUGUGCAGCAACUGAAGCAUAAUGCUGCUGUUUUGUUUGUUACAUUUAGUUACUUUUUAAUCUUCUUGUAAUCUAGUUCAUUUUGAACUUAGUAGGUAAAUUUUUGAUGUAAUCUUGAUGUUGAUUGACUGAAAGAUUAGCAAAAUAACACGUACAAGUUAAUUUAGCAAGUUUCAAUGUAAAUUAGUGGUGUUAGGUAGUUGAUUAGGUGAUAGCUUGUUUGUUUUGUCCAAGCUGACUGAUAUAUGUAAUGGCUUAAUGCUUUAUCUUGUUGUUAAUUAAAAAUUUCAGCUUGUUUUUCAUUAAAACUCUCUUUCAUUUUCCUUUGCUUUUAUUCUAUUUUCAAUUUACAAAGCAUUUUCAACUUUUAUUUCUUCACCAAGCCACGAGGCUUGCUACUCAAUGAAGCCUAAACAAGCUUGCUUACUAUCUUUUGCACCAACAAAAACAAAUAACCCCCCAAAUCAUCCUUUUUCUUAACCAUAUGUAUCAAGUCAUUUGCGAUUACAAUGACAUCAAAAAUUUUUCUACCUCGAAUGAAGGCACAUUGCAUAUCACUGACCACAUCCCUAAUAACAACUCGUAAUCUUCUCGAUAAAACCUUAGCAACAAUUUUGUACAGCAAGCUCACAAAACUGACUGGUCUAAAUUCAAAAAUAUCCUGCGGAUUAUCAUUCUUGGGAAUUAACGCAAUAAAAAAUGAAUUUAUACUUUGCUCCAAUUUUUAGAAUUGAAAAACUUCACCAUCAUCUCGAACAAAUCCUCUUCAACAACCUCCCAACAUUUUCUAAAAAAUCAUAAAUUAAAGCCAUCUGAGCUCGGGGCUUUGUUCUCAACGCAGCUCAAAACCGCCUCCUUGAUCUCCUCUAUUGAAAAAGGCAUCUCCAAGUUCAAAACAUCAAAUUCUUUCAACCUCUUAAAAUUCAACGCCAAAUCCAUUCUCCAUCUCAAACCUGACCCAACCCAUGAACACCUCUUGUUAACACCAUUUUUUUUGAUAAAACGGGAUUGACUUGGAUUUUAAAAAUGAAAACGAAUAUGGGAGUCUCCACCAAUCCUUUUUGAUAAGGUGUGAUCGAGCCACUUUGAAAAGUGGUUGUUUACAAUUUAAUUUUAUUAAGACAAUGAUUUUGGUUCACGAAAUUUAGAAAAAUGGGUUCGGGAGUCGGUUACGUACGAGGAAGGAUUAGCACCCUUGUAAUGCCCAAAAUUAGUACCUAGUUGAUUAAUUAAUGUCUUAGUGUCGAAGAUAGAAAACUUUAAAGAGAUUUAAAAUACGAUCCUUUAUUUAAAUGUUGAAAAUUUUCAGGAAAAGGGCAUAUUUUACGUUAAUCGAGAAAGAGAAUUAUAUCCAGUAAGUUAGGACACAAUGUCUUGAAUACCCGAUGUGCGAAUGAAUGGUGAAAAUUUACUUAUUUAAAAGAUAUUUAGCUAUCCCGGAUUUAAAAAAGGGAUCAUGCCCAGUAAGUUAGGACGCGAUCUUUUCUUAAUUCCCGAAAUCGUUUAAAACUUGAGGAAAAAAGGGAUCAUGCCUAGUAAGUUAGGACACGAUCUCUUCUUAAUUCCCGAGAUCGUUUAAAACAUGAGUUUGAAAAGAUUCGUGUGUUUAGAUUUAUUGUAAAAAUUGAAACUCAGUAAGUUAGGGUAUGACCUUCUCGUAUCUAAACACGAGAUUUUGCUUAUUCAAAAAUCAUAAUUUAUGAAUUGAAUAAAAUUAAUCUAACACGAAAUAGCAGAAAUAAAACACUGUGUUAAUACUCGUAACAAAACAAUAAUGAAUUCGAUAAUGUAAGUAUGAAUAAUAUGAAUAAUCAUCAAAAAUGAAAUAUAUAAAUAUAAGAGACAAAUCAAUCAUAUAAUUGCAAAUAAAUAAAUAAAUAGAAUUAAUACAUUCUUUCAAAAUAAUAAUGAACAUGUAAAUUACAAUAAAGAAAAUGAAUACAAUUAAAAAUGUAAAGACAUAUAUAUGUAUGUAUAUAGAUAUAAAUAUAUUUAUAAAUUGUAAAAUAUAAAAAUAUAUGUAUAUGUGAAUUAUAAAAAAAUAUAAAAAAUAUAUAUUUUAAAAUAUAAAGAAUAUAUAUAAGUAUGUAUAUGAAGUAAAAUAUGUAUAUAUAUAUUUAGGUAUAUAAAAAUUAUGAAAUCUGAAAAAUAUAAAGGUAUGUAUAUAUAUGUAUACAUUUAUAAAAAUUAAAAAUAUGUGCAAACAAAAAUAAUAAUUGAAUAAAAAGGGUACACAUAAAUAUAUAUAUAUAUAUAUAUAUAUAUAUAUAAAGUUGAUAAUAAAUGAAAACUGUAUUAAAUUGCAGUUAAAAUAAUAUUGAGAGCCCAAAUUUAAAAAUAAAACUCGAAAGGGACUAAAUUGAAAGAGAAAUAAAAUUAAAGAUCCAAAUUUAAAAAAGAAAAGAGAAAGAAAAAAAUUAGUGCCCCAAUGUGACGCGCGUAAAAAUGGAGCGACCAAAAAGGAAAUUUAUCCUUCUCUUUUAAACCGACGUAGCUUCAAGGGACCAGAUUGUAAAGCAAAAUAAAUUACUGGGCGACUUUAAAAAAUAAAAGCCACUUGAUUGUAAAACUAUUUAAAAGCGGAAGGGCUAAAAGGAUACAUAACCCAAAGCCCAAAAACGCACGGAUCCCCGGUCGGGUCGAGUCGACGCGCGGAUCUGAGGGCAAAACGACGCCAUUUUGGCUAUUGGUGCCCAAGCUCAAAAUGACGUCGUUUCAUGGGCCUAUUCAUUCUUCACCAUUCAUUUAAAAAAACUCUAAAAAAUUCUCUCAAUCCCUCUCUCCCUCUGAUGUUGUCUUCGGCCAAUGGCCACCGCGCCAGACUCUGAUUGUCGGCAUCAACGCCGUCGUGCACGGUGGCCAGUGAGGGUAAAAGUAUCCCCUUUUUUAGGUCUUAACCCCCUAAGUCUGGAUCUGGCCUCAAAACAACCAAAAAUAAAUGGAAAAAGGUCGUUAUGCUCCUCUACAGUCAGUUUCAUCACCGAAGAAGGAGCCUCUGACGACGAGAAAACGGAGUGACCUCUGGUGAGUUUCUUUUCCUUUUCUUUUUUUUUUGUUUUCGUGUAUGAAAAAAAAGUAAAUUAAAUAAAAAUAGGAGUAUAUAACCUAAGUAAAUACCUAAAACAGAAAAUAGAUCCCAUCGAAAGUGUUGUAUUUUUAUUGCCUAUUUUUUGUUAAAAAAAAGAGAAGAUUUUACUAGCAUUGGUUCUUGGCUUUAAUAGCCGAAUCCUUCUUUUCUAUUUUCUGUCUACUAUACUGCAACCUCAGUGAGAUAAGACUAGUGGCUUCAAUCUGCUUCCCUACUACCUUGAGAAGAUAAGAUUCAUCGUCUUUGAUCUGCUCUACUACUGCUUAGGGAGACAAGAUCUGCAAUCUUGAACCUACUCCACUGCUGCUCAGGGAGAUAGGAUGGUGGCUUAAAUCUACUUCCUUACUACCUUAGGAAGAUAAGAUUCAUCAUCUUCGAUCUGCUCCACUACUGCUUAGGGAGACAGGAUCUGCAAUUUUCAACCUAUUCCACUAUUGCUCAGGGAGACAAGGCUGGUGGCUUAAAUCCGCUUCCCUACUACUUUGGGAAGAUAAUGUCUGAUACGAUAUACUCUACUGCAAUUUCAGAGAGAUAAGAUCGGCAAUUUAGCUUUAAUCUAUUUAACUGCAAUGUCGAGAAAGCAAGAUUCACCGUUGUAGCUUUAAUCUAUUCCACUACACCGCCAGGGAAGUAAGAUUCACUGUCGUAGCUUCAAUCUAUUUAAUUGCAAUGUCGGGGAAGCAAGAUUCGCUGUUGUAUCUUCAAUCUGUUCCACUAUGCCGCCAGAUAAAAGAUUCAUCAUCUUUGAUCUGCUCCACUACUACUUAGGGAGACAAGAUCUACUAUCAUCAACCUACUCCAUUGCUUCUCAAGGAGAUAAGUAACUUUAUUGAUCUGUUCUCUGGGGAACAUGACCUGUAGAAUCCAUUUCAUGGACCUAUUUAUGCCUAGUGAUUAGGAUGUCAUUAUCAAAAUGAAUCAAAUGUUCCUAACUAGGUAUGUAUGAAUGAUGUUUGCAUGAAUGCAGAAAUGUCAUGAGAAUGAUCCCUCUUUAACGCUUAGGUUGUCAUUCCUCGUUGUUUAAUAAGGCUUUAUUGCUGUUAGAAUGCUAUAUUCUCCGGUUGAUAACGAUCGUAUCUUACUUAACCGGAUUGCCCCCACUAUAAUUUUCAAAGUUCAAUCCACUGUAACUUUGGGACAUAAAAUUUGAACCAUUCUCCUCCCACUGAGUAUAAGAUCUGGCUCUUUCCCAAUCCUCUCCCACUGCAAUUCAGGGAUACAGGAUCUAAAUCUCCUUGGUCUCCUACACCAUUCCCAGGGUGUCAUACCAAAUGUUUAUGCACAAUUAUAGAACUUUCUCUUUCGAGAAACCUCUUCUUAUUACUUAGUGAUUAUUGUUUGCUUGUUCAUUUAAGCCUUAUCACCAACACGACCUUUUGUCGUUUUGUUAAAUCAAUGUUUUAACAACAAGAUCCAAAGAGAUAGUCUUAAUUUAGACUCUUCCUUCUUAGAUUUCCAACCUUUAAACUUGGUGCGUUCUAAACAAAAGUCUUGUUUUAGGUUACUAUAUUAUUUAGAAACUUCUAGAGUAAUAUGCAAAACUUCCCUUGUGAAAGUAGUAUUAGUCCAUUGAUCAUUAUUCCAAUGCAAUGUGCUUGCAAAAAUAUUAUAAAAAUGGAUAAAAAUGAAAUUGAUUUAGGAGCAUAGCUCGAAAUGAAUAAAUUAUCAAGGAUAAUAAAGAUAAAAGAUGAAUAGAUUGGGAACACGUAUCUUGAAAAAUAAAGAAGUAUUCCAAGAAAAACAAAUUCAAUCUAAAUAAUCUGAAGAUUAGAUGCCCCAGAUAUCGCAACUUUAACUUCUCUGUACAAACUUUCUGAAGAACGAUCCUGAGUUUGACAUGUGUUUAGGAGAUCUACAGUACUUCGAUGCCCCAAGAUGUCGCCUACCCUUUCCUGUUGAUUUAGGUAUAAGAAGAUCACCUAAUGCCCUAUUCUGAUCAAAAUUUGAGCUGCUCUGAUCACCUCAUACCCCAUUUUGAUCCAAAAUGAAAUAUAUGCCCUUUUUAGGUUUUCAACUCAAAUCCCCUUUGGUUUCAAGGCGCCCUUUGUGGGUUUUUGCCUUGGCCUCUCCUUUUCUUUCCUUAUUUUUUUUAAAUAUAUUUUUAUUGACUCUGAACUCAUAGGAUUAGGCAACUCCUUGUUAUCCCUUACGGUCAAAAUCAAUGCUUUUCCAAAAACUCAGAGAAAAGGAAUCUCGACUUCAAUGGGCAAAAUCGUAAUAGGCCAAAGUGAAAGGCGUUACCCAAUAGAUUUUUUUACUAUACCGUUCAUUUUGGGGCGAUAUGGUGUUAAUCUUAAACAGGCUACAAACUUUUGAUAUCGUGCUCUUGUUUAAAUUUAGUGCAUUGUCAGAUAUGAUCCUUUUUGGCAUUUCAUACUGACAUAUGAUUUUUUUCAAGAAUUUGCUGAUAGUCGAGUUUGUGAUAUUGGUAUAUGAAGUAGCUUCCACCCACUUAGUAAAGUAAUCAACGACCACAAAGAUGAAUUGAUGACCGUCAGAAGCUUUUGGCAAGAUUGGCCUACUGACAUCUAUGCCCCACAUAGAGAAAGUUUAUGGAAAAGUCAUAACAUGAAGGGAUGAAUGAGGCACAUGAAUCUUGUCUCCAUAAAUUUGGCACUUAUGACAUUUCUUGGUACAACUAAUGCAAUCCCCUUCCAUGGUGGACCAGUAGUACCCGAAUCUCAUGACUUGCUUGGCCAUUGUAAAACCAUUAGCAUGUGCUUCUCAGAAACCCUUAUAGACCUCUUCCAAGAUUUUCUUAGCCUCAACAGCAUCCAUACGUCUUAGUAGCUCAGGAAUAUCUUGAUAUGAUCAUGCAAAAACAUCUUUGAAUUCUUGGAGUAACUCAAUGUCGCCUCGCUUUGUCUUUACUGUGAUACUGGCUCCGAUCUUCACCUCCUUCUCUUCUCCUAAGCUCACAAUUUCCACUUGAUUCCUUGUAAGGCAGGAUCUGUUUCUCAACUUGUUCUACCAUCCUUAACAAGUCCAAAAAUAGGCUACAAUCUAUGUCAUCUUCAAAGUCAUGAGAUCCCUCUAAACACAUGUCUUGCUCAAAAAGAGAUUCCGAGUCUGUAUCAAUGUCACUUAUGAGCCUAUUUCACAAAGGAGUUCUUAUUUCCUCUAGGCUGAAAGCAACAAGUGUUCUGAACAUUACUCUAAAUAAGCUCUAAAUACUACAGAGAUUUCUUUUGCAAUCCAAUUAUUUAGAACACUCUCAAGUUUAUAACAGUAGAUAUCUAACAAGGUCCCUUUUCAGGCAAUGAUGUGAACAUUUCCUUCUUCUUCUUCUUCUUCUUCUUUUUUUAAUUUCUUCACAGAGCUCCAUCUCUUUAUUGUCCACCAUAUUUAGUUAGAUCUUGGCUAAUUGUUCUUGCAUUUGCAAUUGUAGUUGGUCUUGUCUCCCCUUUUAGAGUUGUUCAAGUUUUUCCAAUCUUUGGUCCAUGUCUUCUAUUUUUGCUCGGGUACCAUAAGGGUGUUUGGUUGGUAGGUUGGUUUUCAUACUAACUAAGGAAUAAUUUUAAGAUCUUUUGGUGGACUUUAAUGUAUAUGAUGUAAUGUAAUACAAAUGCAUGAAAUGAAUGCAAAAAAGAAACAUUGGUUCUUGGUUCAAUUCUAUUAGAACAACUUUACUAGAAAAUAAAUCUCUUUACAUAAAGUGGAUAUAUAUACGAUUUUUCCCUCAUAGGAGAAGACAUUCGAUCCUCUUAUUUAUCCGAGUGUUAAGAUAAAUCUCACGAACUUUUCAAAAGGGGCGUCUCUUCUAUCUCCUUUUUGAUUGAUCCGGGCCGCCACUCGUUGCUCACUUAUCCUCAUGAUGCUCGUUGGCUUCUCUUUAAGAAAGUUCGGUGGCUCUCGAAUAAUCUUUGCCAUCUUGAAUCCUCGGGCAAUGAAGCAAAGUCGUGUACUCAUUCAUCAGACUAUCACCCUUCCCUCGUUACAUUUUUCAGACCAUAUUCGAACGACCGUAUUGUCUCCCACUUUAUCAAGAAACUCAUUUUCCAUGACAAGCUCUCUAUUUAGUAACUAAACGUGAAUCAACACCUCUUUUCUAUUAUGAAAUUACAAUGCAAUCAUAACCAAAACAAAAGAAAACAAGUUAGUACAAAGCAAAACCAAGCAAGAAAGAAACAAAUAGAGCACAAAUUUAGGUGACCACUAGGGGCUUGAAAUGGUUCUACCUAGGGUAGGUUCUUAGGGCUCACUACAUGCGGUUCGGCUCUAAAGUAAAGGGUACCUAAACUAGCAGAUUCCUCUAUCCUCACCCAUUAUAGGUUCAUAUGGACCGAGUUCAAUUCAGGGGAAUACAUUUCCCUAUGGCUGCACGGAGAUGAAAAUCUCACGAAGACAUAGGUACAAAUGUAUCCCGAAAGCGAUCCAGUAUCCUGCACGGAGGUGAAUACCUUAUGAAGGAGUGGCUUCUCACUCCCACUUAAAAGGGUGUGACCAACGGUCAUGCAAUAUAAUGUGCAGAAAGAUACCAAAACUUAAACUAACACAGCAAUUAUAAACCACAACGAUGAAUAUCAUAAUAAAGACGGAUGAAAUGCAACGAAAGGAUCGUCUAUUUAAAUCAAGUUUUCAAUUUUUGUCAAAAAGACAAAAAAUAAUCAACUCGUGGCUUGACUAUCUUUUUAAGUCCCUAGCAGAGUCGCCAAGCUUUUGACACCAUUUUUUUGGUAAAACGGAAUCGAUUUGGAUUAUAAAAAUGAAAACGAAUAUGGAAGUCGCCAAUAAUCCUUUUUUGAUAAGGUGUGAUCAAGCCACCAUGAAAAGUGGUUGUUUUUAAUAAACAAUUUAAUUUUAUUAAAACAACGAUUUUGGUCAACAAAAUUUAGAAAAACGGGUUUGAGAGUCGGUUACGUAUGAGGAAGGAUUAGCAACUUCGUAACGCCCAAAAUUGGUACCUAGUUGAUUAAUUAAUGUCUUAGUGUCAAAGAUCGAAAACUUUAAAGAGAUUUAAAAUACGAUCCUUUAUUGAAAUGUUGAAAAUUUUCAAGAAAAGGGCAUAUUUUACGUUAAUCGAGAAAGAGAAUUAUAUCCAGUAAGUUAGGACACAAUGUCUUGAAUUUUCGAUGCGCGAAUGAAUGCCGAAAAUUUACUUAUUUAAAAGAUAUUUAGCUAUCUUAGAUUUAAAAAAGGGAUCAUGCCCAGUAAGUUAGGACGCGAUCUUUUCUUAAUUCCUGAAAUCGUUUAAAACUUGAGGAAAAAAAGAGAUCAUGCCUUAUAAGUUAGGACACGAUCUCUUCUUAAUUCCCGAGAUCGUUUAAAACUUUGGUUUGAAAAGAUUCGUGUAUUAGAUUUAUUGUGAAAAUUGAAACCCAGUAAGUUAGGGUACGACCUUCUCGAAUCUAAACACGAGAUUUUGCUUAUUCAAAAAUCUUAAUUUAUGCAUUGAAUAAAAUUAAUCUAACACGAAAUAGCAGAAAUAAAACACGGUGUUAAUACUCGUAACAAAACAACAAUGAAUUCGAUAAUGUAAGUAUGAAUAAUAUGAACAAUCAUCAAAAAUGAAAUAAAUAAAUAUAAGAGACAAAUCAAUCAUAUAAUUACAAAUAAAUAAACGAAUAGAAUUAAAACAUUCUUUCAAAAUAAUAAUGAACAUGUAAAUAACAAUAAAGAAAAUGAAUACAAUUAAAAAUGUAAAGAGAUAUAUAUGUCUGUAUAUAGAUAUAAAUAUAUUUAUAAAUUGUAAAAUAUAAAAAUAUAUGUAUAUGUGAAUUAUAAAAAUAUAUAUAAAAUAUAUAUAAUAUUUUUAAAUAUAAAGAAUAUAUAUAAGUAUGUAUAUGAAGUAAAAUAUGUGUAUAUAUAUAUGUAGGUAUAUAAAAAUUAUGAAAUAUGAAAAAUAUAAAAGUAUGUAUAUAUAUGUAUACAUUUAUAAAAAUUAAAAAUAUGUGCAAACAAAAAUAAUAAAUGAAUAAAAAGGGUACACAUAAAUAUAUAUAAAAAAAUUGAUAAUAAAUGAAAAUUGUAUUAAAUUGAAGUUAAAAUAAAAUUGAGAGCCCAAAUUAAAAAUAAAACGCGAAAGGGACUAAAUUGAAAGAGAAAUAAAAUUAAAGAUCCAAAUUUAAAAAAGAAAAGAGAAAGAAAAAAAAUUAGGGCCCCAAUAUGAUGCGCGUAAAAAUGGAGCGACCAAAAGGAAAUUUAUCCUUCUCCUUUAAAACGACGUAGCUUCAAUGGACUAGAUUGUAAAGCAAAAUAAAUUACUAGGUGAAUUUCAAAAAUAAAAGGCACUUGAUUGUAAAACUAUUUAAAAGCGGAAGGGCUAAAAGGAUAAAUAACCCAAAGCCCAAAAUCUCACGGAUCCCCCGGUCGGGUCCAGUCGACGCGCGGAUCUAGGGGAAAAACGACGCCGUUUCGUCUAUUGGUUCCCAAGCUCAAAACGACGCCGUUUCAUGGGCCUAUUUAAGUUAAAUAUUUUUUUUAAAUCAUUCUUCACCAUUCAUUUAAAAAACUCUAAAAAACUCUCUCAAGCCUUCUUUCCCUCUGAUUUUGGCUCCGGCCAAUGGCCACCGCGUUGGACUCUGGUCGCCGACGUCAGCGCCGUAUUGCACGGUGGCCGACGAGGGUAAAAGUAUACCCUUUUUGAGGUCUUAACCCCCUGAGUCCGGAUCCAGCCUUAAAACAACCAAAAACAAAGGGCAAAAGGCCGUUAUACUCCUCUACAAUCGGUUCCAUCACCGGAGAAGGAGCCUUCGACGACAAGAAAACGGAGCGACCCCUGGUGAGUUUCUUUUCCUUUUCUUUUUUUUUGUUUUCGUAUAUGAUAAAAAAAGUAAAGUAAAUAAAAAUAGGAGUAUAUAACCUAAGUAAAUACCUAAAAUGAAAAAUAGAUCCCCUUGAAAGUGUUGUAUUGUACUUUUAUUGCCUGUUUUUUGUCAAAAAAAAAGAGAAGAUUUUACAAGCAUUGGUUCUCGGCUUUUACAGUCGAAUCCUUCUUUUCUAUUUUUGAUAUUUUUUCUUUUUGUUACGUGUUUUCUUUCCUUUUGCAGGUGGAGCAGGUGGCUGAGUGGUGGCAAGUGGGCAGCGACCGACGUGACAGUGGCGGCUGGCCAAGGCAAGUGGGCGACAGAAGGCUGCGGCGCUAGGCUAGGGUUUUAGAAAACUGAAACCCUAGUUUGACUAUUGGGAAUUUGGGUUGGGUCUAACUUGGGUUUGGGUAAUUGGGUUAAUUUGGUUGGGCCAUGGGGAUUUUAGGCCCCAAUGUGAUGCGCGUAAAAAUGGAAGGGCCAAAAAGGAAAUUUAUCCUUCUCCUUUAAAACGACGUAGCUUCAAGGGACCAGUUUGUAAAGCAAAAUAAAUUACUGGGUGAAUUUAAAAAAUAAAAGGCACUUGAUUGUAAAAUUAUUUAAAAGAGGAAGGGCUAAAAGGAUAAAUAACCCGAAGCCCAAACAUGGGUGGAUUCCCCGGUCGGGUCGAGUCGACGCGCGAAUCUGGGGGCAGAACGACUAUUGGUGCCCAAGCUCAAAAUGACGCCAUUUCAUGGGCGUAUUUAAGUUAAAUUUCUUUUUAAAAAACUCAUUCUUCACCAUUCAUUUAAAAAAACUCUGAAAAACUCUCUCAAGCCCUUUUUCCCUUUGAUUUUAGCUCCGGCCAAUGGCCAUCGCGCUAAACUCCGGUCGUCGGCGUCGGCGCCGCAUUGCAUGGUGGCCGGCGAGGGUAAAAGUAUCCCCUUUUUUAGGUCUUAACCCCCUAAGUCCGGAUCUGGCCCUAAAACAACCAAAAAAAUGGGCAAAAGGCUGUUAUGCUCCUCUACAGUCGAUUCCAUCACCAGAGAAGGAGCCUCCGACCACGAGAAAACGGAGCGACCCCCGGUGAGUUUCUUUUCCUUUUCUUUUUUCUUUUUACUUUCAUAUAUGAGAAAAAAAAGUAAAGUAAAUAAAAAUAGGAGUAUAUAACCUAAGUAAAUACCUAAAACGGCUUAAAAGUGUUGUAUUUUUAUUGCCUUUUUUUGUCAAAAAAAAGAGAGAAGAUUUUACAAACAUUGGUUCUCGGCUUUUACAGCCAAAUCCAUCUUUUUUAUUUUUGCUAUUUUUUCUUUUUGUUGCAUGUUUUCUUUCCUUUUGCAAGUGGAGCAGGUGGCUGAGUGGUGGCAAGUGGGCAGCGACCGACGUGACAGUGGCGGCUGGUCAGGGCAAGUGGGCGACAGAAGGCUGCGGUGCUAGGCUAAGGUUUCAGAAAAUUGAAACCCUAGUUUGACUAUUGGGAAUUUGGGUUGGGUCUAACUUGGGUUUGGGUAAUUGGGUUAAUUUGGUUGGGCCAUGGGGAUUUUGGGCCCAAAGUGAUGCGCGUAAAAAUAGAGGGGCCAAAAAGGAAAUUUAUCCUUCUUCUUUACAACGACGUAGCUUAAAGGGACCAGAUUGUAAAGCGAAAUAAAUUACUGGGCGAAUUUAAAAAAUAAAAUGCACUUGAUUGUAAAAAUAUUUAAAAGUAGAAGGGCUAAAAGGAUAAAUAACCCAAAGCCCAAACACGGGCGGAUCCCCCGGUCGGGUUGAGUCGACGCGCGGAUCUGAGGGCAAAAUGACGCCAUUUUGGCUAUUGGUGCCCAAGCUCAAAAUGACGCCAUUUCAUGGGCCUAUUUAAGUUAAAUUUUUAAAAAAAAAAUUCAUUCUUCACUAUUCAUUUAAAAAAAACUCUAAAAAACUCUCUCAAGCCCUCUUUCCCUCUGAUUUUGGCUCCGGCCAAUGGCCACCGCGCUAGACUUCGGUCACAGGCGUCGGCGCCGCAUUGUACGGUGGCCGACGAGGGUAAAAGUAUCCCCUUUUUUAGGUCUUAACCCCCUGAGUUCGGAUUCGGUCUUAAAACAACCAAAAACAAUGGGAAAAAGGCUGUUAUGCUCCUCUACAAUUGGUUCCAUCACCGGAGAAGGAGCCUCCGACGACAAGAAAACGGAGCGACCCCCGGUGAGUUUCUUUUCCUUUUCUCUUUUUUUUUUGUUUUCGUAUAUGAGAAAAAAAGUAAAGUAAAUAAAAAUAGGAGUAUAUAACCUAAGGAAAUACCUAAAACGGAAAAUAGAUCCCCUUGAAAGUGUUGUAUUUUUAUUGCCUAUUUUUUUUCAAAAAAAAGAAAUGAUUUUACAAGCAUUGGUUCUCGGCUUUUACAGCCGAAUCCUUCUUUUCUAUUUUUGCUAUUUUUUCUUUUUGUUGCAUGUUUUCUUUCCUUUUGAAGGUGGAGCAGGUGGCUGAGCGGUGGCAAGUGGGCAGCGACCGACGUGACAGUGGUGGCUGGUCAGGGUAAGUGGGCAUCAGAAGGCUGCGGCACUAGGCUAGGGUUUCAGACAAUUUAAACACUAGUUUGACUAUUUGGAAUUUGGGUUGGGCCUGACUUGGAUUUGGAUAAUUUGGGUUGGGCCAUGGGGAUUUUGGGCUUGGGUUUUAAUUUUGUUUAGGGUCUAUUGACUAGGUUGUUGGGUUAGGUUAUUUGGGUUUCAGGUUUCUGGGCUGUUUUGGAUAGUCGGCCUUGGGCUAUUGCAACUAGAUUGGGUUUAGUUGGUUAGGCUGAAACUUUUGGUUGUUGGGUUUUAAAUCUGGGCUUGUAUUUAGGUUUGGGCCAUUUGGUUUAGUUUGGCACUAGGCUAGGGUGUUUUUGGGUUAAUUUAGUUGUAAUGGGCUGGUAUUUUUUAUUUUUUUGUUUGUCUGGGCUCGAGCGAAAUUGGGCUUGUACACCUNNNNNNNNNNNNNNNNNNNNNNNNNNNNNNNNNNNNNNNNNNNNNNNNNNNNNNNNNNNNNNNNNNNNNNNNNNNNNNAAUAACACCAAGAGAUCCAUUAAACACCAAUACCUCGAGGGUAUAAUUUUAUGGGUAAAACUCGACAAAUUUUGGGAUAGGUGAAACCGAAAACUUCUCAUUAGCCAUGUCAAGUGAAAGAAUUAAAUUUUUUUCAUAAGGAGUGAACAAGCCCAAUUUCGCCCGGGCCCUGACAAACAAAAAAACAAACGAAAAGUACCAACCUAUUACAACUAGAUUUAGAUUAACCCAAAAACACCCUAGCCCAGUGCCAAACUAAACCAAACGACCCAAACCCAAAUACAAACCCAGAUUUAAAACCCAACAACCCAAAGUUUCAGCCUAACCAACUAAACCCUAGCCCAAACCCAUAACAGAAAAAAAAAUCCAAACCCUAGGUGGGCCAUACCUAGGUCUUCUGACCAGCUGGCUGUAACACCCCUUACCCAUAUUCAAUACCGGAAUAGGAUACGAGGCAUUACCAAAACACAUGCACUUGUAAACGUAUUUAACCGAGUUAUAAAAUUUCAUCUAAAUUAAGUCUUUCUAAAUAAUUAACAUGCUUCUAUAACUUUUCACAGUAUAUCCUCAAAAUGUUAUAAUCAUAAUAAUUAGGGCCUACGAAACCCGAUACAAACUCAUGCAAUUCAAUGCUUCAUUUCCAUUUCAUUCAAUUCGCAAUUUCUCAUGCUCACGAUUUAGAUCAUAUCACUAGCAAUUUCCAUUUAAUUCACGUACAAUUCAAUGACAUCAAGUUCAACACUAAUACGUAUUUACCAUUUAACUCAAUGUUUAUCGAUUAUACCAUUCAAUAACACAUUUAUGAAAUUCUCAAUUUUGCAAUGAAAAUAUCACUUUAGCUUAAAUAACAACAUCUUCCUGAUAUAAAUACACUACCACUUAUCCAUUUACUUUAAUUCUUUUGGGCCCAUUUGUCACUUACCGUCCUUGAUCAAAAUUAAGGAACGGUUACGGAAAAUUGAGUAAUUCACUUCCACUUUGCCAUAGUAUAACUAUGGUCUUACUUAUGAUCACUUAUCACUUGUCCCUAAUCAGAUAAGUGUAGCUAGACUACCACUUAUCACUUUGUCACUUGAUCAGAUAAGUGUAGCUAAGGCUACCACUUAUCACUUUGUCACUUGAUCAGAUAAGUGUAGCUAAGGCUACCACUUAUCACUUUGUCACUUGAUCAGAUAAGUGUAGCUAAUGCUACCACUUAUCACUUUGUCACUUGAUCAGAUAAGUGUAGCUAAUGCUACCACUUAUCACUUUAUCACUUGAUCAGAAGUACUCAAAUCCGGCGUUCCUCUCAAUUUGAUCAUUUAUUCAUAUAUCAGGCUUACCAACAUGUGUUAAUUCAUAAACCGUUCAUGACAUUAUUUCAUGCCAAAUCAUAUAUUGAAUAUACCAUACACACAUACUAUGAAACUUUAUUUUCACACAUGAGCUUAAACCAUGACCAAUAAUGUACAAAUAUAAGCAUAAUUCAUAUUUCAUCGUUUAUCAGUUAUAAUCAAACAUAUGACCAUUUAUACACGAAUCAUUCAUAUAUUUCCCAAUUUUCCUCCUCCUCCUCUCCAUUCCACAUCCUUAAUGUGUAUAACACACUUAAACAACAUUAACUAUAAUUUCACUAUUCACUCACAUGUAUAUUCAAAGCUGUUUAUCCGAGUCAGAGUCACUAAAUUAUUUUUAUCUGGAGCUACAGAGCUCAAAAUUAAGAUCCGUUAAUUUUCCCUGAAACUAGACACACAUAUAUUCUUGCAAUAAAAUUUUAAGAAUUUUUGGUUCAGCCACAUAGUACAGUUUAUUCUUUAAAGUUUCCCCUGUUUUGCUGUCUGACAGUUCCAACCACUCUUCACUAAAAAUUAAUUAUCUCAUUGUACAGAAUUCAGAUGAUGUUUUUGUUUAUUUAUUCUAAAAAUAGACUCAUUAAGGAUUCUAACCAUAUAAAUUAUAACUCAUAAUGAUUUUUUUACAAUUUUUAAUGAUUUUCCAAAGUCAGAAUAGGGGAACCCGAAUUCAUUCUGACCUUGUCUCACGAAAUCUAUUAUAUCUCAUGAUUUACAAUUCCAUUGCUCACACUGUUUCUUUUAUAAGAUACUAGACUCAAUAAGCUUUAAUUUAAUAUUUUAUUCAUCCUCUAUUUCAAUCUCUACAAUUUUUUGUGAUUUUUCAAAGUUACAAUACUGCUGCUGUCCAAAACUGCUUUAGUGCAAAAUGUUGAUUUCCAUUUUGCCCCAAAUUUCACUGUUUAUACACUUCGGUCCUUUCUCAAUUAACCCCUCAAUUAAUAUAAUUUUCUCAAUUAAUACUCUAGACAUUAUAAGUUGUUACACAACUAUUGAAAUUCAGAAUUUCCACAUAUAUCUCUAUCUUCAAACUCUUUUACUAUUAGGUCCCAAACAUUCACUUUCUAUUCAAUUCUUUCAAUAAAAUCAGCAUGUGAACAAUUUAAAGCUCUAAUUACAUGCUAAAUCAUCAUAUACUUCCAGCACAUAUUCAUAGCAACUUUCAAAUUCUUUCAUAAAAUCAAAAACUAAUGAAUUCAACAAGUGGGCCUAGUUGUAAAAGUCAUAAAAAUACAAAAAUUUCAAGAAAUAGUCAAGAAUUGAACUUACUUGUAGUAAAAAUAUGAAGAACCAGCUUGGAGAAGCCCUUCCAUGGUGUUUUAGCUGAUGAGAAUUCAGAAAAAUGAAGAGAAAUCUAGAUAAUUCCACUUUGGUCCUAACUUUAUUAAGCAAAUUUUGCAAUAUUCCAAUUUUUCCCUUAAUUCUCCUUACUUUCUUGCUGAUUUCAUGCCUUUGCUGUCCAGCCCAAAUAGACCUUGGGUUUAUUUGCCUUUUAAGCCCUCUUCCUUUUAUCAUUUAAGCUAUUUAAUCAUUUCCCAAAAUUUUGCAUUUGUUACAAUUUAGUCCUUUUUGUUCAAUUAAUUAUCAGAACUUUAAAAUUUCUUAACGAAACUUUAAUUCUUACUUUUUAACACUCCAUAAAUAUUUAUAAAAAUAUUUAUGGCUCGGUUUAAAAUCCUCGAGGUCUUGAUACCUCAUUUCGAUUCUAAUUAUUUUAAUAUUUAUUUCUAGUGCACUAUUCACUAUUUCAAAAAUUUUCCUAACUUCACAUUUAACUUAUACUUACUAAAUUAAUAAUAUUUUCCACCCAUUUGUCGAAUUUAGUGAUCUCGAAUCACUGUUCCGACACCUCUGAAAAUUCAGGCCAUUACAUUUUUUUUCCUCGUCGAAUUUGUGGUCCCAAAACCACUGUUCUGACUAGACCCAAAAUCGAGCUAUUACACUGGCUGCCGCCCAUAGCCCUUGCCACCACCAUUUGCUACCGCACCACUUGCACCUGCUCGUCAAUCACCUGCAAAACAAGACAAUACGCAACAGCAAAAAUAAAAGACAAGUAGCAAAACGAUAAAAAUAGAGAUUGAGAGUUGGUAAUUCGGCUAUAAAGGCCAAAUUCGAACCUUGUAACGUUUACACAGACAUUUCCAAAAAUAAAACAAAAAAAAUAAUUCAAGGUGAUUUACCUUCUUUAUUUUUAAAUUUCAAUCUAUUUUUUUUAUUUUUUAUUAUUAUUCUUUUUCUACAUACAAAAAUUAUAAAAAGAAAGGGGCUGAAAGGGGCAUACCUAAGGGUGUGCUCCACUGUCGGGACGGCUGAGGAAGUCACCUUCGAGGAUAGGUGGCCGGAAACCGAAAGGUCCCUUAGGGUUUCUUUUCUUUUUUCUUCAUUUUCUUGAAUAUUGGGGGUCCGCCAGGCCAUUUACCCCCACAUCUGGGCUCUACUCGAAAAGAGGAGUGAAAGGGGCGGUUUUGUUUUUUUCAGCCAUCGAGGACGGCGGCGCCGUCGCCGGGGACCGGCACGGUGGCCGAUGACCGGACCCCUGGCCGGAUUUUGGGGAGAGGAAUAGAACUAAGAGAGUUUGGCAGAUUUUUUUUUAAAAUAGGGCUGAAAUGAUUUUUUUGGGGUUAAAAAAUUUUAUUUAUAGUAUAGCCCAUACGACGUUGUUUUUGGCCUGAGCUUCAGGCUCCAAAAUGACAUCGUUUUAAUGUUGCCCGAUUACCCAACCUGCUCCAAGCUAGGGUUUGCGUGUUUUUAAUGGAAGGGCUAAUUGCACCUUUAGCCCUUCUGCUUUUUAAUGAUUUUUCAAUCAAGUAUUUUUGUUUUUUAAUUUUACCCCACAAUUUAUUGCGCUUUCAAUUUGGCCCCUAUUCGAACGACGUCGUUUUGGAGGAGAAGGGAAAAUUACCCUUUUAAUCCCUCCACGUUAUCCGCAUGUUCAAUUUGGUCUUUUUUCCUUUAUUUGUUACCGAUUUGCCCCAAAAAUUUGUCUUUAAGCUCAAUUUAGUCCCUUUAAUUUUGUUAUUUUAGCUAUUUUAUUAUUAAAUUAAUUAUUUUAAUUUUAUUAUCACUAUUAUUAUUUUACCCUCUUUAUUUACAUACUUAUUAUUAUUACCACAUUGUUAAAUUAAUUAAUUUUUACAUUAUUAUUUCUAUUAUAUUUUUAUAUUUAUGUACCUAAAUACUUUAAAUAUAUUUAUUUCAUUUUAUCCUUUUUUUAUAUAUUCUUUUAUAAUUUUAAAACCUUAAAUUGUUAAUUAUUAUUAUUAUUAAUCAUCAUUAUUAAUAUUAUUAUUCUUAAAUUGCUUUAUACCUUAUUUAUUUAUUUAAUAUUAGUUCUUUAGUUUCAAAUUGUUAAUUUGUCAUAUUUAUUAUUUGUCUUUUUACUUUCGACUUGUUUAUUUUAUUUCAUUUCCAUUCUUUAUAUUGUUGUUCAUAUGAAUGUAUUUAUAUUUAUUCUGUUGUACAUAUUAAUGACAUAAUCUAUUUUUUUACAUUUUCACUACCACAUCGUGUUACAUUUUACUCGAUAUGUUAAAAAAAUUCUGUUUUAAAUAAGCAAAACUUCAUAUUUUGAUUCAAACAGGUCGUACCCUAACUUACAGGGUUUCGAUUUUCUCGAUAAAUCCAAAUAAAUGAACAUUUUUAAAAGCAAAAUUUUUCUUUAAAAACAAUCUCGGAAAUAGGAAGAAUUGUAUUCUAACUUACGGAGUACGAUUCUUCCUAAAAUGGAGAGGAUCAAAUACCUUUCAAUAAAUAAACUUUUCGGUGUUUAUUCUCGUAUCGAGAAUUCAAUACAUUGCAUCCUAACUUACGGAACGUAAUUCUCUUUCUCGAUUAACGUGAAAUACGCCCAUUUCUCAGAAAUUUUCAACAUUUUAACAAAUGAUCGUAUUUUAAAUCUCUUCAAAGUGUUCAAUAUUCAACACUAAGACACUAAUUAAUUGACUAGGUACCAAUUUUGGGUGUAACGAGGGUGCUCAUCCUUCCUCGUACAUAACCGACUCCCAAAUCCGUCUUUCUAAAUUUUGUAGACCAAAAUCGUUGUUUUAAUAAAUCAAAUAAUUUAUUGAAAUACCUAUUUUUCGAGGUGACCUGAUCACAACUCAUUAAAAAUGAUUAGUGGCGACUCCCAUGUCGUUUUCGUUUUCAAAACCAAAGUCGACCUCGUUUUAAAAAAAAUAAUUUUGACAAGGAGUAUUCCCUAUCGUUGUUUGCCAAUAAAAAAUUCCAUCUAAGUAAUUAUUACUCAAAUAUAAUUCAAAUGGUCUAUAAUUAGGAGAUGGAAUUUCCUUCCAUGAAUCGAUUUAAGAGAAUACAACUCAACUUGGGACAUAUCAUCACCACUUGAAGUUUCACAUUUACUAUCAACAAAAGAAAGAGUAACAAAUCGUAUGAAUUUGUAGUAAUCAGUUUUAGAAUCAAACUCGAAAGCACCGCAGUCAAAAUAAACAAAGCCACAAGUAAGGCCUGGGUAAGUAGGGCUUUGGGCUAAGGAUGGAGGAAGAAUUUUAAAUUCUCCAGUUGAUGGGUUCCAAAUGAUGGAGGAAGAAUUUUAAAUUCCGUAUCAUCCAUGCAAGAACUAUGUAAAAAAAAUAAUCCGUGACGAGCACCCCAAACAUAGGGGUAUCGUGCAUAAAAAAAAGGAAAGCGAAUGUUUUGUUUUACUAAAAAGUUUUCAUCUUGUUCAACUGAAAGUUGAGAGAAAUAAGGGAUGUUGGCGUUGGCAUCAAAUCGUUGGAGAAUGGGGUUAAGGUUAUUGUUUUUAAGGUUGUUGUGAUAAUGCUUGGAAAUGAAACGAGGAGUUUGAAAAGAACACCAAUACUUACAAACACAGUUGAAACAAAUAAGGGACUUAACUGGAAGUUUACACAGAAUUUCCAUAACCAAAGCUUCUGCCACUUCAAAUCUUGACAUCUGCAUCUAUGGUAACUAUAUUUUCCUAAAAGUUAAGAGUCAUCUAUGGUGGCAACCUUAACCUUGAAGAAAAAAAAAGCAUAAAAGGAAAGUAUUUAAUGCAUUAUUUACAUGCAUUUUCGAAAAAAAAUUCCCUAUUUGCGUGUAAAAGAUAAUAUUUACUCUUCGCUCUCUAACCACCAUCCAAUAGACUUGGAAAAAAACAAGUCAAAUUGAUAUUGUAGGAAAAUCAGUUUCAUAUGAUAUUUAUAAGGGUAAACUACAAAAAUAGUCACUUUAGUUUGCAUUGGAUUACAUUUUAGUCACUUAUGUUUGAAAUGUUAUGUUUUAGUCACUUACGUUAUCGUUUUGUUACAAAGUGGGCACUCUACCGUUAAGCUCUUUUACCUCAUUAACGAUGGUCUUACGUGGCUGUCCAAAUGAGUUUUAAAUACCAACUUGGAUGUCCUACAUGGUAAUCCAAAUUAAAUUUAUUUAAUUAAAAACCUAUUUUCAUCCCAACAGCUGGACAUCCAAGUUGGCAUUUAAAACCCAUUUGGACUGCCAUGUAGGACUAUCGAGGUAACGGAGUUUAACGGUAGAGUGAUCAGUUUGUAACAAAACGAUAACAUAAGUGACUAAAAUGUAACAUUUCAAACAUAAGUGAGUAAAAUGUAAUAUGAGGCAAACAAAAGUGGCUAUUUUUAUAGUUUACCCUAUUUAUAAUUCAUAGCAAAAUUUUUAAACAAAUAAGGUAAGUUAGUAAAAAACUCUCUCUCUAACAAAAAUUAAGCAAACUGGUUGAAAACCUUAUAUGUCAUCUAUUAAGUUUAAUUGGAGAGAUCUUUUGUCUUGUGCAUUGGAUUAAAUGACUCCUAGAAGAUAAAUGUAUAGAUGUGAUUGACUAGACUGACAAUAAAUCGGGCAGAACCUAAGUAGAAUAGAUAUUGAAUCCAUAUAGAUUUAUUCACUUGUCACUAGGGGUGUUCAUCCGGUUAACCGACUGGUUAACCGACCCGAAAUUGCUAUAACCAAAUUAACCGACCUUCCAAAAUUUUUAACCGUUAACCGAACCGAAUUAUUAAAAAAAAUUAACCGAACUGAAUUUUUUUCGGUGAAUAAGGUCGGUUAACCGAAUUAACCGAAAAUUAUGUGUUUUUUUAUUUUUGGUUAAAAAGGACCCAAAUUACCCGAAUUACCCGAUUAACCGAAUUAACCGAAUUACCUAAAAAUUACCCGAACUACCCGAAAAUUACCCAAAAAGUUUGGUGUUGAGCUUGAGAAAAAAUUGGGUCGGGUUUAAUUUGACCUAGUUUAGGCCCUACCCUGCAAAAUUCGGUUUACCCGAUUUUUUCGGAUAACCGACCGGUUUCGAACUGAUUUAACCGUUAACUGAAAAAAUAAAAAAAUUAACCGACCCCCGACCAAAUUUUUUCGGUUAACCGACCGAUUAACCGAACUCAAAAAUCGGGUUAACCAAAUUAUGCACAGCCCCACUUGUGACAUAUCUUAAUCUUGAGUGGUUGUUGGACUAUGUAUGCCUGACUAAGGGUGAAUGUUCGGUCAAAUCGAAUCGAAUGGAAAAGUUUCGAGUUAAUUGAGUUGACGAAUCCUAUUUUAUCAUCCUAACUCAAUUUGAAAUUUUUUCAAAUCGAGUUGAUCGAGAUGGAAUUCGAAUCGAAUAUAUUUGUUCGAGUUAAAUUAAAAAAUGACUUUAGAUUCUUGUAGUCACUGCCACUCACCAUAAUCAAAAUUGCCUACCGUAAUCAAAUUUGUUAUUAACUUUCAUCCCCUCAUAAUUUAUUUAUCAAUCUUUUAUAUAUGGGUUAGCUUCUUUGCUUGCUUAGUUGCUUCAAUUAUCUUAUGAUUAUUGUCAACAUUUAUUUUGAAAUUAAAAAAUAUAUUAAAUGUAAAAAAAUAAAAUUUUUAAUAAAAAUUAUUUUAAAGAUAAAAUGUAAAAUGAUACUAAUAAAAAAUUUUAACACGAAUAUUUUAUGAAUGUAGCUUAUUAUAGAUCCAAAUCCAAAUUAUCACAGCACAAAAUGAGGCAAAUGAGAGUGCCUGUUAAAUCGGAAAACGUAGAAGCAUUCAGAUACUAAACCUCCAUGCCACGAGAAACAGUGAAGCAAUGAAUUUGAUUUAAUAGUUUUUCCAGUCAAAUGAAAAAAAAAACUAAAAAAAGAAGAGACGGAAGAAAAAAUUUAAAAGAGGAGAUAACAGUUUUUUUAGUUAAGGUUUAGGUUUAAAUAUUUUAAUUAAUUAAAUUUAUUUAAUUAAAAAUCUAUUUUCAUCCCAUUUAGAAAUCCAAGUUGGCACCUAAAAUCUAGUUGGACUGCAACAUAGGAUUACCGUUAGGGAGAUAACGAAACUUAACGGUAGAGUGAUCACUUCGUAACAAAAUAAUAACAUAAGUGACUAAAACGUAACAUUUCAAACAUAAGUGACUAAAAUGUAACAUGAGGCAAACAAAAGUGACUACUUUUGUAGAUUACCCUUACAUUUAUGCACAUAAAAAACUUGAGGUUUAAAAAAUAAUAACAUGAGUGUUAUUAUAAAUAAAAAUUUCAUAUAGCAAAUUAUAUGGGAUUUUUAUUUUUAUUUUGUUUUAAAUGUUUUAUUGUUAUUUAUGUCAAUUUUUUCUAUUACUAAUGUGCUACAAGAGAGAUGUACAAAAAUAUAAUAUGUGAGAAGGUGGAGAUGAUCAAAUCUUUCAGCAGGGAUGUCGUCAAGGAGGCUAGUAGGAGUUUUGGCUCUCUAAUGGAAAAAUCUUUAAAAAUGAAUGGUACGUUCUUCAAAGUUGUAUUUGUCCGCUCGGAUAUAUGAAAACCAAUAUAAUGUGGUGGAGUUUAUUGGAGCAGCUUGUCAUGCUAGGAUAAUUCCAUAUUUGUACAGGUCACCUUUUUCCAUGUAAAGAACAAAAGAAAAGAAAGCACUCUCUCCUUCUUAUUAAUAACAUUUUAUAUUUCUUAUUAAAUACAUUGGACAAUCGUGGCAGAGCUACCUAGGGAAACUUAUGAUAUCCGAUAGGCUAUUACAUUGGCCAUGAUAUAAAUGGGAACAGUUUUUAAGUGUUCCAAGGAGAUUGGAUGAUGUCGGUCUUUCAUAACAUAUAUACAUCUCCGAGAGUAAUAAUUGUCUAUUGUUUGUUCUAUUUCUAUUACACGAAAUUUGGGGAUAUGCGUGUAUAAGCUGAAAAACUGCAUUCACAGCUUGUUGGACCGUAUAGGUUGAAUCAGGUGUGAGUCCAAUAACUAGAUCACAGAAUUCAUUAAAACAAAUAAGAAACAAUAAAGUAUAUUAAACACAAAUAGAAAUGUGAAGGGAAAAUAAAAACAAAUUAGUUGAUAUACCUCGAGAUAAUUUUUUCUUUAGUUGUAUGGCGGAUUGAAAGUAUGACAGAGGUCGUUGUGCAAAGUCGGAACAUGUGCCAUGUUUUGUCCAUUCGUCGUGCCAAAAGCUAAUGUCUGACUUUCCCAAUAUCAAGUUUGGCCAUAGUCGGGGCAAGUCUAUCCAAAGAACUGGAUCACUUUGCAGAAAACCCUUUUAAAUUAAAAACAAAAAAUCUGGUUAGAUGACAGAUAAUUUACUUAAUAGUUUUAGGCGAAGAAUGUACGUAUGCGUACUUUCAGUUUCUUUUUAUCUAGAUUAGGAUUCGGAUGGGUGCAAGGAUUCCUUGGACCAUAUUGGGGCACCGGCCUGUCAUGAGCGUCUUGCGCCCAGAUUCCAUGUAUUUUAAACUCGGGUAGGAUUGGCUUUUUACAGUUGAGAGUAGAUUUGCACACUGAGGGAGGCCAUUGAACUGCUAGUUUAUAGAAGCCUACCACUGGAAUUGGUGGCGGCUGGGGUACUGCAAAUGCUACCCAUAAUGAAAAAUGAUACAAUGCAUUUUUACAAAUUUACAAAUCAAAAGAGAACUACUCCAUUUAUAGAUAUUACAUGCAUGGAUGGUUGGGCUGAGACCGGAUGAUUGUGCUUUGCAAGCAGCUGGUUUAUGAUCGCCUUUAUAAGCUUCACACACAUAUUUCACAAAAUUUUCCAAGUCCUGCAACUAUGAAAUAAUUAUUGAAGUUCCUUGUUACAAAAUGUUUACUUCACAAUCACACCAAGAGAGAGAAAUAAACAAACUCACUUGUCUGAGUGGCUGAUUAUUCACCACCACCCAUGGCACAUAUUCUUGAGGUGGCUUCAGAUGUGCAGUCUCAUUAGCAUGUUGCAACAGAAGCUGCAUUUUGUUAAUUUGGAAAAUCAAUGUUAGAAAAAGCAAAGGAGUAUUAGUUAAAUGCGAAGACAUGCAGCCAACCUUAUAUCCAAAUCCAGUAGUAUAGCAUUUGUUGAUUAUCUCCUCAUUCAAUCUCAGCUUUUCACUGCAAUUUUUCCACAGUGCUUCAACUGGCCCCCCUUUUAAGCUUUGUUGCUCUGUGCAGCGAAUGAAUUCCAAGUGCUCUUUCUGCACCACAGUAGAGUAAUUAAACACGAGUUCGAGACGAGUGCAAAUGCUUUUGGCUAAAAGAAUUUACCACAUCAGGCCAGAAAUGGAUGACACAGCUAUGUAUAGUGUUUAAGUAGCAUUCUUCUUCUCCAUGCUGCACAUUGUUGCAUAAACUAUAAUUAGUUAUAGUACCAAAAAGAAAUUGAACUUCAUUAGUUAAUAAUGAAAAUACAUUAAAAUGAAGAAUGGAGUUGUAAACCUGGCAAUGGAUUUCAACAUUGCCCCAAGGGACCAAUCUUAGAUUGAUAAUGGUAUGGAGGUCAGUGUGGAAGACCUUGACAAGGUCAUUGGAGAUAAAGGAGGCACAAUGCUGGCAUAAACUUGUUUCAUAGUACAGUGACAAAGUAACCCUGUCAUUAACAUUAUCUAAAGAGGAAUGGGAGGGAGAAAUAAGCAUGAAUAUUGCAAGAGCAGUCAGAAUAUAGAAGAUCAAUGGUCGAAGAUAAGCCAUUAUUUGUUUAAGUGAUAGCUUUUGCACAAUGCUGAACCUCCAUUAUGCAAGGGUUUUUAUAGUUGAGAAUGGGGAUGAUGACUAUUGUUUUCUUUCCCUUUCAGUAAACCAUGUGACGAGAAACAAUUAAUGUUGUUACUAUAUCUAAUGCAGACAGGUUUCAGUAAACCAUGUGAUUAUAAAAGUUGUACACUUUUUUAAAACAUUAAUUGUAAAAUUUAUGGCGCCAUACACACUGCAUGGGCUGUUCUUAUUUAGCUCAAUUAAUGGAUGCAUCCAUCUUUGAGCAAAGCUCAAACUGGGUUCCAAAAGAAGGAAAAAAUAAUGCUUAACCAUGUGCCAAUUAACAAUUUUUUUUAAUUUAAUAUUCUUUUUUGUGGAUUAUUUCAACUCCAAAAUACAUUAAAACAAUUCAUUAAAACAAUUCAUUGUAGUCCUCAUAUGUUGUGGUAGACUUCAACAACACAAAUUUCAUCUUUCAUGUGGAUUUUACAAUAUUCACUUUUUCCCCAACUUUUAUAUUCCUUUCCACUUUAUUUUAAACCAUACUUGUGGACAUUUAUAUAGAUUUGUUAAAAUAAAAGAAUUAUAUAUGUUGUCAUCUUAAAUUUAAAUUAAAUAGUACAUAUUUUAUGAUAAUUUUGAAGUUUAAUGAAAUAAAAAAAUUAAAUUAAAUUGUAACAAUUUUCAAAAAUCUAAUGGUAAAAAAUUAAAAUAUUAAGAUAAAUAUUCUUUAUUAUAUUGAAAUGAUAUUUAUAUUUAUAAUAAUGUUAUUUAUCUUUGUGAUAAUUAAAUUUAUCUAGCCAUUUCAAAUUAUACUUAAGAUUUUCAAUUUUAUUUAUUUAAAAUUAUUAAUUAUUUAUGUGUCAAUAUCUAGCCCAUUAAUGAAUCAUAUCACUUGGGGAAACUUAUUUGGAGAAUCGGAUUAGAUCGAAUCACCCUUAUCUAAUCCCUUGAAUCAAGGAAGUUGUAUUAGAUCGUUGAAGUCUUGGUUUCCAAGAACCCUUAUUUACCUUGCUUCUUCUUAUUAUAUUAUAUUAUAUUUCCCUAGUUAAUAUGUUGUUUAAUAGGGAUUGUGAUAAAUCAUUUCUAUGUUAGCAAGUCUCAAACAACCCUUCAAGGAAUAAAUCCAACUAAAAGAUAAGAAACUAAUUGUUGCAUUAUCAAAUGUAAUGUUUCGUUGGAUAUAAGCAUUUUUUCAAUAAAAAUUAUCAUCAAAAGGGUUUUUCAAUUGACUACAUCAGUCAAUCCUUUGAUAAAGAAAGCAAGGGAGCUUGAAAAGUUGAAAAGGAUAACAUCUCAAACAUAUAAACCAAAUAAUAACAGUAAUAUUAAGAAGCUCACAAGUGACUGUAGUCUACAUAAAAAUGCUCAUUAGGUCUUACACAUUUAUUUUCAAGUUCCCUAUCCAUCAUCAUAUUUAGUAUCUACUUGAUCUAUAUUUCUAUUUAUAUUAUUUGAUGCAUCUCCAACUAGUUGACGUAUUAUAUGAUCCCUAUGCUCUUGUAUUCCAUUGAUUGAAACCAGGCUCUCAACAUAAAAAAAGAGGGAGACGUACUCUCGAUGAUGAUCCAGGUAAGAAUUGAUCCCAAGCACCUUAAGCUCUUGGGUGGAGGGAUCAAACAAGACUACUUCAUAAUUUGUAUUUAAAAGAAAUAGUUCAUUAUUUUUCCAAAACCCCAAUGGGUUGACAACUCCAGGAAUAGAUUCAAUACUGAAUUGUUUAGUCCAUUCUUUCCCAUUCAUUACCCAUAAAUCAAAAGACUUGUCAAUUCCUUCCACCGGGUAAACAAGAACACCAACUGAUCCAUUAAACACCAAUACGUUAAUAUUGGUUUUUGAGAAAAACCCGACAAAUUCAAGGAUAGGUGAAACCGAAAACUUCUCAUUAGCCAUGUCAAAUGAAAGAAUCAUUACUUUUUCAUAAGGAGAGUUCCCCGUUACUAUUUGCCAAUAACAAAUUCCAUCUAAGCAAUUAUUACUCAAACAAUAAUCAAGUGGUCUAUAAUUAGGAGAUGGGAUUUCCUUCCAAGAAUCGCAUUUAAGAGAAUACAACUCAACUUGGGACACAUCAUCAGGACUUUCAAUUCCACGUUCACUAUCAACAUAACAAAGAGUAACAAAUCGUAUGAAUUUGUAGUCAUCAUUUUUAAAAUCAAACUCGAAAGCACCGCAGUCAAAAAUAACAUACUUACAGGUAAGGCCUGGGUAAGUAGGUCGUUGGACUGAGGACUGAGGAAGGAUUUUAAAUUCUCUAGUUGAUGGGUUCCAAAUGGCAACCUCCAUAUCAUUCAUGAAAGAACUAUGUAAACAAAAUAAUCCAUGACAAGCACCCCAAACAUAGGGGGAAUCGUGAAUGAAAAAAGGAAGGCGAAUGUUUUGUUUUACUAAGAAGUUUUCAUCUUUUUCUACUGAAAGCUGAGAUAAAUAAGCGAGAUUGGCGUUGCCAUCAAAUCGCUGGAGAAGGGGAUUAAGGUUAUUGUUUUUAAGGUUGUUGUGAUAAUGCUUGGAAAUGAAAUGAGGAGUUCGAAAAGAAGAACACCAAUAUUUACAAAUGCAGUUGAAACGCAUAAGGGACUUAACUGGAAGCUUAGACAGAAUUUCCGUCACCAAAGCUUCUGGCACUUCAAAUCUUGGCAUCUGCAUCUUCUUCUCUUUUUUUUCUCUCUCUAAUUUGCCUGUAAAAGAUAAUAUUUACACUUUGCUCUCUAACCACCAUCCAAUAAACUUGGAAAAAAACAAGGCAAAUUAGUAUUUUAGGAAAAUCAGUUUCAUAUGAUGUAUAUAAUUUAUGGAAAAAUUUGUAAACAAAUAAGGUAAGUUAGUUUAUAUGGCAUAGUUCACUACAAAAUUUAGGGGUUUUGGGAAGAUUAAAAAUGUCCCUAAUAGAUUUGGAGACAAUUUAAGCAGUCCCUUACAUGCAUUCUUAAAAACUAUUUUUAAAAAUUUUUAGGGAUAAUUAUGAAAAAUAAUCUUCAUAAUUAAAGAUGAAUUUCGCCCCUAAAGCUUUAAGGACGAAUUCCGUCCCCAAAUUCAUAAAAACAUACGAAAAUAAUUAGGGAUGAAUACCAUCCCAAAAUUAUUUAAUCAAGUUUCGUCUCUAAAAAUUCCAAGGUUUUGCUUUUCUUUUCCUUUUGACUUAACCUUUACAUAUCCAACUUACAAAUAUUCAACAACUAGUUCUCAAGUUUCUAACAUGAGGGAAAGCAAGGGUCACUUUUUAAGCAUCUAAUCCCCCAUUUUGCCUUUUUGUAAUGUAAGUAGAUAUGCCAAAUUAAAGUUUAGUUCCAUGCUUGAAACGAUCAAAUCCAAUUGCUAACUUUAAAAAUUUUCAAAAAGUUCAAAUGAAUACCUGAGAAUUUUUAGCAAUCUCUAUCUUCAAAUCAAUUAUGUUUAAAUAUCUAAUUUUGACUUGAUAUAUCACUUGGAACCAGAAUUUGACACCUUUUUCUAAGGUGGUACUUAUGUUAUUUUUGGUCCAAUCUAGUAUACCUAUAUUUGAAAAAAUUUAUUUGACUUAUGUUAUUUUGAUAUCCAAAGAUAAUAAUGUUAACGUUUAGUGUUUAAUUUAGGUUUAAUAAAUUAUUAUUAUUAUUUUUAAAAUAUUUGUUAUGUAUAUGCAACUGGAAGUCUUGUAGAAAUUGAAGGGCAAUUGUUAGAAGAAUUAAUUGAUAAGAAACUAAUUGUUGCAUUAUCAAAUGUAAAAGGAAGAACUUAUAAAGGUAAUGUUUCCUUGUACACAAGCAUUUUAAAUAUUUUAAACUAAUUUCAAUAAUAAUUAUCAUCAACAGGGUUUUUCAAUUGACUACAUCAGUACAUCCUUUGAUAAAAAAAGCAAGAGAGCUUGGAAGGUUGUAAAAUCAUUAUGAUAAUUAUGAAUAUAAACUAGGAAAGAUUACAUUCAGUGUUUAUUUGAUGCAUCUUUAAUUAGUUGACGUAUUAUAUGACUCUUAUGCUCUUGUAUUCCAUUGAUUGGAAUUAGGCUCUCAACAUAAAAAAAAAAGAAAAGAAAAGAAAGAGAGAGACGUACUCUCGAUGAUGAUCCAGGUAAGUGAUGAUCCGAAGCACCUUAAGUUCUUGGGUGGAGGGAUCAAACAAGACUACUUCAUAUUUUGUGUUUAAAAGAAACAUUUCACCAUUUUUCCAAAACCCUAAUGGUCUGACAACUCCAGGAAUAGAUUCAAUACUGAAUUGCUUAGUCCAUACUUCUCCAUUCAUAACCCAUAAAUCAAAAGACAUGUCAAUUCUUUCCACCGUGUAAGCAAUAACACCAAGAGAUCCAUUAAACACCAAUACCUCGAGGAUAUCAUGUUGUGGGUAAAUCCCGACAAAUUCUGGGAUAGGUGAAGCCGAAAACUUCUCAUUAGCUAUGUCAAAUGAAAGAAUCAAAAUUUUUUCAUAAGGAGUGUUCCCCGUCGUUGUUUGCCAAUAAAAAAUUCCAUCUAAGUAAUUGUUACUCAAAUAUAAAUCAAAUGGUCUAUAAUUAGGAGAUGGAAUUUCCUUCCAAGAAUCGCAUUUAAGAGAAUACAACUCAACUUGGGACAUACCAUCACCACUUGAAGUUUCACAUUCACUAUCAACAAAAGAAAGAGUAACAAAUCGUAUGAAUUUGUAGUCAUCAGUUUUAGAAUCAAACUCGAAAGCACCGCAGUCAAAAUGAACAAAGCCACAAGUAAGGCCUAGGUAAGUAGGUCGUUGGACUGAGGAUGGAGGAAGGAUUUUAAAUUCUCAAGUUGAUGGGUUCCAAAUGGCAACCUCCGUAUCAUCCAUGCAAGGACUAUGUAAACAAAAUAAUCCGUGACGAGCACCCCAAACAUAGGGGGUAUUGUGCAUAAAAAAAGGAGAGCGAAUGUUUUGUUUUACUAAAAAGUUUUUAUCUUUUUCAACUGAAAGUUGAGAGAAAUAAGGGAUGUUGGCAUUGGCAUCAAAUCGUUGGAGAACGGGGUUAAGGUUAUUGUUUUUAAGGUUGUUGUGAUAAUGCUUGGAAAUGAAACGAGGAGUUUGAAAAGAAGAACACCAAUACUUACAGAGACAGUUGAAACGAUUAAGGGACUUAACUGGAACUUUACACAGAAUUUCCAUAACCAAAGCUUCUGGCACUUCAAAUCUUGGCAUCUGCAUCUAUGGUAACUAUAUUUUCCUAAAAGUUAGGAGUCAUCUAUGGUGGCAACCUUAACCUUGAAGAAAAAAAAAAGCAUAAAAGGAAAGUAUUUAAUACAUUAUUUACACGCAUUUUGGGAGGACAAUCAGAGUGCUUAUGGAGCAAACCUUAACAAUGAAGCAAAGAAGCAUUUAAUAUAUUAAUUGUAUUAGCGAUGUUUAAUUUUUAAGAGUUAUUAAAACUCUUUAUUUGCAACCCAACGGUUAUAGUAUUUAUUGUGAGUAUAAGCAUUGCAGGAUUCCAUGGACUGGAUGUAACUCAUGAUUAUUAUGGUCCCGUGGGAAGCAUGACGUAGAGAAGGAAGCUCAGAAGCUGUCUCCAUGUACAUACGCAACCAAAUACCGGAGAGCUCCAGUUUCCAAGCGUUGCUGCGCUAUAAUAGUGAAAAAACUUAGGGUGGGUUUGGAUGGACGAUUGGGUGCGGUGCGGUGCGUUUAGCUUACUUUUUGUUUCACGCUACAGUAUCGCUACAGUAUCUAAUCUCACCGCCAUCGCUAUUUUUACACUAACCGCAGGUAAACGCACCACCCAUCCAAACUCACUCUUAGCAGUACAGACUGUCUCUGUGCUAUUUUGCAAACUCGUAUGCCGGAGUGAGAAAUGAAAUCCAAGUGUAGCUAGUUUUCUCAAAUCAUAUUUGAUCUUUAAGAUAUCAUCCUUAGGGAUGGCAAAACUCAAACCAUCAUUCAGAAUAAAGAAGAUUUUCUUUUGAAAAGUGAAUGCUAAAUGAAUUUUAUAGUAGUUAAAGCAAUUAACACACAAGGUAUUGGCAAAUGGCAACCAUCUUUGACUUUUCCGAAAUUGGGUUGAAAUUUGGCAUGGGAUAAUUACAAUUUUAGUCCCUAAUUGUAUAGGGACUUUGCAAGUUGAUCCUUGAACCUCAACUAUAAAUAGGUCUAACUGUUUCUCAUUUUCUACAUCCCACAUAUGUCAUUCUCUACUUAAGACAUUAUUCUCUCUCCUUAUUUGUAAAAUUUCACUUGUAUUUUGGAGUGAAAUAUAUUUAGUAGUGCCCGAGGACGUAGGCAAAAUUUGCUGAACCUCGUUAAAAUUCUAGUGUUCUUUAUUGUUUAUUUUGCAUAUUUUGCGAGUGUGAUUGUAGUGAUUUAUUGUGCUAUUAAAUUAUGAUAGAGGUAUAUUCUGGCUAGGAAAGACCUGGUACUUGAGUGAUCCUCAUGAUCCACCUCUCUUUCCUGGGAAUUGAACUUAAUGUGAUUUUUUAGUGCAAUAAUUUUACUCUUGUACACGCUUCCGCGCAACACAAGGUAACUUGAAAAAAAAUAUCAUAAUUUCACUCACUUGAACAAAAUGGGAUCAUAGCAACAUGGAUUCGUGGCUGAUUCGAUGCUCGUGUUGUGGUGUUCAUCGGAUCUUCAUCUGUUUAAGAAUCUUAACCAUCAGGUGAGACCUGUUUUGAAUUAAAUUAUAAAAUUUAAGCCACUGAGAGCAAUUAUUUUAAUUAGUUAAUGACAACCUUAACCAUCAAAUCCUCUUCGACUUGCAAUUUUUUUCCUCAGAAAACAAUAUCAACAUUAUGAAUUUUGAUAAUUGGAACUAAUUUCUAAUUUUCGAACAUUGGUUAAUUUUAAAAAUGUUGAAUAGAUUAAAGUGAAAAUUAGCUUUCAUUGCAUUAAAAUUAGCUAAUAAAAAGUAACGAAACUCAUAGCCUUCAAAAAGUUAAACAAAAUUAAAUUCUUGGUUUCUAAUCUAGAGCACGAUUGAAACUCAAUCAAUGGAAAAUUGGAAGAAAAAACAAUUAAUGUAAAUAAAAACUUAAACUUUUGAAAGUAAAUACCUUUUUUGAGAGGGAAAAGAUUUGAUUUUUUUUUUGUUCAAUCACUUGAAUCUGAUUGGUGAAUUUCCAUUUCCGUUUUAUGAAAUUUCCCUUUUUCUUUGAUUCCAAACUUUCAAUUGUUUAUUAUGAGCUUUUUUUAGGGUAUAUAAUGCAAUAUUUUGUAAUUCCAUUUUGCUAUGCAUUUUAAGCUUAUAUUCAUUUCACCACCGUGGAGAAUGAUAUUUUCAAACUAUGGCAGAAAUCUUAUAGAUUUCUAUGCAACUAAAACCAAACAUAAACUGAACAAACCAGGCAAUGGCUAACAUCUCAAACAUAUAAUCCAAACAAUAAUGGUAAUAUUAAGAAGCUCACAACUAAAAAUUCCUAUUACAUCUUACACAUUUAUGUUCUCCCUCUCCAUCCAUCUUUAUAUUCAAUAUCCAUUUCAUGCAUAUCCUUCUUCAUAUUCUGUAUUCAUUUGAUGCAUUUCUCGUUGGUUGAUGUAUUACAUAUUUCUCAACCUCUUGUAUUCCAUUGUGUUAGGGAUUGACCCGAUUAAGCAACAAGUAACAAAAAUAGCGGAAUAAAUUGAGAAAUUGAACACACAAAUUUAACGUGAAAAAACCCCUCCAAAGAGGAUAAAAAACCACAGGCAAAGAAAAUUUUACUAUAAUGGCAAAAGAACGAAGAGUACAAAAAAUAGAGAUAAAAUUAAACCCCAAAAACCCGAAAACAAAGAACCCUCAAAACGUAAACACAAAAUUCUCUAAAUGUGUUAUGAGUUCUAAUCUCUAAUGGGUGUUUUUACUAAGGUUGUAAAAGAGCCUAUUUAUAGGCUAAAUUCAUAUGUCAAAUAAUAAUAAAAUAGUCUAAACUAAUCAGUGUUUGACUGAAACAAAUAAACAAAGUUUAACUAAAAGAUUAUUUCUCAAAUUUGACUGAAAAUAGGAGUCAUACUUAACACAUUGGUAUCCAUUUUUAGUUGCGUUUGGACAAAAAAUGCAACUAAAAAUCGAGCAUUAGCUGCGCUUUAUGGAAAACGCCGCUAAAGAUCGAGCAUUUGCGGUGCUUUCCAGAACACGCCGCUGAAAAUGAGCAUCAGCAGCAUUUUUCCAAAAAACGCCGCAAAAGACCUAAGCCCAACGGCGUUGUUUUCUGACCUUUCAGGGCUUUAGUGGCGUUUUUGAAGAAGCGCCGCUAAUGCUCGGGGCUUUAGUGGCAUUUUUGAAGAAGCGCUAAUGCUCGGUGCUUUAGCGGCGUUUUUGAAAAAGCUCUGCUAGUUCUCGGGCCUUUAGCGGCACUUUUGAAAAUUCAAUUUAUUUUUAAUUGACUAUUUAAAAUCUUCAAAAAAAAUAAUGACACGUAGGAAUAAUUUGAAAUAAAAAAACAUAGAAAAAUAUUUGUUAAAAAUGGAAAAAUUAAAAUACUAUUAUUUAAAAUAAUUUUAAAGUUUUUUGGGUACAUUACUGAUUUUUUUAAUUUAUAUAUUAAAUAAUUUCUUAUAUAAUCGUAAAAGAGAUAGUAUUAAUUUUAAAAUAUUAAAUUAAUUAUUAUUAUAGUUUAGGGUUUAAGGUUUAGGGUAUAAAGAUUAAGGGUUUAGGAUUUUGAUUAAUUAGCUUUUUUUGCGGCGCUUGUUAAAGCGCCACUAAUACUUUUAGUGGCACUUAAAAGCGCAGUUAAAGGCCUAAAAUAAUGCCGUUAAAAGUCUAUUUUGCUACAGUGACACGUGGAUCCACCUAUACGGUCCGACAAGUUGCGGACAUAGUUUUUCGACUUAUAGGAGCAUCUCCACAAAUUUCAUGCAGUAAACACAGAAGAACUAGAGUUCUACUACUCGGGGGGAUGUUUAUUUGCUAUGGAAGACUGAGGCCAUCCCAUACCUUUGGAACUCCCCAAAAUUGUUCCAACUUAUUUUACAGCCUAUGCAGUAGUGGAUCCGAUACCAUAGAAUUUCCAUAGCCAGCUUUACCAUAAUUGUCUCAUGUAUGUUUAAAAAUGUUUAAUGUAAUAUCUGAAUUAUCAAUAUGUGUUUUAUUACAGUACUCUAAAUUAUCAUAUGCGUUUUAUUGAGCUAGUGCUUAUUUUGAGACUCAAGUAUUUAUGUCAUAGUUUAAAAUAAUCCAAUUAAUAUUACAUAUUUUCAAAAUGUUUUUUUAUCUUUAUACAAUCCGAUCAACAAAUUUGAAUGAUUUAAACUCAAAAUUAUUCGAUUUUGAAAUAACAUUAAUCUGAAUAGAGAUUUAAAAUUACCCAAACCCAAUCCCAUAACAUUCAAUAUCUAUAUUACUGAGUCAUUAAGAUGUAAUGUAGUAGUUUAUACUUCUGAGUUUGGUUUCUCAAGAAUUAGAUUUAUCCAUAAUCGAAUUGGAUUGAGAUUAUCUCGAGUUUUCCUAACCUAACCAAUGCCACAUUUAUUAAAAGUAUAUAAUCAUGUUUUAAAGUAGAAAAAAAUGAUUUUAUUCUUUGCAUCUUUGUUUUGAUUUGUAAGAAACUUGCAAGUAUAACUAUGCCAUUUUGGAAGGACAAUCAGAGUGCUUAUGGAGCAAAUCUUAACAAUAAAGCAAAGACGCAUUUAAUACAUUAAUUUUAUUCUUUUGGUGACAGCGAUGUUUAAUUUUUAAGAGUUAUUAAAACUCUUUAUUUGCAACCCAAUGGUUAUCUGAAAUCGAAUUAAAUUUCUUUUUAUUUAAUAUAUAAUUAAUUUUAAUUUUUUAUUAUAACAAUAAAUAUUAUUUGUUUAAAAUAGUAUAAAUAACUUAAAAAUUCUUGUAAAAUUAUUUUUUUUUGCAAAUAUUUAUUAAAAGGGCUUUCAAAUUUGUCAAAUAAUAUUAAAAAAAAGCAUAAAACAAAGUCAAUUUUGUUAAAAUAAGUCUAAAAAUCUAAAAUAAAAAUUUGGUAUGAAAAAAUUAACAACUCUUCAUAAAUUCUAUUUAUGCCCCCAAAAAUGAUACAAAUUUGAUUUAUUCUCUAAAAAUUUAUAUAGAUAUAAGUUAUUAAAAUUGUGAAAUUGCAUCUUUACUAUCAUAAACAUAUAUAAUUUUAUCCCCAAAAUAAAACUUUCCUAGCUUCACCCCUGAUCGGCAAUGCUAAUAUAAGUUUGUUACAAAAGAUUGGCAUUAUAGUGGAAUUGGAGCUAACAAAAAAAAGAUUAACAAUGUUAAGGUUUCUUUAAAUUUAGGUCAGAAUUUUUAUUAGAAUAAAAUAUUAAGGGCAAAUUACUCAUAAAAGUCCUAUUUUUUUAAAAUUUACCGAAAUGGGCCCGGUAUUUUAUUAUUUACCGGAAUGGGUCAUUUUUCCCGAAAUCGAGUCCACGUCAGCGCGAUGUCAGGGGAUGUGUCAGCAAAUCGCGUCCACGUCAGCGCGAUUACUUACGUGGCAACAAAUCGCGUCCACAUAAGCGCGAUUUGCUGACGUGGAAGCAAUAAUUCAUGAACAGUUGAUGUUUUUUAGCUUGGAAAACUUUGAAAGGCCAUAACUUUUGACUCGGUUGUCCGAUUGAGACGAUUCAUUAAAAUACAUUAACAUUACCUAAAGAGGAAUGGGAGGGAGAAAUAAGCCAAAAUAUUGCAAGAGCAGACAGAAUAUAGAAGACCAACGGUUGAAGAUAAGCCAUUGUUUUAGUGGUAGCUUCUGCACAAUGUUAAACCCCCAUUAUGCAAGGGUUUUUAUGGUUGAGAAUUGGGAUGAUCAUUAUUGUUUUCUAUCACUUUCAGAAACCAUGUGACGUUAGCAUCCCGAAAAGAACUAUUAUAGACCACUUUAAAAAAUUAUUUACAUGAAGAUUGUUUAUUUAUGUAUGAGGUUCUUGCUUUUUCUAAUUUUACUUUGGAAAUUACAAAAAUAAUCAACAUUGUAGUUAUAUCUAAUACUAGUUUCAAUCACAUGUAAUAAGUUUCAAGUUAAUCAAAUAAGUCCUUAAUUUUUCUUAACAUGGCUUUCGAUGUGUCUGUUUCAAUCUGUAUAAAUAUGGUGAAUCAACUUCACAAGUAAUUGCUUAUAACAAUUGAUAUAUAUGUAUAUAUAUGAACUUAACCAAACAUCGUCAAAGUUGUUGGAAUUUUGGUUUCUUUAAAAUUUUAGUAGGGUUUAAAUCUUGAUUAAGAGUAUGGUAAUUAAUGGUUAGAGGAGAAAAUGAAAUGAUUUGUUUUUAUAAGUACUGUUAGUCUUUCACAUGAAAUAGUGUAAGAAUCUCAAUUUAAUCAAAGUCUCUAGAUUAUAAGGUAGCAUUGGUUGGCUGGUAUUUUCAUGCGUAAAAAUAUAUUCAUUUUUGUUAAAUUGUGAUUUUUCCUACACUUUUAUGUGAUUCACGCUAGCAGGUAAAUUCUUUCGUCUGUUGAGUAAAUUAAAUUAUCAAAGGUGUUCAAAGUCAAAUAUUAACUUAGAUGUUGCAAUAAUUAAUGCAAAAGAGAGAUUAUGAGUGAUUGUCGGAGAUCAUACCAUAGGUAGAAAGGGAGGAAACAGUGGGACACUUGAUCCAUUUAUCAAAUCCUUGCUAUCUCAACUCAGCCAUUAAGAUGUAAUGUAGUAGUUUAUACUUCUGAUUUUGGUUUCUCAAGAAUUAAAUUUAUUAUCAAAAUUAGAUUUAUCCAUAAUCGAAUUGGAUUGAGAUUAUCUCAAGUUUUCCUAACGUAACCAAUGCCACAUUUAUUAAAGUAUAUAAUCAUGUUUUAAAGUAGAAAAAAAUGAUUUUACAAAACACACUAGUUUUUAUAAGAGAAGAUUAGAAAGGAACAUAGCGUUGUGAUUUGUGAUAGGAAAGAAAUGAUAAAACUUUGAUUUAAUUCUCUAAAAAUUAUAAAGAUAUAAGUUCCUGAAAUAGUAAAAUUGCAUUUUAACUAUCGUAAAAUUAUACAAUUUAAUCUCCCCAAAAUGAAAUUUUCCUAACUUCAUCCCUAAUUGACAAUACUAAUUUAAAUUUACUCCUAAGUCGUAUUUUUAGAUCCAUCACUAUGCACACAAAAUUUUCAUCACCCAAGCUUCGGGUAGUUGAAAGCUCCUCCUUUGCAUCUUUGUUUUGAUUUGUAAGACACUUGCAAGUAUAACUAUGUCAUUUUGGAAGGACAAUCAGAGUGCUUAUGGAGCAAAAACCUUAACAAUAUAGCAAAGAAGCAUUUAAUACAUUAAUUUUAUUCUUUUGGUUACAGCGAUGUUUAAUUUUGUAGAGUUAUUAAAACUCUUUAUUUGCAGCCCAAUGGUUAAUUUCUUUUUAUUUAGGGUAAACUAAAAAAAUAGUCAUUUUUGUUUAUCUCAGAUUACAUUUUAGUCACUUAUAUUUGAAAUGUUACAUUUUAGUCACUUAUGUUAUCGUUUUGUUACGAAGCAGUCACACUACCGUUAAAAUCCGUUACCUCCCUAACGGAAGUCCUACGUGGCAAUCCAAAUGGGUUUUAAAUGCCAACUUGGAUGUCUAGUUGUUGGGAUGAACAUAUGUUUUUAAUUAAAUAAAAUUCAAUUUGGACUGUCACGUAGGACAUUCAAGUUGACAAUUAAAACCCAUUUUGACUGCCACGUAGGACUGCCGUUAGGGAGGUAACGAAGCUUAACGAUAGAGUGAUCACUUCGUAACAAAACGAUAACGUAAGUGACUAAAACGUAACAUUUCAAACAUAAGUGACUAAAAUGUAAUUUGAGACAAACAAAAGUGACUAUUUUUGCAGUUUACCCUUUUAUUUAAUAUAUAAUUAAUUUUAAUUUUUAUUAUAAAAAUAAAUAUUAUUUGUUAAAAAUAGUAUAAAUAACUUAAAAAUUCUUGUAAAAUCAUUAAUUUUUUUGCAAAUAUUUAUGAAAGGGGCUUUCAAAUUUGUCAAAUAAUAAUAAUAAAAAGCAUAAAACAAAGUCAAUUUUGUUAAAAUAAGUCUAAAAAUCUAAAAUAAAAAAUUAAUAUGAAAAAAUUAACAACUCUUCAUAAAUUCUAUUUAUGCCCCCAAAAAUGAUACAAAUUUGAUUUAUUCUCUAAAAAUUUAUAUAGAUGUAAGUUAUUAAAAUUGUGAAAUUGUAUCUUUACUAUCAUAAUAAUAUAUGAUUUUAUCCCCUAAAUAAAACUUUCCUAGCUUCACCCCCGACAAUGCUAAUAUAAGUUUGUUACAAAAAAUUGGCAUUACAGUGGAAUUGGAGCUAACAAAAAAAAAACAAUGUUAAUGUUUCUUUAAAUUUAGGUCAUAAUUUUAAUUAGAAUAAAAUAUUAAGACUAAAUAAUGACAUUAUAAACGUUGAAGCACCAAAUUAUAAAAGAAGUAUAAACGUUGAAAUCGGGUCUUUAGAUAGAGAAACAAGAUAUAUAAAUUGUGGAUCAGUUUCAUAUAUAGGGUUGCUUGAGAAAGAGCAUACAUAGAAGCAAGGUGUAGUUGAUGACUUAAUGAUAUGGUAACUCCAAAUCCAUGUCCAUUGUAAUCGGUGGAAUUCAUCUUUGUUUAGCUACUUUUUAGCUAUUUGUUUGGGUAUAAAUUGUUGAGAAAUGUCUUCGUUUGGGGUUCAAGUUUAAUGGAAACUCAAGUGAAGUACAUGUGGGUUAUUGUGUUUAUUGUGACUCAAUAAAUAUUGGGUUAGUACCGUGAUUUAUUUCUCACAUUUUACUACGUACAAAAUCGUGCUACAUUUUACCCGAUACAUUAAAAAUGAUGUUUUAAACAAGUAAUAUUUCGUAUUUUAAAAUUCGAAAAGUCGUUCUCUAACUUACGGGGUUUGGACUUUCUAAAAAAAUCCUUUAUCAACUAUAGAAUUGACAGUAAACAAAUUCCUUUAUCACAACAAGGCUUUGAGUCUCCAAAUUAUAAUGUAGAAUUGGUUAGCUGGUAUUUUCAAGCAUCAAAAUAUAUCUAUUUUUGUUAUGAUUCACACCAGCUGACAGAAAGAUUAGCUUAGCAAGAUUCCUUGCUUUGUUGAGUAAAUUGAAAUUAUUGAAGGUGUUCAAGGUCAAAUAUUAACCUAAAUGUUACAAUAUUUAAUGCAAAAGGAACACUAUAAGUGAUUGUUGCAUAUCAUACCAUAGAUAAAAAGGAAUAAAACAGUGGGACAACCAACAAAGUCAAGACUUGAUUCAUUUAUCAAAUCCUUGCUAUCUCAGCUCAGCCAUCAAGAUGUAAUGUNNNNNNNNNNNNNNNNNNNNNNNNNNNNNNNNNNNNNNNNNNNNNNNNNNNNNNNNNNNNNNNNNNNNNNNNNNNNNNNNNNNNNNNUUUUUCUUUUUACAUAUAUAGAUAUUACAUGCAUGGAUGGUUGGGCUGAGACUGCUUUGCAAGCAGCUGGUUUAUGAUCACCUUAAUAAGCUUGACACACAUAUUUCACAAAAUUUUCAAAGUUUUGCAACCAUGGAAUAAAUAUUGAAGUUACUUGUCACAAAAUGCUACUUCACAAUCACACCAAGAGAGAGAAAUAAACAAACUCACUAGUCCGAGUGGCUGAUUAUUCGCCACCACCCAUGGCACAUAUUCUUGAGGUGGCUUCAGAUGUGCAGUCUCGUUAGCAUAUUGCAAGCAGAAGCUGCAUUUUAUUAAUUUGGAUAUUCAAUGUUAAUUAAAUACUAGGACAUGCAGCUAACCUUAUAUCCAAAUCCAGUAGUGUAGCAUUAAUUUGUUGAUUAUCUCCUCAUUCAAUCUCAGCUGUUCACUGCAAUUUUUCUAUUUAAAUAAUCGAAACAACAUAGCAUAGUUCAUUACAUGAAGAUUAGACUAAUCAGCCAAAGUGGAAGUAAAACAACAAGAUCCCGCACUCUAACCUACAUACAUACAUGUUUAUAUGGGUGAAAUAAAAAGAAGGCGAAGUGGAGGGGCAGUUGCAGAAAGUAAUAAGAGUGAGGUGAGAAGGGAUGGGAAGGGAAGGUCAUGAUGACUAAUCAUAAAUAGGUUCAGAUGGGGCUUUGCUCCUUUCUCUCCGUGUCUCAGCUCAAUCAAAUGCCUGCGAAACCAUUACAACCAAAUUCAGCCAAAUACAUAAAAAGCAAAUUGAGCAAACCUUACCAAUGUAGCAAAGAGGCGUAAGAGCCAAACAUUUAAUGCAUGAAAGCUACUUCAAUUUUGCUAAUCAUUUUUAUUAAAUUGUUAUUCAUAAAAUUUUUUAUUGCUUGCCAGAUACAUAGCACAAUUCUAUGACAUUGGUCGGCUCUUAAAUUGGCAGUAAAUAAGUUGGAACAAUUUUGAGGUGUUCCAAGGAGUUGGAAUAAUCUCGGCCUUCCAUAAAAAUAUACCUCUCCCGAAGUAGUAGAACACUAUUUCUUCUGUGUUACAGAAAAUGGCGUUAUGGAGUUGGGAGUUGAAGCGCCAAAUUAUGAAAGAAACUAAAGGUCCGGGAUCAAAACUAAAAAUUAACUAAAAUUGAAAAUUGACUAUUUUUAUAUAGUUAAAGAGGGUCUCCAACUGAAAGCUAACCAUUAUUGUUAAGCAUUGGGGUGAUAGUUAACCACCAUAGUUUUUUGUCACUUUCAAUAAACCAUGUGACAAAUUUUCAAAGUCAUCAUCUCUAGAGAGCAAUUAUACAACACCUUAAAAAGGAAGACUUGAAAUUGGGUCUUUAGAAGGAGAAACAAGAUAUAUAAAACAACAAGCUUAAAUUGGGGAUCAGUUUCAUAUAUAAGGUUGCUUGUGAAAGAGUAUAAACAAGGUGUAAUUGAUGACUUCAUAAUCUGGUAACUCCAAAUCACUGUAAUCGGUGGAAUUCAUCUUUGUUUAGCUACUUUUCAGCUAUUUUGGGUAUAAAAUUUUUGAGAAAUGUCUUCGUUUGGGUUCAAAUUGUAGAUAAAGUAUAACUGAUUAUUGCAUUCAAGAAAUGGAAACUCAAGUGAAAUACAUGUGGGUUAUAGUAUUUCUUGUGAGUAUAAGCAUUGCAGGAUUCCAUGGAGUGGAUGUAACUCAUGAUUAUUAUGGUCCUGUGGGAAGCAUGACGUAGAGAAGGAAGCUCAGAAGCUGUCUCCAUGUACAUACGCAACCAAAUACCGAAGAGCUCCAGUUUCCAAGCGUUGCUGCGCUAUAAUAGAGAAAAAGCUUAGCAAUCCAGACUGUCUCUGUGCUAUUUUGCAAACUCGUAUGCUGGAGUGAGAAAUGAAAUCCAAGUGUAGCUAGUUUUCUCAAAUCAUAUUUGAUCUUUAAGAUAUCAUCCCUAUUAUUUAGGGAUGGCAAAACUCAAACCAUCAUUCAGAAUAGAGAGGAUUUUCUUUUGAAAGUGAAUGCAGAUUGAAUUUUAUAGUAGUUAAAGCAAUUAACACACAAGCUUGUAACACAAGGUAACUUGAAAAAAGUACCAUAAUUUCACUCACUCGAACGAAAUGGGAUCAUGGCAACAUGGAUUUGUGGCUGAUUCGAUGCUCAUGUUGUGGUGUUCAUCGGAUCUUCAUCUAUUUAAGAAUCUUAACCAUCAGGUGAGACCUGUUUUGGAUUAAGUUAUAAAAAUUAUGCCACUUACAGCAAUUAUUUUAAUUAGUUAAUGACAACCUUAAACAUCAAAUCCUCUUCGACUUGCAAUUUUUUUCCGCAGAAAACAAUAUCAACAUCUAAGCAAUCUUAUAGAUAUCUAACCAACAAAAACCAAAUAUAAACUGAACAAUUCUCCAAAUACAGAAACCAGGAAAUAGUUAACAUCUCAAACAUAUAACCCAAACAAUAACAGCAAUAUUAAGAAGCUCACAACAAAAAAUUCCUAUUACAUCUUACACAUAUAUGUUCUAGCUCCGCAUCCCUCUUCAUAUUCAGUAUCCAUUUCAUGCCUUCUUCAUAUUUAGUAUUCAUUUGAUGCAUCUCUCGCUGGUUGACGUAUUACAUGUUUCUCAAUAUUCUCUUGUAUUCCAUUGAUACGAACCAGGCUCUCUAAAUAUGCAUGAAGGGAGAUGGUGAACCGAAAAUGAUCUAGAUAAGUAUUAAUCUGAAGCUCCUUAAGCUCUUGGGUGCAGGCGUCAAAUAGGAGUACUUCAUCAUUUGUGUCUCUAAGAAACAAGUCACCAUUUUUUCCAAAUCCCAAUGGGCGUACAACUCCAGAAAUGGAUUUAAUAUUGAAUUGUUUAGUCCACACUCCUUCACUUGUAACCCAUAAAUCAAAAGACGUGUCAAUUCCUUCCGUUGGGUAAACAAUAGCACCAAGUGAUCCAUUAAACACCAAUAGAUUAACAUAGUAUUCUGGGAAAGACCCAACGAAUUCUGGGAUAGGUAAAAUUGAGAACUUCUCAUUCCCCAUGUCAAAUGAAAGAAUUAGUCCUCUAAAAUCAAGAUAUGCCCCUGUCUCUGUUUUCCAAUAGCAAAUUCCGUCUACAUAAUUAUUUCCCAAAGUUGUUUCAGUUGGUUUAUAAUCAGGACAUGGAAUUUCCUUCCAGGAAUUACUUCUAAGAGAAUACAACUCAACUUGGUCCAUAAAAUGAGGAUGUGGAUAUUGUUCUUCACUAUUAACAAAAGUAAGAGUAACAAAUCGUAUGACUUUGUAGUCAUCAGUUUUAGAAUCAAACCCAAAAGAAGCGUGGUCAAAAGAAACGUCAUCUAAAGUAAGGUAGGUUUCUUCGAAUGGUGAAAAAUAUGGAGGGCGUUGGAUUGAAGAUGGUGGAAGGAUUUUAAACUCUCUGGUUGAUGGGUUCCAAAUGGCAGCCUUAUCCUUUGAAGGAUCAAGUAAACACAACAAUCCAUGACAAGCACCAUAAACAGCCUUGUCCAACCCCAUCGUCGCCUUCCCUCUCACUUCUCACUGUCCCAACCCCCACCACUGCUCACUUCCCUCUCACUCCUCACCGUUUAUCUCAUUGGCAUCUCUUCUAACAUUUGUGGUGAGAUCAACAGUGAAGAGUGAGAGGGAAGGCAGCGACGACAGGGGUUGGAUACAAUGGCAACAGUAGCUAGAGGGGAAAAUAGAAAGAGGAGAAGAAAUAAAUUGAAAUAAAAUGAAAAAAAAAUAUGUUAAACAAUUUUGUUUAUAGAAGACUUCAUCUAUGAACUCGUGCUUAUGUGGCACGCCACAUAGGCUACUUUGUUGACCUGUGGUUUGACCGACGAUCAACUCACAUUUUUCGUUAAAAUUGGGUUGAUUUAUUAAAAAAUCAUACCAUUAAGGGUGUCAAUCAAAAAAAAAAAAGGUUAAUGGCUCAAACCCAAAAACUCAAAAAAAUUGAAGGUUUUUUUCAAAAAUUAUGCCAAAUUCUUUGUUAAAUUUUUUGGUUUGAUAUUCUUUGUUAAAUUUGUUAGUUUGAUAUUCUUUCAAAAGUACAUUAUAAUGCUUUUUUUUUUUUUUUUGUUAACCCAAGCCCAAACUUUUGAAAGCAAAUACUAUUUUGAGAGGGAAAAGAUUUGAUUUUUUUUUUGUUCAAUUGCUUGAAUCUGGUUGGAUAGUUUCUAUUUUCAUUUUAUUAACCAUUUAAAGAAAGAUAUUGAAUGUUAUGGGAUUAGGUUUAGGUUAUUUUAAAUCUAUAUUCGAAUUAGUGUUAUUUUAAAAUCGAAUCAUUUUGAGUUUAAAUCAUUCAAAUUUGUUAAUCGAAUUUUAAAGAUAAAAGAACAUAUUAAAAAUAUGUAAUAUUAAUUGGAUUAUUUUAAACCAUGACCUAAAUACUUGAGUCUCAAAGUAAGCCCUAGCUCAAUAAAACACAUAUGAUAGUUUAGAGUACCGUAAUAAAAUACAUAUUGAUAAUCAAGAUAUUACAUUAACAUUUGUAAACAUAUAUGAGACAAUUGUGGCAAAGCUAGCUAUGGAAAUUCUAUGGUAUCGGAUCCACUAUUGCACCGGCCGUAAAAUAAGUUGGAACAAUUUUGAGGCCUUCCAAAGAUAUAGGAUGGCCUUGGUCUUCCAUAACAAAUAAAAAACUCCCCGAGUAGUAGAACAUUAGUUCUUUUGUGUUUACUGCAUGAAAUUUGUGGAGAUGCUCCUAUAAAUCGGAAAACUGUAUCCGCAACUUACCGGACCGUAUAGGUGGAUCCAAGUGUGAGUCCCAUAGCUAAAUCCCAAAAUUCAUUAAAACAAAUAAGAGACAAUAAAGUAUAUUAAACACAAAUAGGAAUGUGAAGGGAAAAUAAAAAUAAAUUAUUUGAUAUACCUGAAUUUAAAUUUGUCCUAAGCUGUAUGGCCGAUUGGAAGUAUGACAGAGGAUGUUGUGCAAAGUCGGAACAUGUGCCAUGUUUAAUCCAUUCCUUGAACCAAAACUCAAAGUCUGACCCUGUCAAUACCAAGUCCGGCCAUAGUGUGGGCAGUUGGUUCCAAAGAGCUAUAUCACCACUCAACAAUUGCUUUUAAAUAAGAAACAAAAAAAUUGAUUAGAUUACAGAUAAAUUACUUAAUAGUUUCAAGCAAAGAAUGUACGUAUGCGUACUUGGAGUGGUGGCCGGGUUAGAAUAGGUUGUGGAUAGGUGCAAGGCUUCCUUGCAUUGUACGGGGGCACCGGCAUGUCAUGAGCGUCUUGCGCCCAAAUUCCAUGUAUUUUGAAUUCAGUUGGGAUUGGGAGUUUACAGUUGAGAGUAGAGCUGCAAACUGAGGGAGGCCAUUGAAAUGCCAGCUUAUAGAAGUCUACCACUGGAAUUACUGGCGGCUGGGGUACUGCAAAUGCUACCCAUAAUGCAAAAUGAUACAAUGCAUUUUUACAAAUUUACAAAUCAAAAGAGAACUACUCCAUAUAUAGAUAUUACAUGUAUAGAUGGUCGGGCUGAGAUUGGAUGAUUGUGCAUUGCAAGCAGCUGGUUUAUGAUCUCCUUUAUAAGCUUGGCACACAAAUUUCACGAAAUUUUCAAAGUCCUGCAACCAUGAAAUAAAAUAUUGAAGUUACUUGUCACAAAAUGUUACUUUACAGUCACACCAAGAGGGAGAAAUAAACAAACUCACUUGUCCGAGUGGCUGAUUAUUCACCACCACCCAUGGCACAUAUUCUUGAGGUGGCUUCAGAUGUGCAGUCUCGUUAGCAUAUUGCAGCAGAAGCUGCAUUUUAUUAAUUUGGAAAUUCAAUGUUAAUUAAAUACUAUGACAUGCAGCCAACCUUAUAUCCAAAUCCAGUAGUAUAGCAUUAAUUUGUUGAUUAUCUCCUCAUUCAAUCUCAGCUUUUCACUGCAAUUUUUCCACAGUGCUUCAACUGGCCCCGUUUUAAUCUUUGUUGCUCUGUGCUGCGAAUGAAUUCCUCAGUAGAGUAAUUAAACACGAGUUGGGGACAAGUACAAAUACUUUUGGCUAACAGAGUUUACCACAUAUGACGCAUAUUGUUAUCAUCCCUAAAAAACAACUAUACACCACCUUAAAAAAUGAUUUGCCUGAAGAUUGCAAAGAUAAUAAAAUUGUUUAUUUAUUUAUAUAUGUACGAAGGUCGCAGUUUACAGGCCCUCAGAUGAAAAGGAUUUAAAUUAAUCCCAAAGUUUUAAUGUACAAAAGAAAACAUGUGCAAAAGUAUCAAAGUUAAUGCCUAAGAAGUUGAUUUCAUGCAUGGUAAAUUAUUAAGAUAUAAAAUUGGACAUUAUUUAUAUAUAUAAAAGCCUUCCAUUGAAUGCCUAAAAAGCUCUUUGGUUUUUCAUGAAGUUAGAAACUGACUUGAGAAAUUCAUGGUUCCCUUCACUAAGUACCAACCACAACAGCAUCAAAACAAUUUAGAAGAAAUGGAUUUACGUACCAUAAUGUUAAUGUAGAAUUGUUUAGCUGUUACUUUCAUGCAUGAAAGCUGAUCCAAUUUUGCUAAUAUAUUUUUUGUUAAAUUGCGCGUUAUUAUUAACCCAUUGAAAGAAGCAAAAUAUUUUUAUUGAUCAGUACUCAAAUUAAAUUUAAUUUCCUUUCGCAACAUUCUGUCGAAAUAUAAUUUGUUGUCAUCAUCAUAUUGUAAAAUGAACCAGACACUAAAUUCAAUGCAUUUAAGGAAUAUAAAGAUGCAAGACAAGAAACUAGAUAUAAUCACAAGAUUUUGGCAGUUUUCAUUAAAAUUGUAGUCUUUUGUCAAUGUUUUCCACCAUAAUUGUGCGUUAUCAAUAAAAAUAAAAAUAAAAAGCACAAAAUCAAGGCAGGGCACAUUACUUGACUAACAUGCUACCAUUGUAGUCAAUAGAAACAAUAAUGAAGAUACAGAGCACACACAUCAAGGCUAACACAAACAGGUACAUUGUUGAAAAAUUUCCACUUAUCAAUGUUAAAGCUUUGAAUUUUACUGAUAACAUAAUAUUGUGUGCUUUUUUUUAGGAUAUAUAAUGCAAAACUUUGUAAUCCCUGUUAUGCAUUUUGAGGUUAUAUACAUUUCCCCACUUUUGAAGUUUAUUCAUACAUAAUGGUAUUUUCAAACUAUGGCAGAAAUCUUAUAGUUACACUAACCAAAUAAAAACAAACAUAAACUGAACAAUUCUCCAAAUCCACAAACCAGGCAAAGGUCAACAUCUCAAACAUAUAAUUCGAACAAUAAUAGCAAUAUUAAAAAGAUCACAACAAAAAAUUCCUAUUACAUCUUACACCUUUAUGUUAUGGUUCCUAUCCUUCUUCAUAUUUAAUAUUUAUUUGAUGCAUCUCCAGCUGAUCGACGUAUUAUAUGUUCUUCAGGCUCUUGUAUUCCAUUGAUACGAACCAAGCUCUCAACAUAAACAUGAAAAAAGAGAUGGAUAGCGGAAAAUGAUCUUGAUAAGUGAUAAUCUCAAGCUCCUUAAGUACUUGAGUGGACGGGUCAACUAGUAAUAUUUCUUUAUUUGAGCUUAUAAGAAUCAAUUUACCAUUUUCCCCAAACCCCAGUGGGUGUACAAAUGGAGGAAUAGAUUUAAUACUGAAUUGUUUAGUCCGAACUCCAUCAUUCGUAACCCAUAAAUCUAAACACGUGUAAGUUUCUUUCGAUAGGUAAAAAAUAACACUGAGUGAUACAUUAAACACCUAUAGGCUUGUAAUAGCCCAUUUUUGACCGGGCCAAAUAUAAAAAAAAAAGUUAACAAUCCCAGUCUAUUUACAACAAAUCAGACAGGCCCAAAGCCCUAACGGCCCAAUAUGGCCUAAAAACUAAACGAAAUCAGAAAACCCUAGGGUUCCCUCCCCUCUCGCGCCGCAGCUUCUUCCAUGUACGCCUUUGGUGUGCAUGACGCCCGAUGACGACUCCUUCACCGAAGUUGCACCGAAAUGGCAAUGGUUUCUACCCGUUGACUCCUCAUGACCUGUAAAAUAGACGAAAACAGUAGCCAAUAGACAGAAACAGAGACAGUAAAAGAAAAAGCAGUAUAAUCGGCUAUAAAGCCCGAACGAAAAUGUAAUCUUGUUACAGGCGGAUAGUUGAAUGAAAAAAGAGAACAAAAUAUCAAUCAAAAGAUCCCGAAGGUUUACUUCUACCAUUAGUUUAAUUUUUAUUUUAUUCUACUUUUUUUUUAGUUUUUACAUACGAAAAUAAAGCAAAAGGAAAAAAAGGGAAUAAUAAAACUAACCUGUAUUCGGGUUUUUAACGCUGUGGACGGCCGAGGGAGUCACCUCCAAGGAUAGGUGGCUGGAAACUGAAAAGUUUCUCGAGCUUUUGGGGUGUUUUUGUUAACAUUUUUGGAUUUUUGAACCCAAAUUCGGAUUUAGGAGAGUCUAAAGGAUAGGGCUAGGGUUUUUACCCCUUUUCAACAACCGCGGACGUCGUUCUGCCGAAGACCCGCGCAUGCAACCCGACUCGCCAGAGGAUCCGCGCGUUUUUAACUUUUGGGCUAUUUGCGUUUCAGGCCGUUUUGCAUUUUUUGUAUGUUUCAAUUUGGUCCUUUGCAUUUUUUCUUUAUAUUUUCAUUUGGACAGCAGAUUUGUCUCGGUUUUUAGUUUGGUCCUCGAUUCGUUGGACCCUUGGGGAGGAGAUGCAUGGCCUAAAAGCGGGUUUAUUAGUCAUUUGGCCCUCGCCCUUUCGUGCCCUCUUCAUUCUGGUCCCUCUUUGUUUAUUUUAUUAUAGCUUUGAUCCUUAAAUUUCAUUUUUAUCCUGAUUUAGUCCAUUUUUGUUAUUUUUUAUUUUCUUAUUAAUUAAUAUAGUAUUAUCAUACUUAUAUUUUUUAUAUUUAUUUAUGAAUUAUUAUUAUAUCAUUAUAUUAUACUAUUAGCAUUGUAUCAUUAUUAUUUAAAUAAGUUUAUCUUAUUAUUGAUUAUUAUUAUUUGCUUAUACAUAUCCUUUUAUUUCAAACUUUAUCAUAUAUAUACACAUACAUAUAUAUCUUUUAUAUUUUAUAGUUUUUUAAAAUAAGUAUACACAUACAUACAUUUCUUAUAGUAUAUAUAUAUACAUACAUAUUUUAUAAUUUAUAUAUUUAUACAUUNNNNNNNNNNNNNNNNNNNNNNNNNNNNNNNNNNNNNNNNNNNNNNNNNNNNNNNNNNNNNNNNNNNNNNNNNNNNNNNNNNAUGUAUAUAUACAUACAUAUGUUUUUUCAUAUAUUUUAAAAUAUACAUACACACAUUUUUAUAAUAUACAUACGCACAUAUAUUUUAUGUUUUAUAUAUUUAUACAUACAUAUGCAUUUUAUAUUCUAUAACUUUAAAAUAUAUAUACAUACAUAUAUUCUCUUUUAUAUAUACUUUAUAAUCUUAAAAUAUACGUAUACUUAUAUACAUUUUAUAAUACAUAUAUGUACGUAUAUUUUAUAAUUUAUAUAUACAUAUAUAUUUGUUACAUUAUAUAAUUUUAAAAUAUGUAUAUAUAUACACACAUUUUUUUUAUUUUUUUAUAGUUUUAUUUAUUUUAUUUAUUGUAUUUUUUGUUUUACUCGAUGUUUAUUUGUUUAUUUGCAUAUAUGUUCAUUAUUAUUUUAAAAGAAUGUCCUAAUUAUUCAUUUAUUUACUUGUUAUGGUAUAAUUGAUUUGCAUUUUCUAUUAUUUGCAUCAUCGUAUUCAUUAUUGUGUUGUUAUACACAUUAAUACUGUGUUUUAUUUCUACAAUUUCGAGUUAGAUUAAUUUAUCUCGAUGCAUAGAUUUUGACUUUCGAAUAAGCAAAAUUUCGUGUUUAGAUUCGAGAAGGUCGUACCCUAACUUAUGGGGUUUCGAUUUUCGCAAUAAAUCUAAAUACACGAAUCAUUUCAAACUAAAGUUUUCUUUUUUUUAUGAUCUUGAGAAUUAACAAAAGGUCGUGUCCUAACUUACAGGACACGAUCCUUUUUUAAACUCGAGAUAGUUGAAUAUAUUUUCAAAUAGGUAAAUUUUCCUGCGUUUAUUCUCGUAUCGGGAAUUUAAGAUAUUGUGUCAUAACUUACGGGAUAUAAUUUUCUUCCUCGAUUAACGUGAAAUAUGCCUUAUUCUCAAAAUUUUUAGCAUUUCAAUAAAGGAUCGUAUUUUAAAUCUCUUUAAAGUUUUCAAUUUUCGAGACUAAGACAUUAAUCAAUCAACUAGGUACCAAUUUUGGGCGUUACGAGGGUGCUAAUCCUUCCUCAUACGUAACCAACUCCCGAACUCGUUUUUCUGAAUUUCAUGGACUAAAAUCUUUGUUUUAAUAAAAUCAAAUUGUUUAUUAAAAACCACUUUUCAAGGUGGCCCGAUCACACAUUAUCAAAAAGGAUUGGUGGUGACUCCCAUAUUCGUUUUCAUUUUUAAAAUCCAAGUCGAUCGCGUUUUCAAAAAAAAUGUUCGAUAUCAUUCCUCAGGUCAAAUGAAAGAAUUAUUUCUCUAAAACCAUAAUAUUCCCCCAUUAUUGUUUGCCAAUAGCAAAUUCCAUCUAUGUAAUUAUUUCCCAAAAUUAUAUUAGUUGGUUUAUAAUUAAGAAAUGGAAUUUCCUUCCAGGAAUCACUUCUAAGUGAAUACAACUCAACUUGGAGAACAUUUGGGAACUCAAAAUCACAAUAUAUUUCUCCUACCUCACAAAUAUCAAAAGUAAGAGUAACAAAUUGUACGACUUUGUAGUCAUCAGUUUACAAUCAAACCCAAAAGCAAUGUGGUGAAAAGAAACGUCAUUUAAAAUGCGAUAACCUUUGAUGCAGGGAAGAUAUGAAGCGCGUUGGACUGAAGAUGGUGGAAGGAUUUUAAACUCUCUGGUUGAUGGGUUCCAAAUGGAAACCUUAUCCGUUGAAGAAUCAUGUAAACACAAUAAUCCAUGAGAAGCACCACAAACAGAGACUUCUUUCUUAAAAAGGGGCAGGUAAACGUCUUGUUUUACUAAAAAAUUAUUUUAUUCGGUUGAAAGUUGGAAGAUGUCACUAUCAUACCGCUUGAGAAGUAGAUUAAGGUUGGUGUUUUUAAGGUUGUUGUGGUGAUGUUUGGAAAUGAAAUGAGGAGUUUGAAAAAGAAGAACACCAAUACUUACAAACACAGUUGAAGUAAGGGAUUUAACUGGAAGCUUUGACAGAAUUUCCAUCUCAAAAGCUUUGGCAAUUCAAAUUGUAAAACCCAAAUUCUGCCCGGGCCCAUUAAAACCAAAUUAUAAUAAACCAAAUAUAAAAGCCCAUCUACACAACCCAAAAAAUCAAACCCAUUACAUCAAACCCAAUCCCCGGCCCAAAUAUCCAUUAACCCAAAUAGCCCAAUUACAUUAAAGCCCAAAAAAAUAGUUUUCAGAAACCCCUAGGGUUUCUGGAACAAUCCAAGCGCCGCUCCUGCCCUCCGCAGACACCAGCCUCUCGCCUCGGCCGCACGUACGCCUCCACCUCCAGGCUGGUUGUGUACUUGCAAAAAUUCAAACAACCAACAAAAGAAAGCACUAGAAAGCCGUGAUUAAAUACUAAAAUUACAUAUUUUAUGUAAUUAAUUUGGUAUAUUUAUGAGAAUGCACCACUAAUUUUGCCAUAUUUAUUGAAUUUUGUGCAGGAAUGUAAUUUGGGGCUAAAUAGAAGAAAAAGGAAACAAUUGGGCUGAAUUGAAGAAAGAAGCGAAAAAGGAGGGCCAAAGAUUAAUUAGCUGAAAUUUUUGAGUUAGUGGGAGAAUAUUUUGGGAUUUAUUUUAUUUUGGGAUAUUUUUUUCCUUAAUUUCCUAUGACUAGUUGGCUCCUAAUUUAGUAAAUCAACUAGUAUAAAUAGAGCUUGUAUUGCUCAUCAUUUCAUCAAUCAAAAAAUAAUUUAGCUUUUGUCUUUCAAUUCUCUCAUUUCUCACGUAGCCUUUGUUAUUUCUUAGCUUGUUUUCCUUCAAUUUUCAUUAGUUCCAGUAGCCUACCAUCCAUUUCACCUUUAUUUUCAACUUUUCACAAAUUUAUUUAUUGUCUUUAGUUUCUUUAACUUUUAAUUCCUAAAAACUUCCAGCUUUUACUACUUUCCAUUUACAAUACCUUUUUCAAAUUCCCUUUUUCAACCACCCCCACACUUAAUCACAUCACCCAUCUUUUCACCUCUUCUACCUUAUUUAAUUUAUCAAAUACCAACAUGUCCCAAACCUUAGCCAACUAAACCCAUUUUCAGCUUUAGGCCGAAAUUAGCCUCGUCAAAACCCGUGAGUUACGAACCCGAGCCAUUUAACUCCUAAAAUUCCAGUACUUAUUACUUCUCCGGAUUAAGAGUAUGAUUUUGUCAGCUCAUAAAUUCAGAUCAACACUAAGUCAAAAAAGACGUCGUUUGAUUUGGUGUGAUUAGACGUACAGUUGGAAUUUCGAAAAGAACGUUUCUAAUCGGUUUUCUGUGAACACAUUAGCGUGCCAAGUGGAGGCUGCUAUUUGGUUCCGUCAAGGGAAGUAGUAACCGGAUUUAAAUGUCCCACGCGGUUGAGGGCAUUGGUUCGAGCUAGGCUCUUCUAGAACGCAAAGCUGCCGGAGUUCUAAAUCACGAACGUUUCGUGGUUGUUCGAUCGGUAAGAAUUAUUUAUUAGACGUUCCAUAACUAAUUUACACAAGGAAGAGUUGGUGUCCGAGGCGUCCUUGGUAGCUAUAACUAGCUUAUUGGAAAAUAGCAGUUCAUCCAAUUUCGAGGAUCGGUUCAAAGACGAGGAAAAUUCGCGCCUAAAGCUGAGCUCAUUCUAAUUAAUUUUUCUUAAUAUUUAUUUCACAGUUAUUAUUAUUCUGUUUUCAACUUUUACUUUUGACAUUAUUUUUCUGUUAAUUUCAGGUUUUCAAAUUUUUAUCCCCCCAAACGUCUUGGGCACGACAGCUGCCCCGACAUAAAUCUGGUCAAACGAGCAACAAUUUACAGUAAACCAGUCUCUGAGGGAUCGACCCUACUCUCUAUACUGCAUAAUUUGCAACUUAAGGCGUAGGUUUAUAUUGGUGGAUUCGACACCCAUCAGUUUUGGCGCCGUUGCCGGGGACUAGCAACACUUACAAAUUGCUUAAAUUAUCUUCAUGACCAGAUCUUCAUCCGGAGAUCUCAGAGAUCGAAAAAUCAGCACGAGCACGACGUAAAGAGACGGAAGUUCUUAAGCGUGUAGCAGUAAUUGAACGUGGAAAACAAGUCGAAGUGGUUGAUCCUGAGACCGAACCACCUCCUACAACAAAAGAAGUAGAAGACAACCUCGGUGAACCAGAAAGGAUGGCACACCGAACCAUUCGUCAACUAGCUGCUGCUUCCAACGACCAAACACCGUUAUGCAUCAACUAUCCAAUCGGAAAAACCCCAUUCGAGUUGAAGUCAGGCCUGAUCCACCUUUUGCCCACUUUUCGAGGCUUGAAGAACGAAAAUCCACAUACCCACUUGAGAGAAUUCCACAUGGUCUGCUCAAGCAUGAAACCACAGGGAGUAACCAAAGAUGAAAUUAAACUUCGGGCAUUUCCUUUUUCUUUAGUUGAUACAGCAAAAGAAUGGUUAUUUUACUUACCUCCAGGUUCUAUUACAACGUGGGAUGACUUAUCUCGUGUUUUUCUUGACAGGUUUUUCCCAGCAUCGCGAGCAGCUGAACUUAGGAGAGACAUAGUGGGAAUUCGACAAAUGGAGAGCGAAUCGCUCUACGACUAUUGGGAGCGAUACAAAAAACUGUGUGCAAGUUGUCCUCAACACGGUUUGACCGAACAAUCACUUCUUCAAUAUUUCUACGAGGGUUUGCUCCCUAUGGAAAUGAAAAUGAUUGACGCUACUAGUGGAGGGGCGCUUGUCAAUAUGACUCCUCAAAGGGCAAGAGAACUGAUAUCCACUANNNNNNNNNNNNNNNNNNNNNNNNNNNNNNNNNNNNNNNNNNNNNNNNNNNNNNNNNNNNNNNNNNNNNNNNNNNNNNNNNNNNNNNNNNNNNNNNNNNNNNNNNNNNNNNNNNNNNNNNNNNNNNNNNNNNNNNNNNNNNNNNNNNNNNNNNNNNNNNNNNNNNNNNNNNNNNNNNNNNNNNNNNNNNNNNNNNNNNNNNNNNNNNNNNNNNNNNNNNNNNNNNNNNNNNNNNNNNNNNNNNNNNNNNNNNNNNNNNNNNNNNNNNNNNNNNNNNNNNNNNNNNNNNNNNNNNNGUGGAAGGAUCAUCCCAACUUUAAUUACGGAGCUAACCCCCGAUAUAAUCCGUCAUACCAACCGAGACCUUUGCAACCACCGCAACUGCCACCCAAGCCGAGCACAUCUCUAGAAGCUAUUGUGGAAAGACUUGCCGUCGAUGUUGCGAAGUACCAACAGAGGACAGACGCAUCAAUUCAGGAGUUAACUAAUCAAGUUAGUAAACUCUCGAUGGCGGUUAAUCGUUUGGAAUCUCAAGGUAAAUUACCUUCCCAGACAGAGCCGAAUCCUCGGCAGAAUGCAAGUGCAAUAACUCUUCGUAGCGGAAAAGUUCUGGAAACAGUUCCAGACAAAAGUCAUGGGCAAGAAAACAAAUGGGAAAAACAGAUCUCUGAUCCAAAAGCCAGACCGGAGUCAGAAAUUCAAAAACCAGUUGUGGUGCCACCUCCUUUUCCAGGGAGACUCGCGAAGGAUAAGAAAGAAAAGGAGGAAAAAGAAAUCCUUGAAACGUUUAGGAAAGUGGAGGUGAAUAUCCCUUUGCUCGACGCUAUCAAGCAAAUCCCUCGUUAUGCAAAAUUUCUCAAGGAAUUGUGCACUAGCAAGAGGAAGUUAAUAGGUAACGAAAGAGUAAAUGUAGGAGAAAAUGUCUCCGCGGUACUACAAAAGAAAGUUCUGCCUAAAUACAAGGACCAAGGUAUGUUUUCUAUUUCCUGUGAGAUAGGUAAUGUAGGCAUUAAGAAAGCCAUGUGCGAUUUAGGGGCUUCCAUUAAUGUUAUGCCUUAUCCUAUUUAUAAGUUGAUUGACGCGGGUCCUUUGAAAAAGACAGGAGUAAUAAUCCAGUUGGCGAGCAGGUCAGUCAUCUAUCCCGAAGGGUUGCUUGAAGACGUCCUUGUUAAAGUUAACGANNNNNNNNNNNNNNNNNNNNNNNNNNNNNNNNNNNNNNNNNNNNNNNNNNNNNNNNNNNNNNNNNNNNNNNNNNNNNNNNNNNNNNNNNNNNNNNNNNNNGGAAGGCCAUUUUUAAGUACCGCAAGUGCAAAAAUUGAUGUUCAGAGUGGAACAUUGACAAUGGAGUUUGAUGGCGAAAUCAUGAAAUUCAAUGUCUACGAAGCCAUGAGUCAUCCUAACUCAUUGUCAAAUAUUUCCAGUAUCGAUAGUAUAGAUUGUUUAACUCAAAAUUAUUCUGAAUAUCAUGACUUUGAUGAAUUGGAAACUGUCUUUUACAGAAGCAUUGACAUGGAUGUAUUGAGUCGUCUCGAGGAGUUAGAAGUUAUAGAAGAUCCGUUGCGAGAAAUUGUCAAACACUUGGAGACUCAACCAUCGUCGACGAGUUGAGGUAACCAUCUUGAACUAUUACCUUCCCAAGUUAAAAUGUUGCCUUCGAUUUUGCAGCCACAACCUUGGAGCUCAAAGCGUUACCAGACCACCUCAAGUAUGUUUUUUUGGGAGAGAAAGACACCCUACCGGUAAUAGUGUCAAACAGACUAACCAAAGACGAGGAGGAAAGUCUAGUUCGAGUUCUGAAGGAAUAUAAGGAAGCUAUUGGUUGGACAAUAGCUGACAUAAAAGGGCUAAGUCCAUCCACCUGUAUGCACAGAAUUUCCAUCGAAGAUAACACGAAACCAAAGAGAGAUGCUCAGAGGCACCUUAAUCCACCCAUGACGGAGGUAGUAAAGAAGGAGAUCCAGNNNNNNNNNNNNNNNNNNNNNNNNNNNNNNNNNNNNNNNNNNNNNNNNNNNNNNNNNNNNNNNNNNNNNNNNNNNNNNNNNNNNNNNNNNNNNNNNNNNNAUGUUGGAUGCUGGAAUGAUAUACCCGAUCUGUGACAGUGAUUGGGUUAGCCCAGUUCAUGUCGUGCCCAAGAAAACUGGCGUGACAGUGGUGCAAAAUUCAUUAGGAGAGCUAGUUCCUACCCGAGUCCAGAAUGGAUGGAGGGUUUGCAUCGAUUACAGGAAGUUGAACGCAGCUACCCGAAAAGACCAUUUUCCACUUCCCUUCAUCGAUCAAAUGCUCGAGCGAUUAGCUGGUAAGACUCAUUAUUGUUGUCUCGAUGGAUAUUCAGGAUUUUUCCAAAUUCCGGUGGCGCCUGAGGAUCAAGACAAAACAACUUUUACGUGCCCCUUUGCAACAUUUGCGUAUAGACGAAUGCCGUUUGGACUCUGUAAUGCUCCGGCCACCUUCCAGAGAUGUAUGGUAAGCAUAUUCUCCGAUUACAUCGAGAAAAUCAUUGAAGUCUUCAUGGAUGACUUCACGGUGUACGGUAACUCUUUUAAUGAAUGUCUCGAUAAUCUUGCUAAGAUAUUACAAAGAUGCCUAGAAUUUAAUCUUGUUUUAAAUUAUGAAAAAUGCCAUUUCAUGGUUGACAAAGGACUAGUUUUAGGUCAUAUAGUUUCCUCAGAAGGUAUUGAGGUCGAUAAAGCAAAAACAGAUAUUAUUAACUCAUUACCUUACCCCACAUCUGUGAGGGAAAUUCGUUCGUUUCUUGGACAUGCAGGAUUUUACAGACGAUUCAUAAAAGACUUCUCGAAGAUCGCGCAACCGCUCUGCAGUCUGUUACAGAAGGAUAAAGAAUUUAAAUUUGAGCAGACUUGUAAAGAUGCAUUUGAUGUACUGAAGCAGAAAUUGGUCUCCGCCCCCAUAGUGCAACCACCGAAUUGGAACUUCCCGUUUGAAAUCAUGUGUGAUGCAAGUGAUCGAAGUGUGGGAGCUGUUCUUGGCCAAAGAAUAGGGAAAGAGCCUCAUGUUAUCUACUACACUUCGAAAACUUUGGAUGCUACCCAAAGCAAUUACACAACCACUGAGAAAGAAUUAUUAGCUGUUGUGUUUGCUUUAGAUAAAUUUAGGUCUUACCUGAUGGGAACUAAAGUGAUUAUUUUUUCUGAUCAUGCAGCUUUGAAAUAUUUGAUAGGGAAGAAGGAGGCAAAACCUCGACUAAUUAGGUGGAUUCUACUUCUGCAAGAAUUUGAUUUUGAAAUCCGGGAUAAGAAGGGAUGCGAAAACUUAGUAGCCGACCAUCUGAGUCGAUUACCGAUUCCGACAGAUGACACACCAUUGAAAGACAACUUCCCAGAUGAAAACCUGUUUUCAGCAAAUGCGGUUCAUCCUUGGUACGCAGAUAUAGUAAAUUAUCUCGUCACAGGUACUAUACCUUCAGAAUUACCAAGGUCCAGAAAAGAUAAGAUUAAAAAAGAUGCUCGAUAUUACAUUUGGGACGAUCCUUACCUAUGGAAGCAUUGCUCCGAUCAGGUAAUUCGACGGUGUGUAGCAGAAACAGAGGUACAGUCUAUCUUAACUUUUUGCCAUUCUUAUGCAUGUGGAGGACACUUUGGACCUAAACGCACCGCACAUAAAAUUCUCGAGUGUGGACUAUUUUGGCCAAGUAUAUUUCGUGACGCCUUCUUAUUUUGUAAAACCUGUGAAAAAUGCCAAAAAGUCGGUAAUCUUAGCCGUCGAAAUGAGAUGCCCCUUACUCCCAUCCAUAUUUGUAAAAUUUUCGAUGUGUGGGGCAUCGAUUUUAUGGGUCCUUUUAUUUAUUCUUUUGGAAAUUUUUAUAUACUCUUAGCUGUUGAUUACGUUUCUAAGUGGAUAGAAGCAAAGGCUACUCGUAAUGAUAAUGCUAAAACUGUGGUUGACUUUCUUAAAAGUUCUAUCUUUUCCAGGUAUGGCACCCCACGAGCAUUAAUCAGUGAUAGAGGAACCCAUUUUUGCAAUAAGCUCGUAAGUGCACUUAUGGAGAAGUACGGAGUGACUCAACGAAUUUCUACCGCCUACCAUCCACAGACAAACGGACAAGCUGAAGUGUCAAAUCGAGAAAUCAAGUCCAUCUUGGAGAAGACUGUUAAACCAAACAGAAAGGAUUGGAGCUUGAGACUAAAUGACGCACUCUGGGCUUAUAGGACAGCUUACAAGGGACCAAUCGGCAUGUCACCUUAUCGACUCAUUUUUGGUAAACCGUGCCAUCUCCCGGUCGAAUUAGAGCAUAAAGCAUUUUAGGCAGUUAAGCAGUGUAAUAUGGAAAUGGAGACCGCAGGAAGAGCUCGAAAGUUGGACAUUCAGGAACUCGAGGAAAUUAGAAACGAUGCAUAUGAAAAUGCUCGAGUUUAUAAAGAAAAGACGAAGGCGUUCCACGAUAAGAGGAUCACUAGAAAGCAGUUUUCAAUAGGACAAAAAGUUCUCCUAUACGACUCCACCUUAAAAAUUUUUACGGGUAAGCUUCGAUCCAAAUUGAUAGGUCCAUUUACUAUCACUAAUCUAUUCUCAAAUGGUGCAGUGGAAAUUCAAAGCGAAGAAACCCGAAAGUGCUUUAAGGUGAAUGGUCAACGACUGAAACCCUUCUACGAGAAUUUUCAAAUACACACAGUUGAGGAGAUUGUUCUCGAAGAGCCCAAAACUUGAAUAACACAGGUCGUCGAGCUAAACGACGUUAAACAAAGCGCUGUUGGGAGACAACCCAAAUUUUCUUUUCCUUUAUGCAAAUAAAAUUUUUGGUAAAAUGGAAAAUGGAAAUGCAUGUCAAGGAUUAGUUCUGUCUAAGGAAAGACUUGGUACUUAAGUAUGUCCAUUGUGACUCACCUCUCUUUCCUGGGAACUUACUUGGUGCAUUUAUCACGACUGUUUUACCAAAUCUCGUAAUCUUGGUUUUUAAUAAUUUAUUUCUCGAGUUUAUAGCUUAGCUAAUAAAUUUGAAAAAAAACAUUUUAAUUUCCCUAUUAUUAUUAUUUAUUUUUACUAUUUUAUUUUUGCAGGAAAACAUUCCAAGACAAAAUUAAAUUCCACAUGUCAACCCACAAAAUUCUUUUUUCAGUUAAGGCCCACUCUACCUACGAGACCGCCCUCCAUGACGUUGAAAUACAUGGGGAGUUUCUUUUUCUCUCUUUCUCCUACUUAUCUUUACUUUUAUUUUUUAAAUUACAUUGGGACAAUGUAAAAUAAGUAGGGGGGAGGGAAACAUAAAUUGGUUCUAAUUUGCUUAUCUGUCGUCGCUAUUUUUGCAUGUUUUCGGUAAAAGGUAAAUUUUUCUUUUAAUUGGGAUGGUACACUUAUGGUUUGACCGAUUUAGCUAUUUAAUUCUUUACACAUGAAACUUUUCAAUAACCUAGACUUAGUAGGUAAGAAAUUUUUGGAAUUAUGAGUUUGCUUGAUUGCCUACCUUUUAUCAUAUGUUUUUAUUAUUUUUUCAAAAAAAAAAGAUUAAAUACUCCUCUGAUACAAAUGUUAAGAGUGAAAAUUUGGGUUGUAUAUCGAAUUAAGUAACCGGAAUGUGGUGCUUGGGUUGUCAUCACAUCUCGUGUAAAAAGGUUCAUGUGACUGUCCAAUUUAUUUGCACUCACUCCGCUGACAAGUUAUUAUGAGUAGGGCGAAAUAACCCGCUUAGAGACGUCCGAAUUGAGUAACCGGAACAUGGUGCUUGGGUUGUCAUCAUGUCUCGCGUCAAAAAAUUCGAUAAUGUCCUAAGUACAAAAAUAAAUAAAUAAAAUAAAAUGAAAGGUAAAUCUAUCAAGCUCUCAUAAAUUCUGAUAUAUAUUUACUUACUGCUUAGGCUAGGUUAUUUGAGUUGUUAAUGUGCUAGGAUUGAAUUGUUGAAUUGUGCAAACGAUGAGUAUCAAGUCCUAUUUUGGAGAAUUUUUUUCCUUUUGCAGAUACAUACAAAAUGCUCGAGGACUAGCAUAAGCUAAGUAGGGGGAAUUGAUUAAAUACUAAAAUUACAUAUUUUAUGUAAUUAAUUUGGUAUAUUUAUGAGAAUGCACCACUAAUUUUUCCAUAUUUAUUGAAUUUUGUGCAGGAAUGUAAUUUGGGGCUAAAUAGAAGAAAAAGGAAACAAUUGGGCUGAAUUGAAGAAAGAAGCGAAAAAGGAGGGCCAAAGAAGAAUUUUUCCAAGAUUAAUUAGCUGAAAUUUUUGAGUUAGUGGGAGAAUAUUUUGGGAUUUAUUUUAUUUUGGGAUAUUUUUUCCUUAAUUUCCUAUGACUAGUUGGCUCCUAAUUUAGUAAAUCAACUAGUAUAAAUAGAGCUUGUAUCGUUCAUCAUUUCAUCAAUUAAAAAAUAAUUUAGCUUUUGUCUUUCAAUUCUCUCCUUUCUCACGUAGCCUUUGUUAUUUCUUAGCUUGUUUUCCUUCAAUUUUCAUUAGUUCCAGUAGCCUACCAUCCAUUUCACCUUUAUUUUCAACUUUUCACAAAUUUAUUUAUUGUCUUUAGUUUCUUUAACUUUUAAUUCCUAAAAACUUCCAGCUUUUACUACUUUCCAUUUACAACACCUUUUUCAAAUUCCCUUUUUCAACCACCCCCACACUUAAUCACAUCACCCAUCUUUUCACCUCUUUUACCUUAUUUAAUUUAUCAAAUACCAACAUGUCCCAAACCUUAGCCAACUAAACCCAUUUUCAGCUUUAGGCCGAAAUUAGCCUCGUCAAAACCCGUGAGUUACGAACCCGAGCCAUUUAACUCCUAAAAUUCCAGUACUUAUUACUUCUCCGGAUUAAGAGUAUGAUUUUGUCAGCUCAUAANNNNNNNNNNNNNNNNNNNNNNNNNNNNNNNNNNNNNNNNNNNNNNNNNNNNNNNNNNNNNNNNNNNNNNNNNNNNNNNNNNNNNNNNNNNNNNNNNNNNCACUAAGUCAAAAAAGACGUCGUUUGAUUUGGUGUGAUUAGACGUACAGUUGGAAUUCUGAAAAGAACGUUUCUAAUCGGUUUUCUGUGAACACAUUAGCGUGCCAAGUGGAGGCUGCUGUUUGGUUCCGUCAAGGGAAGUAGUAACCGGAUUUAAAUGUCCCACGCGGUUGAGGGCAUUGGUUCGAGCUAGGCUCUUCUAGAACGCAAAGCUGCCGGAGUUCUAAAUCACGAACGUUUCGUGGUUGUUCGAUCGGUAAGAAUUAGUUAUUGGACGUUCCAUAACUAAUUUACACAAGGAAGAGUUGGUGUCCGAGGCGUCCUUGGUAGCUAUAACUAGCUUAUUGGAAAAGAGGAGUUCAUCCAAUUUCGAGGAUCGGUUCAAAGACGAGGAAAAUUCGCGCCUAAAGCUGAGGUCAUUCUAAUUAAUUUUUCUUAAUAUUUAUUUCACAGUUAUUAUUAUUCUGUUUUCAACUUUUACUUUUGACAUUAUUUUUCUGUUAAUUUCAGGUUUUCAAAUUUUUAUCCCCCCAAACGUCUUGGGCACGACAGCUGCCCCGACAUAAAUCUGGUCAAACGAGCAACAAUUUACAGUAAACCAGUCUCUGAGGGAUCGACCCUACUCUCUAUACUGCAUAAUUUGCAACUUAAGGCGUAGGUUUAUAUUGGUGGAUUCGACACCCAUCAAGCCGUAACAGAAUAUAACAAAUAAUAGAGAAAAUAUAAAAUAAAAAACAAAUAUUUUUUGUAUUUUGAUUCGACUAUAUAAAGCCGAAUUUUGCAUCUGUAAGAGGAUUUUUUUUUUGGAAUCAAUCAAAAAAGGAAAAAGUAUUCAAUACCAACAAUCAGAGAAUUUAAAAUACAAAAUAGAGAUCUAAGGUAGUCUUCUGCUAUUUUUUUCUUUCUUCGUUUUGAUUUGUUUUUUUAAAAUAACAUAGAAAAUAAAAAAAGGAAAGGAGACUUACCUAAUUGCCUUACGACGCAUCGUUGGAGGUGCCUCCCCCGCUGCCUUCAAAUCUGCUUCAAAAAGGAAUAAAAAGCCAAUUAUGGUGUGGCUCCGACCACCGUUCACGGUGGAAUCGCGGAGGAGGCACGGUGGACUGGCGACGGCUAAUGCUGGGUUUGAAACCCUAGCAGAGAAAAUGGAUGUUUUUUUUAAACAAAAUAGCAGAAUGUUUUUUUUAAAUUGUUGUUUUUAUAAAGGGUUUGAAACGGCGUCGUUUAGGCCUGUUAAGGUGGCCUCAAAACGGCGUCGUAUAAGCCAUGACCCACUCAGUGACCCGACCUGAAGAAAGGAUCCGCGUGUUUUGUCUCAAUGGUUUACUUGCGUUAAUUGGUCCCCCACUUUUGUAACGUGUUUAAAUUGAUCCUUUUAUGUUUCUUAAAUUUUGCCACAUAUUUCAUUGUUUGUUUCAAUUUGGUCCAUGCUGAAACGCAGCGUUUUGCGGCUGGGGAUAUUUUCCUCUGUAGUCCCCAUGUUCUUCGUGCGUGCCUUUUUGGUCCUCAAUUCUGCUUUAUUUUCAUUUUUUUUCUUUUUAUUUCAAAUUUAAUACAAUUUUAUCCAUACUUAUUUAAUUUAAUGUACUUGAUUUUUAUUCUAUUUAAAAUUCAUUUUUCUUUUAUUUUUAGAUAUAUUUAUUUUUAAAUCUAACUUUCUUUUUAUGUUUAAGUUUAAUAUAUUUUUAAUUUUAUUAUCAAUACGAUUUCAAUAUUAUAAUAUAUUAUUAUUUUAAACCUAUCAUUAAUAUUAUGUAAAUUCUGUUGGGAUUGGGGUUUUACAUCUCAGAGUAGAGCUGCAAACUGAUGGAGGCCAUUGAAGUGCCAGCUUGUAGAAGUCCGGAAUUGCUGGUUGCUGGGGUACUACAAAUGCUACCCAUAAUGAAAAAUUGAUACAAUGCAUUUUUACAAAUUUACAAAUAAAAAGAGAACUACUCCAUAUAUAAAUAUUACAUGCAUGGAUCGUUGGGCUGAGAUUGGAUGAUUGUACUUUGUGAGUAGCUGGUUUAUGAUCUCUUUUAUAAGCUUAGCACACAUAUUUCACAAAAUUUUUAAAGUCCUACAACCAUGAAAUAAAUAUUGAAGUUACUUAUCUCGAAGAGUUACUUCACAAUCACACCAAGAGAGAAAUAAACAAACUCACUUGUCUGAGUGGCUGAUUAUUCACCACCACCCAUGGCACAUAUUUGUUGGUGUUAAUAACAAAGAACAAACAAGUUGGCUGAGACUUGAGCAGCAAGGCUCGAUUCUUGCUGAAGAAAUAACAAAAUUUUCAAGACAGAAAAUUGAAAAGAAAAGUAAAGAACAAUGGAGAGUAUUUGAAACAAAAAACUGAUUGAAUUCAUUCAAUUUGAAAAAUGGCAUAAUGCCAAUACAUAAAUUAAGCACUGAGCUUGUCAAAAACAGAAAGUGGUCACCUAAUCAACACCUACUACCACUUAGACAUUGAAACUUGAAAAACAAAACUUGUAAACAUAGAUAAAGUUGAGUUUACAGCUCAUUCACCAUCUAAUUACAUCAAUCAUAAACCUAACUUAGUUUAAAAUGAACUAGAAUACAUUUCCUUAAACAAAAGUUACAAAAUGAACAAAAGAUCACCAGUUGCACUUGCUCCAAUAGCUUCUGCAUGGCUCGACCUGCAUGUCUUGUUUUUUUACUGCUCUUGGUGCUACAUGCUGACCAUAUUUCAACACUCCUCCUUGGUUAGCAUGUUGCAAACUCCAAUCUCUUUCUCAAAUGCUCGAACUUUGUCACACUAAGGGGCUUGGUUAAAAUGUCAGCAAGUUGAUCCUCUGAAUUGCAAUGAACCAGUUUCAUUUCUUGUGCUUGCUCCAUUUCUCUAACAACAUGAAGUUUAAUGUUGAAAUGUUUUGUUCUUCCAUGGAACACUGGGUUCUUUGCAAUUGCAACAGCGUACUGGUCUUCACAAAAGAUCUUUAUUGCUUCCCUUUGAUACACAUUUAAAUCAGCCAUUAUUUUCCUUAGCCAAUUGGCUUGGUUUACAACAUUUGAUGCUGCAACAUAUUCUACUUCAGCAGUAGAUUGUACAACUACUGUUUGUUUCUUCAAGCUCCAACAAAACAUAGCUGAACCAAGAUUGAAAGUAUACCCUGAGGUCUUUUCAUGUCAUCCAUCGAACAAGCCUAGUUACUAUCAGUAUAGCCAACCAACUUGAGGAAUUUAGCAUUUCUAUAUAUCAUUCCAUGGCUCAGUGUACCCUUGACAUACCUGAGCACUCUCUUUGCAGCUUGAAAGUGUCUCAUAUUGCUACAAUGCAAGAACCUUGAAAGCAAACUUACAGCAAACAUAAUGUCUGCCCUAGUGGCUGUUAGGUACAACAAGUAACCAACUAAGCUUCUGUAGAUUAUUUCAUAAACCUUCUCAAAAUCAUCAUGGCUCGAUAGUUUUUCUCCAACAGCAACUGGAGUAUUGGUUGCUUUGCUAUUUUGCAUUGAGAACUUGGUCAGAAUCUUAGAGGCAAAGGCUCUCUGACUUAGGAAUAUCCCAUUGUGUGUUUGUGUUACUUCCAUACCAAGAAAAUAGGUUAUCAUUCCUAGAUUAGACAUCUCAAAUAUUUGUUGCAUUUUGGUUUUGAAAUUAAUCAGUGUUGUUUGGUCUCCUCCUGUCACUAACAGGUCAUCAACAUACAGAGAUACAAUGAGUUGAGCCUAUGCCCCUUCUUUCUUAACAUAAAAAGUUAGCUCACUCUUGCUUCUUUUAAAUUUCAAGUUGACCAGGUAGCUAUCGAUCCUGCUAUACCAGGCCCUUUGAGCCUGUUUCAAGCCAUACAAGGCUUUCUUCAGUUUAUAAACCAAGUGUUCUUUACCAGCUAUUUCAAAGCCCUGAGGUUGUUCAACAUAGAUAUCCUCUUCAAGAAAUCCAUUGAGAAGGGCAGACUUCACAUCGAGCUGGUGGAUUUUCCAUUGCAUUUGUGCUGCUAAGGCAAUCAGCAACCUAAUGGUGUUGAGCCUGGCCACUACUGCAAAGGUCUCCAAGUAAUUCAAACCAUACUUCUGGCUAAACCCCUUAACAACCAGCCUUGGUUUCAGCUUAUUCAAGCUCCCAUCAGCAUUGUGCUUGGCUCGAUAGACCUAUUUUACCCCAAUAACCUUCCUAUUUGCUGGUCUUUGAAUCAGCUCCUAAGUCUGAUUCUUCUUAAUCAUGCUGAUUUUAUCAGCCAUUGCUUGUUUCUAGCCUAGGUGUACUUUAGCCUUUUCAAAGUAGCUUGGUUAUACUAUAACUACAUGAGCUCUUUCAUAAAUCUCAACCAAUGGUCUAGUGCCCCUGAUUGGUUCAUCAUCAAUGUCUAUUUCAGGACCAUUUUGAUCUGGCUCAGUUUGAUUUGCCAUUAGAUCUUUAGGAACUAUUUUUGGUUCAUUCUUCUCCCAGUUCCAACAUGUUUUCUCAUCGAACACCACAUCUCUUCUUACAGACACUUUGUUUGUUGAAGGAUCCAAGAUCCUAUAGCCCUUUUUGACUGUACUGUAGCCCACCAGAAUACCAGGUUGAGCUUUCUUGCCUAAUUUGUCCCUCUUCACUGCUGGGACAUGAGCAUAGCAUAUGCUACCAAAGACCCUUAGAUGAGCGAGUGAAGGUUUGAACCCGAACCAGGCUUCAAAUGGAGUCUUGUCAGCCAAGGCCUUGGUUGGAAGUCUGUUUUGGAUGUACACACAGUGUUGACUACCUCAGCCCAUAAGGUUUUGGGCAAAUUCUUCUCAAACAAUAGGCAUCUGGCCAUAUCCAUCAAGCUCCUAUUCUUCCUCUCAUUUACACCAUUCUGUUGAGGAGUAUAGGUGUUGGUGGGCUGGUGUUUGAUACCUACUUCAUCACUAAAAGCUUGGAACUGAGCUGAGGUGUAUUUAGUCCCAUUAUCGGACCUUAUGGUUUUUAGCUUGCAGCCAGUUUUAGUCUCUGUAGCAAUCUUGAAUUUGGAAAACACUGAGGCCACUUCUGAUUUCUGUUUCAAGAAGUAAAUCCAGCAAAACUUGAGAAAUCAUCAAUAAAUAGAAUAAAGUACCUGCUUCCAUUCAGUGACUCAGUCUUCAUGGGGCCACACAUAUCAUUGUGCACGAGCUGUAGCCUUUCUGAGGUUCUCCAGGCCUGAUUCGAGGGAAAUAGGAGUUUGGCCUAUUUUCCUAGCUGGCAUACUUCACAAACUUCCUAUUUUUCAACUGAACCAAUGAAAUUUUUAGCCAAAUCUUCUCUGGUCAGUUGCUCCAUCGAUCUAUAGUUGGCAUGACCAAGCCUUUGAUGCCAGAGCUUGGAUUCAUCUGAUGUGGCUAUAUAAGCAGUGUUUGAGCCAUUUGUCCAAUUAACAACAAAACUCUUAUCAUUCACAGUGAAUAUCAUGAACUUGGAUCCACUUGGAUCACUAAUUUGACACUCAUUGCGUUUGAACACUACAGAAUACCCUUUUUCUAAUAGCUGAGCAGGUUUCUAUUGAUUUCAGGCACCAACAACACAUUUAAAAUGAGCUCGUUGCCUGUAGGAGUGCAUAUCAAAACAUCUCCUCUACCUUUUGCCUUUAUAAAAUGGCCAUUGCCAACCUUUACCUUGGUUUUGUAGCUUUUGUCUAAUAAUUUGAAGAUGGCAGCAUCUGGUGUCAUAUGGUUGGUGCAACCAAUGUCUAAGAGCCAGCCAUUUGUAAGCUUCUCCUGAGCAGCUGAGCAUGACACAACAAAAACUUGCUCUUGUAAUAGCCUAGGCUCACAAAAAAAAACCCAAAAUAAUAAAACCAAGUCUAAGUCCAGUCCAAAAUUAUAUCAUUUGGCCCAAUCGAAAUGGCCUGUUACUUGAAAAUGUUGAAGGUCCAUCUACAAGCUUGAUGCAUAUGGAAACAUAAUCCUCGAGGAUAUGCAAUCUUAGAUAUGAUAUGCAAUCUUAUAAGAUAUGAUUUUGUAAUCUUAGAUAUUUAAUUUGUAGAUACCCUUUAAUCUUAGCCGUUGAUGUAAUUGACCUGUAGCGUUGGAUUUGGGGAGGAUCAACUAUAAAUAGGGGCCUCUCCUUCAUUGUAAAAACACUUAAGUUUGGAGCAAUAAUAAUUCUUAAGAACAUUCACUCAAAUUUCUCCCUCUCUUGCGUUCUUAUUUUCUAUGGCUUGUUCUUAAUUUGUUCUUCGUUCAUCUUCGUUUCUUUUUAAGUUGCUUUCAUUUGAGUUGGAUUUUGGUGGAGGAAUUUCGUUGAAUCUUCAUAUUGUGAGAGUUAGGCUGACUUAAACGUUUUUUUAACCUUUUUUAUUUAUCUAUUUAAUUGUUUAAUCAUUAAUUAUUCUUUUACUUUUAUUCGUUUAUUUUAUAUCUAUCAACUUUCUUAUUUACAUAUUGUUCAUUCAUUUAACCAUUCUUAUCUUUUUUUUUCUUCCAUUAAUUAUAUACUUUAUUUUUUUAAUAUUAUGUCACACAUGUUGUUUAUUUUUUAAAAACUCGUGUUAUAAAUUAUUCAUUUUAAAUUGUUUGAUUAUUUGCUUAAAUUUUUUUUCUCAUAUAUUAUCNNNNNNNNNNNNNNNNNNNNNNNNNNNNNNNNNNNNNNNNNNNNNNNNNNNNNNNNNNNNNNNNNNNNNNNNNNNNNNNNNNNNNNNNNNNNNNNNNNNNUUUAUUUUUAAACUCAUUUAUAUAUUAUUACUUUAUAUAUUACCUAUUUUCAUUUUUUAUAUAUUAUUUAUUCCAAACUUAUACAUAUAUUACCUACUUUUUUAUAUAUAUAAUUUAUUUAUUGAUUUGUAUAUUGUUGAUUUCAAAUUUCUUUUUCCCUUAUUAUUCAUUUUCAAAUUCAUUAUUUUUAAAUUUGUUUACAUUUUAUUUUGCCUUAUAUAUAUAUAUAUAUAUAUAUUAUUUUAUACUCUUUGUUUUAAAUUCAUUGGUCUAUGAUUAUUGAUGCUAGUAUUUAAAUAAUUGCCAUUAUGUGUUUUAUAAAUUAUUUUUUUGUAUUUUCAUAUUGCCUUUUUUAUCAAAGUUUUUACGCAUCGUUUUAAUAUUGCAUCAAUUUUUUCCAAUUUUAGAAAAGAAAACUUUUUGAAAUAAGGUAAUAUUUGAUACUUUGGAGCUUUGAGAAAAUCGUACCCUAACUUACUGGGUUUCAAUUUUUUUGAUCCAAAUAACCGAAUAUCCUUUUUAAACUUUAAUGCAUGAGACAAGCUUAGUUUCGAGGGUUAAAAUGUCGUAUCCUAACUUACUGGAUGUGACAUCUUAUUACUUUGGGACAAGGAGCUCUUAACAUCAAAUUCGAUUUAUUUAGUUUUUAAAGAGGAUCGUAUUUUAAAAUCUUUUCAAAUUUUCAACAUUAGGACAUUAAUUAAUCAAUUAGGUACUAAUUUUUGGGCAUUAUGAGGGUGCUAAUCCUUCCUCGUGCGUAACAGACUCCAUAGCCCAUUUUCUCAAAUUUUGUAGACCAAAAUCAUUAUUUUAAUAAAUCAAAAUGUUUUAUUAAAAUGAUUAAUCUCAAGGUGACCCGAUCACACCUCGAAAAAAGAUUGGUGGCGACUCCAUUUUCGUUUUAAAAGUUGACCCCGUUUUUCAAAAUAAAAAUGGUUUCGACACUCAUGGUCACUGCCUUCUUUUGCCAUUUGAGCUUCAGCCUUUGGUGUUGUGGUUGGUACUGCCUUGGUUUGCCUUUGCUUCUGCAAACCUUUUCAACAUGUCCCAUCUUUUUCCAGUGUUGGCACUGUACAUCUAGUCUAAACCAGUAAUUUGCUUCUGAAUGACCAAGUCUUUUGCAAUGCCUGCAGGGUUGGUCCCUUCUUCUUGUAGUAUCAAACUGUGGCUUGUCUUUCCAAGUCUUCUUGCCUUUGUAGGCAUUGUUGCUCAAGGAAAAAUUGGUUUUUCCUGGAAGGCACCUUCUUGGUGCUCCUCUAAUCUGCUGGCUCUUCUUUGCUCCUGUGCAUAGAAAGCAUUGAUCAGCUCUGUCAAUGUGAUGCUGGUUAGGUCCCUUGAGUCUUCGAGGGAUGAAAUUUUUGCCUUAUACCUCUCAGGCAAGGUUGAAAUCAUCUUCUCCACUAUCCUUGCUUCACUAAACUCCUCACCAAGGAGCCUCAUGCUGUUUACCACAGCCAUAAUUCUAUCUGAGUACUAUUUGACAGUUUCUUCUUCCUUCAUUUUCAAAUUCUCGAAGUCCCUUCUCAGGUUCAACAACUAUUGCUGCCUUGUCCUCUCUGUCCCUUGAAACUCCUCUUUUAACAUGUCCCAAGCCUGUUUUGGUGUCUCACAGGCCACGAUCCUUGUAAAGAUCACAUCUGACACUCAAUUUUGGAUGUAGGACAUGGCCUUGUACCUCUUAGUCCUUUCAUCAGCAUGCUGCCUGAUCUGAGCUAUUGUUGGAUUGGCUCUGAGUGGCUCUGGUUCAACAUCUGAGUUGACCACCUCCCACAAAUCGAAUGCCUGUAGGUAGGUCUACAUUUUGACCACCCAUAUGUGAUAGCUUUCUCUAUUGAAGAUUGGUGGUGCAGCUGGUGAGAAGCUUGAUGAGGCCAUUGUUAUAAGUAACAGGUCCCUUAAGAUUACAGCUCUAUAUACCAAUUGUUAGUGUUAACAACAAAGAAAAAACAAGUUGGUUGAGACUUGAGCAGCAAGGCUCGAUUUUUGCUGAAGAAAUAACAAAUUUUUCAAGACAGAAAAUUGAAAAAAAAAGCAAAGAACAAUGGACAAUAUUUGGAAAAAAAUUGAUUGAAUUCAUUCAAGUUGAAAAAUGGCAUAAUGCCAAUACAUAAUCAAGCACUAAGCUUGCCAAAAAUAGAAAGUGCUCACCUAAUCAACACCUACUACCACUAAUACAUUGAAACUUGAAAAAUAAAACUUGUAAACAUAGAUAAAGCUGAGUUUACAACUCAUUCACCUUAGACAAAAGUUACAAAAUGAACAAAAGAUCAUCGGCUGCACUUGCUCUAACAGCUUCUGCAUGGCUCGGCCUGCAUGUCUUGCUUCUUUAUUGCUCUUGGUGCUACAUGCUGACCAUACUUCAACAAUAUUCUUAAGGUGGCUUCAUAUGUGCAAUCUAAUUAGAAUAUUGCAGCUGAAGCCGCAAUUCAUUAAUUUGAAUCAAGUCAAUGCCAUUCGGAAGUCAUAGCGAAGAUGUUGCGAGAAUGGAUUAUUUUAAACUAUAGCAUAAAUACUUGAGUCUCAAAAUAAGCACUAGCUCAAUAAAACGCAUAUGAUAAUUUAGAAUACUGUAAUAAAACACAUAUUGAUAAUUCAGAUAUUAUAUUAAACAUUUUUAAACAUAUAUGAGACAAUUGUGGUAAAGCUGGCUAUGGAAAUUCUAUGGUAUCGGAUCCACUACUGCACAGGCCGUAAAAUAAGCUAGAACAAUUUUGGGGAGUUCCAAAGUUAUGGGAUGGACUCGGUCUUCCAUAACAGAUAAACAUCUCCUCGAGUAGUAGAACUCUAGUUCUUCUGUGUUUACUGCAUGAAAUUUGUGGAGAUGCUCUUAUAAGUCGGACAACUAUGUCCGCAACUUAUCGGACCGUAUAGGUGGAUCCACGUGUGUGUCCCAUAGCUAAAUCCCAAAAUUCAAUAAAACAAAUAAGAGACAAUAAAGUAUAUUAAACACAAAUAGGAAUGUGAAGGGAAAAUAAAUACAAUUUAUUCGAUAUACCUGAAUUUAAAUUUGUCCUAAGUUGUAUGGCCAAUUGGAAGUAUGGCAGAGGAUGAUGUGCAAAGUCGAAACAUGUUCCAUAUUUCAUCCAUUCCUUGAACCAAAACCCAAUGUCUGACCCUGUCGAUGCCAAGUUCGGCCAUAGUGUGGGCAAUUGGUUCCAAAGAGCUACAUCCCUUAUCAACAAUUGCUUUUAAAUAAGAAACAAAAAAAUUGAUUAGAUUACAGAUAAAUUACUUAAUAGUUUCAAGCGAAGAAUGUACAUAUGCGUACUUGGAGUGGUGGCCGGGUUAGAAUAGGUUGUGGAUGGCUGCAAGGCUUCCUUCCAUUGUAUGGGGGCCCAGCAUGUCAUGAGCGUCCUGCGCCCAAAUUCCAUGUAUUUUGAAUUCGGUUGGGAUUGGGAGUUUACAGUUGAGAGUAGAGCUACAAACAGAGGGAGGCCACUGAAAUGCCAACUUAUAGAAGUCUACCACUGGAAUUACUGGCGGCUGGGGUACAAGAAUAUAAUAUGUGAGAAGGUGGAGAUGAUCAAAUCUUUCAGCAGGGAUGUCGUCAAGGAGGCUAGUAGGAGUUUUGGCUCUCUAAUGGUAAAAUCUUUAAAAUAGAAUUGUACGUUCUUCAAAGUUGUAUUUGUCCGCUCGGACACAUAAAAACCAAUAUAAUGUGGUGGAGUUUAUUCGAGCAGCUCGUCAUGUUAUGUUUGGAUAAUUCCAUAUAUGUAUGGGUCACCUUUUCCUUUUAUUUUUCCAUGUAAAAAACAAAAGAAAAGAAAGCACUCUCUCCUUCUUAUUAAUAACAUUUUAUACUUAUUAAAUACAUUGGGCAAUCGUGGAAAAGCUACAUAGGGAAACUUAUGAUAUCUGAUAGGCUAUUACAUUGGCCAUGAUAUAAAUGGGAACAGUUUUUAAGUGUUCCAAGGAGAUGAGAUGCUGUCGGUCUUUCAUAACAUAUAUACAUCUCCGAGAGUAAUAAUUGUCUAUUGUUUGUUCUAUUUCUAUUACACGAAAUUUGGGGAUAUGCGUGUAUAAGCUGAAAAACUGCAUUCACAGCUUGUUGGACCGUAUAGGUGGAUCCACGUGUGAGUCCCAUAGCUAAAUCCCAAAAUUCAUUAAAACAAAUAAGAGACAAUAAAGUAUAUUAAACACAAAUAGGAAUGUGAAGGGAAAAUAAAAACAAUUUAUUCGAUAUACCUGAAUUUAAAUUUGUCCUAAGUUGUAUGGCCGAUUGGAAGUAUGACAGAGGAUCUUGUGCUUUGUCGAAACAUGUGCCAUGUUUCCUCCAUUCCUUGAACCAAAAUUUAAUGAUUGACUCUCCCAAUUUCAAGUUCGGCCAUUGUGAGCGCAAGUUGUUCCAAAGUGCUGCAUCCCUUAUUAACAAUUGCAUUUAAAUAAGAAACAAAAAAAUUUAUUAGAUUAUAGAUAAAUUACUUAAUAGUUUCAGGCGAAGAAUAUACGUAUGCAUACUCUGCGAGCUAAUUGUGAUGUCAUAGGUUGUGGAUUGGUGCAGCGAUGAUUUGUACCAUAUGGGGGCACCGGCCUGUCAUGAGCAUCUUGUGCCCAAAUUCCAUGUAUUUUGAAUUCAGUUGGGAUUGGGAGUUUACAGUUGAGAGUAGAGCUACAAACAGAUGGAGGCCAUUGAAGUGCCAGCUUGUAGAAGUCCGGAAUUGCUGGUUGCUGGGGUACUGCAAAUGCUACCCAUAAUGAAAAAUUGAUACAAUGCAUUUUUACAAAUUUACAAAUAAAAAGAGAACUACUCCAUAUAAAAAUAUUACAUGCAUGGAUGGUUGGGCUGAGAUUGGAUGAUUGUGCUUUGCGAGUAGCUGGUUUAUGAUCUCCUUUAUAAGCUUGGCACACAUAUUUCGCAAAAUUUUCAAAGUCCUGCAACCAUGAAAUAAAUAUUGAAGUUACUUAUCCCAAAGUGUUACUUCACAAUCACACCAAGAGAGAAAUAAACAAACUCACUUGUCUGAGUGGCUGAUUAUUCACCACCACCCAUGGCACAUAUUCUUGAGGUGGCUUCAUAUGUGCAGUCUCAUUAGAAUAUUGCAGCUGAAGCCGCAAUUCAUUAAUUUGGAAAUUCAAUGUUAGAAAAAGCAAAGGAGAGUUAAUUAAAUACUAAGACAUGCAGCCAACCUUAUAUCCGAAUCCAGUAGUAUAGCUGAUGAAGUUGUUCAGUAUGCGGCAAACACUCAACAGCAAGCAGGCCAUGAAGACCAAGUAGUGCAGGAGCUGCUGCAAUAAGUUAUUUUUGCUUAUUUUGUAAACUUUAGUUAAAGAAAUGAGUCUUAGUUCAUUUCUAACUAAGUUAAGUCUUUGAUUGAUGUAGUUAGCUUAUGUAUGAGCUGUAAACACAGCAUUGUAUAUGUUUACAAGCUAAAAUUCCAAGUUUCCAUGUAAUUAGUGGAGGUAGGUAAUGAUUAGGUGCUUACUUGCUGAUUUUGACAAGCUUUAUGCCAUUUUUUUUCUCAUGAAUGAAUUAAGUUUUGUUCAUCAAAUACUCUCCAUUUUUCUAAGCUUUUCUUCUUCUUUCUUUUGCUCGAUUUCAUUUGUUUGCUCAACAAGCAUCAAAGCUUGUUGCACAAGACACUUGCCGAGUCUGUUAUUACUGUUAGUGCACCAACAAUUGGUAUCUAGAGCCUACUUCUUAAGGGAUCUGUUAUACAAAUCCAUGGCUUCAUCAAGCUUUUCACCAGCUGCACCUCAAGUCUUCAAUGGAGAAGGCUAUCACAUAUGGGUGGUCAAAAUGAAGACCUACCUGCAGGCUUACGAUCUGUGGGAGGUGGUCAACUCAGAUGUUGAACCAGAGCCACUUAGAGACAAUCCAACAGUGGCUCAGAUCAGGCAGCAUGCUGAUGAGAGGACCAAGAGGUACAAAGCCAUGUCUUGCAUCCAGAACUCAGUGUCUGAUGUGAUUUUCACAAGGAUUAUGGCCUGUGAAUCACCAAAACAGGCCUGGGACAAGUUGCAGGAAGAAUUUCAAGGGACAGAGAGGACAAGGCAGCAACAAUUGUUGAACUUGAGGAGAGAUUUCGAGAAUUUGAAGAUGAAGGAAGAAGAAACUGUCAAGCAAUAUUCUGACAGGAUUAUGGCUAUGGUUAACAGCAUCAGGCUCCUUGGAGAGCAGUUCAAUAAAGCUAGGAUAGUGGAGAAGGUUAUAGCAACUCUGCCUGAGAGGUAUGAGGCAAAAAUCUCAUCUCUUGAGGACUCAAGGGACCUGUCCACCAUCUCCCUAACAGAGUUGAUCAAUGCUCUAUAUGCUCAAGAGCAGAGGAGAGCAAGCAGACUGGAGGAGCACCAGGAAGGUGCCUUUCAGGCAAGAACAAAUACUGCCUACAAAGGCAAGAAGGCCUGGAGAGACAAACCAAAGAAUGAUGCUGCAAGGAGAGAAGGUCAGACUUGCAAGCACUGCAGAAGGGUUGGUCAUCCAGAAGAAAAGUGCUGGUUUAAUCCAGAUGCUGUAUGUCAGCAUUGUAAGAAGAAGGGUCAUGUUGAGAGAGUCUGCAAGAGCAAGACCAAAUCGAGGCAGAAUCAGUUUCAACAGAUGAAAGCUGAGGCUCGAAUAGCUAAGGAGGACAGUGACCAAGAGGAGCAAGUCUUUGCUGUGUCAUGCUCAGCUGCUCAGGAAAGGUUCUCAUCUGGUUGGCUCCUAGACAGUGGAUGCACCAACCACAUGACACUUGAUGCUGCAAUCUUCAAGUCUUUAGACAGAAGCUGCAGAACUAAGGUCAAAAUAGGAAAUGGUCAUUUUAUUCAAGCUGAAGGCAAGGGUGAUGUGCUGAUAUGCACCUCUACAGGUGCCAAAGUGAUUUCAAAUGUGCUCUUGGUGCCUGAAAUUGACAGAAACCUACUCAGCAUAGCUCAACUGCUGGAGAAAGGUUAUUCUGUUGUGUUUAAAGACCAUCAGUGCCAAAUUAGUGAUCCAAGUGGAUCCAAACUGAUGGCAGUCCCUAUGGCUGAUAAGAGCUUUGUAGUUGACUGGACUAAGGAGUCAGACAUUGCCUACAUUGCCACAUCAGAUGAAUCCAAGUUGUGGCAUCAAAGGCUGGGACAUGCCAACUUCAGAUCGAUGGCCCGAAUGGUCAGAGAAGACCUGGCUGAAAACUUCUUCAACUUAGUGGAUCAUGAUGAUGUAUGUGAAGUAUGUCAGCUAGGAAAGCAGGUCAGACUCCCAUUUCCCUCGAAUCAAGCCUGGAGAGCCUCUGAAAAACUCCAACUGGUGCACACUGAUGUGUGUGGCCCUAUGAAGACUGAGUCAUUAAGUGGAAACAGGUAUUUCAUACUGUUCAUUGAUGAUUUCUCGAGAUAUUGCUGGAUUUAUUUCUUAAAACAGAAAUCAGAGGUGGCCACUGUGUUUUGGAAGUUCAAAACUGCUGCUGAGACUGAAACAGGCUGCAAGAUGAAGACCAUAAGUCUGAUAAUGGGACUGAGUACACCUCAGCUCAGUUCCAAGCCUUCUGUGAUAAGGCAGGCAUCAAACACCACUUUACCAACACUUAUACACCUCAACAGAAUGGUGUAAGUGAAAGGAAGAAUAGGAGCUUGAUGGAUAUGGCCAGAUGCUUGAUGAUUCAGAAGAAUCUGCCUAAAGCACUAUGGGCAGAAGCAGUUAACACUGCAACAUACAUCCAAAAUAGACUUCCAACCAAGGCUUUGGAUCAGAAAACUCCAUUCAAGGCUUGGUUUGGCUUUAAGCCAUCACUGGCUCAUCUGAAGGUCUUUGGAUGCAUCUGUUAUACACAUGUAUCUACUGUUAAAAGGGACAAAUUGUCUGAAAGGGCUCGACCUGGUGUUCUGGUGGGCUAUAGUACUGUUAAGAAGGGCUAUAGGAUCUUGGAUCCUUCAACAAAGAAAGUGUCAGUCAGCAGAGAUGUGGUAUUUGAUGAAAAGUCAUGUUGGAACUGGGAGAGACAUGAACCUGAAGAAGUUUCUGAAGAACUUGCACCAGAUCAACCUGAGCCAGAUCAAAAUGUUCCUGAAAUGGACAUUGAUGAUGAACCAGUUAGAGGAACAAGACCAUUGACUGAGAUUUAUGAAAGGGCUCAUGUAGCUAUAGCUGAACCAAGCAAUUUUGAAGAGGCUGAAGCUCAGCAAGGGUGGAAGCAGGCAAUGGCUGAGGAGAUCAGCAUGAUUGAGAAGAACCAGACCUGGGAAUUGGUUGAAAGGCCAGUCAAAAGGAAGGUGAUUGGGGUGAAAUGGGUGUACAAAGCCAAGCAGAAUGCUGAUGGUACCUUAAACAAGUUGAAAGCAAGGCUAGUUGUCAAGGGAUUCAGUCAAAGGUAUGGGUUGGACUACCUGGAGACCUUUGCACCAGUGGCCAGGCUUGACACCAUCAGACUGCUGAUUGCCUUAGCAGCACAGCUCGAGUGGAAGAUCCAUCAGCUCGAUGUAAAAUCAGCCUUUCUGAAUGGUUUCCUAGAUGAAGACAUCUAUGUUGAACAACCACAAGGGUUUGAGAUAGCUGGCAGAGAGCAUAUGGUUUACAAAUUGAAGAAGGCCCUAUAUGGCUUAAAACAGGCUCCAAGGGCCUGGUACAGCAGAAUUGAUGGCUACUUGACUGAUCUGGGAUUCGAUCGAAGCAAGAGUGAGCCAACACUGUAUGUCAAGAAGCAAGGAACACAAACACAACUCAUUGUGUCCCUGUAUGUUGAUGACCUUCUAGUGACAGGAGGAGAUCGAGCAGUGCUGGUUGAUUUCAAGACCAAGAUGCAGGAAGUGUUUGAAAUGUCUGAUCUUGGGGAAAUGUCCUAUUUUCUUGGAAUGGAGGUGUCUCAAGCACAAAAUGAGAUAUUUCUAAGUCAGAGAAGCUUUGCCACAAAGAUUCUGACCAAGUUCUCCAUGCAAAACAACAAGGCAACUAAAACACCUGUUGCUGUUGGAGAAAAACUAUCGAGCCAAGGUGCUUUUGAGAAGGUAUGUGAAACAACCUACAGGAGUCUAGUUGGUUGUUUGCUAUACUUGACUGCCACUAGACCAGACAUCAUGUAUGCUGUAGGAUUGCUCUCAAGAUUCUUGCAUUGCUGCAAUGAGAAGCAUUUCCAAGCUGCAAAGAGAGUGUUGAGAUAUGUCAAGGGCACUUUGAACUAUGGUUUGAAGUACAGCAAAGAAGGAAAUUUGAAGCUGAUUGGGUACACAGAUAGUGACUGGGCUGGCUCAAUAGAUGACAUGAAAAGCACCUUAGGGUAUGCUUUUAACCUUGGUUCAGCCAUGUUUUGCUGGAGCUCGAAGAAGCAAAGCCUGGUGGCUCAAUCUACUGCUAAAGCAGAAUAUGUGGCAGCAGCAAGUGCUGUCAAUCAAGCUAUUUGGCUAAGGAAAGUCUUGGCCGAUUUGAAUUUGCAUCAAAAGGAAGCUACUGAGAUCUUCUGUGACAACCAAUCUGCUGUUGCAAUUGCUAAAAAUCUAGUGUUCCAUGGAAGAACAAAGCAUUUCAGCAUAAAGUUGCAUGUUGUUCGAGAAAUGGAGCAAGCACAAGAGGUGAAGCUGAUUCACUGCAAUUCAGAGGAUCAACUUGCUGACAUUCUGACUAAAGGUCUUAAUGUCACAAGGUUCGAGCAUUUAAGAGGAAAAUUAGGUGUUUGCACCAUACUAACCAAUCAGGAGUGAUGAAGUUGGUCAGUAUGCGGCAAACACUCAACAGCAAGCAGGCCAUGAAGACCAAGCAGUGCAGGAGCUGCUGCAACAAGUUAUUUUUGCUUAUUUUGUAAACUUUAGUUAAAGAAAUGAGUCUUAGUUCAUUUCUAACUAAGUUAAGUCUUUGAUUGAUGUAGUUAGCUUAUGUAUGAGCUGUAAACACAGCAUUGUAUAGGUUUACAAGCUAAAAUUCCAAGUUUCCAUGUAAUUAGUGGAGGUAGGUAAUGAUUAGGUGCUUACUUGCUGAUUUUGACAAGCUUUAUGCUUGUUUUAUGUAUUGGCUUGAUGCCAUUUUUUUUCUCAUGAAUGAAUUAAGUUUUGUUCAUCAAAUACUCUCCAUUUUUCUAAGCUUUUCUUCUUCUUUCUUUUGCUCGAUUUCAUUUGUUUGCUCAGCAAGCAUCAAAGCUUGUUGCACAAGACACUUGCCGAGUCUGUUAUUACUGUUAGUGCACCAACAAUAGCAUUUGUUGAUUAUCUCCUCAUUCAAUCUCAGCUUUUCACUACAAUAUUUCCACAGUGCUUCAAUGGGCGCCCCCUUUAAGCUUUGUUGCUCUGUGCAGCGAAUGAAUUCCAAGUGCUCUUUCUACACCACAGGAGAGUAAUUAAACACGAGUUGGAGAUGAGUACAAAUACUUAUGGCUGAUAGAAGUUACUGCAUCAGGCCAUAAAUGGAUGACACAACUAUGUAUAGUGUUUAAGUGACGUUCUUCUUCUCCAUGUUGCACAUUGUUGCAAAAACUAUAAUUAGUUAUAACACCGAAAAGAAAUUGAACUUCAUUAGUUAAUAAUGAUAAUAUAUACAUUAAAAUGAAGAAGGGUGUUGUAAACCUAGCAAUGGAUUUCAGCAUUGCCCCAAGGGACCAAUCUUAGAUUGAUAAUGCUAUGGAGGUCAGUGCGGAAGACCUUGAGUAGGCCAUUGGAGAUAAGCGAGAAUAUUGCAAGAGCAGCCAGAAUAUAGAAGAUUAAUGGUUGAAGAUAAGCCAUUGUUUCAGUGGUAGCUUUUGCACAAUGCUAAACCUCCAUUGUGCAAGGCUUCUUAUAGUUGAGAAUUGGGAUGAUGAGUAUUGCUUUCUGUCACUUUCAGAAACCAUGAGACAAAUUUACAAAGUUAUCAUCUUUAAAAAAAACAAUUAUUCACCACUUUAAAAAAAUUUAUUUACAUGAAAGAUUGCUUAUCUGUUUAUGUAUGAAUAUUGUCUAAACAUGAAAGGAGAAAUCUUAUUAGAUAAUAGAGUUUUAUAAUAAUUUAUAAUUUGAAUUAAGUUGGCCUUCUAAAAUGCUCUUAGACCAUUAUUAGUGAAUUAAAUAAAACUACUUGGCUCAUAUAAAUAAUUUGAACCAUCGUGCAGUGACACGAGACAAGAAUCUACUUAGUCUAAAUGAAUAUUAAUGGUAAAAAGCCAGUAUGUAAGUCCUUAUCAUAAUAAAGAUAAAAGAAAAUUACUUUGGCACCACCUCUCAUUAAUUCUUAAUAUUUGUGUGAAUGUUUAUUAAUCUUCACAAAGGAUGGACUUCUUUAAUUAUGAACAAUUCUAAGUGCUUGUCAAUUCUUAUUAUGAAGUCAUUCUUUAAUAUAAAUUAUAUAUUAGUCUUGAUAUGGCUUUUCUUUUCUGCAGUCAUCGUAUUAAGCGACUUCGAGGAAAACGAUGAUGGAAGAGAGUGAUGAUGAUAAUAAUCCACCACAAUCAAGUAUUGACUUGAAUAAUAUAAUUCAAUUUCAAUGACUUAAUUAAAUUAUACAAAUCUCAUAUUGCUAAACUGAAUUUUUGAGAUUCUCUAUAAGUCAUUAUACUUCAUUAAGUUAAUAAAAAUUAAGUUUAGACCUUGAACUUGUGGCCUACAAGGCUAAUGCAAUUUACAUCCAAGUCUUUUUGUUUUUAAAACUUCUUAACCUGUAAAAAUAUUUUAAUCGACUGAAGCUAUUUUCAGUUAAGUUCGUAUUAAUCUUUUUCAAACUAUUUUUAGCUAAUUCAAUCAACUUACCUUUGCUAUAUUUAACCAGUGAAAUUUUUAUAAAUACACCUUCAAAAUUACCAAUUUAUUCUUUACAUUCUCUUUCAAACACUCCUUGUUUACUCAAAAGCUUUCUUCUAUAAUUUUAGCCGAAUAUUUAUUUGGUUUGUUUUUCCUACUGAUUAAUAGAAUUGUUUGUUGAAUUAUGAAAUAUUUGUAAAGACAAUGAUAUUCACACCUCAAACAAUAAUUCUAAUAUUCUAAACCUCCUAUUUCUAACCAUUCCAAGGAUAAAAAUUAGAUAUAAAUGAUUUUCUCCUUUUAUUGUGUUGAAUUUAAUUACAGAACAAAUUUAAAGGAAAAUGAGUCGGGUGUUCAAAUUCUUUUAAUUUAUUUUAAGACUAAUCAUGUUUGAAGAGGCAUGAAUAUUUUUCCCAAAUUUCAAGAAUUUGAUUUGAAAAUUACAAUAAUUAGUUCGCAAAAAGGUAUGAAGUGAAUAAGAUAUAGAUAUAAUGACCCUAAUGUUUUUUUUUUCAUUUUUAUUAUAUAUUUUUAUUAUUUUCAAAUUUCAAAUUUUAAUCAAAUUGUUAUUUUUUUAUAAAAAAAUUAUCUAAAUUGUUAAAAUUUGAAUGAUGUUGAUGUUGUGACCUAGGUGAUACUCCACUUAUACUUCAACGUUGAUGCGAUUUUUUAAAAAAAAUUGAACUUUUAAUGUUUUAUGUAUUUUUUAUUUUUUUAUACAGUACAUGUAUAUUAUCAUAUAGGUUAUAACAUCAUUUUUUUUAUGAAAUACAUGUGUAUUAUCAUACCGUAUUCAACAGACUGUCAUUCAAGUGGCCAUCCGAGUUUCCUACUUUUCAUCAUAUGAUGAUCCCUACGAAAUUAGCCCUUUAACUGUUACUUUUUCAAUAAUUUCGCUUUCAAGAGAAAUAGUAUUGACAGACAUAUCUGUCACUUAGUUCAUCCUUUCUAGUACCUCUUACCGUCAAAGGGAUUCUAACUAACUCUUCUUUACCGAUUUGUCUGUAGCUUUUCUUUACAAAUCAAUCCUUCCCACACGACAAACCUUGUCUUCUUUAGUUAUGAACAAAUCUAAUUACUUGCAAACUCAAUGGGUCAUACUUUAUUACUAAAACAUUUCUAGCUCCUUUUUUUAUUAAGUCAUUCUUUAAUAUAAAUUAUAUAUGGCUUUUCUUUAUUCGAUUUCUUGUGGGAAAACGAUGAAGAAAUCAGCAACUCUAGUGGAAGAGAGUAAUGAUAGUAAUUCAUCAGUGUUGAAUUGAAUUUAAAUCAAUUAAUUAACUCAUAGGUAGAAUUCGAAUCUAAAGGUUUAAGAUUCAAAAAUCUUUUUCUUUUUAAUUAAAAAUUUUUAAAAUCUUAACUUAUUAUCAAUAAUGUCUAGAUUUUGUUUACAUGUUAAUUUUCCUAGAUCACAUUUUAAAUAAAUUGUUGAAAUCUUAAUAUUUUAAAUUUUUAAGAUAAUAAGAUUGGGUUUAAUAUAGCAUAGAAAUCUCUUCAUCUUUUAGAAUGUUACUUGGUCAGCUUUUGAAAUCGUCAAAGUUUCUCUUAGUUAGGCACAACAGUUUGAAUCGAGUCAGAGCAUUUAUAAGGCCAAUCUUCCAAAUUUAUGCUACCAAAAGCACACUGAAGGAAUGUGGGUUCAUCUUUUUUCCAAUGUUGCAGUGGAGCGAGCCAUUGGGAAUGCUUUUGCUGGAGGAGCGAUACGCGAUCAGAUCGGUAAUUGGAUAUUCGGAUAUAAUCGAUACAUGGGCAGCUAUACUCCUUUUGAGGCGGAACUCUAGGGUAUUUUAGAUGGGGUCCUCAUUCUGUUAAAUAAAGGAUACAAAUGGGUCACAAUUUAAAUAAACAAUUCAGAUGUGGUCCAUCACAGUUCUUGAAGGGUUCAAAGGGUUAUGCGUUUUGAAGGACAGUGGCAAAUAAGAGUUAUGUCUAAAGAAACAAACUUAAUUGCGGACCGAUUGACUAAGCUUUUUCCUUGCAUAGAAGUCAAGCUUACAAAUUUUCGAUGUACCUCCUAAUGAGGUAUUGGAGACUCUUCAACAAAAUAAAGCUUGUGGUGCUUUUGAACAAUUGAUUUGAUAUGAUUUUGUUUUACUUUCACCAAAAAAUACAAAUUAUAACAAAAAAAAAUAGUAUAGAUAUAUAAUCAUAAAUUUUAUAAAACAUAACUUCUCAAAGAGGCAUAGCACAUUAACUACAAAGGUAGCCUACUGGUGAUAAAAUCUUCCAGUUAAACAGAUGAACUCCAAAUUUAUCAUAUGACAAUAAAUGAAAAAGAAAGGUGGAACAAGCCAAAACAAGCAGAUCUUUUAAGCAAAAAGAGCACAAACAAACAAACAAACAAAAAUUCCUUCUUUUCUUAUGUUUAGUCGUGUCGUCUUUGUAAGGAAUAAAAAGGUGGCAAGAUGUCUUUAUUCCCAGGCUCGUAAACUCGCUCCUAGUUCUUCUUCCAUUUUCGUCCAUCAGGUAAGUGAUAAAGUACAAUUUUACUUUUACUGAUUUAAAAUUUUUGAACAACCUAAAUGAAUAAUUUUUUAUUUUAAAGGGGAGCUGGGCCCUGCUAGUCUCCCCUAAUUACACCACUGAAGGUGGACUUGUGCGAUGAGCCGAAAGGUUAGCCUAAUAUAGCUUCGAGUUUUUUAUUUUUUUGAAAUUAUUUUUUACUAAAUUUUUUAGAAUUUAUGAAAAGUUGCCUUGUUAACCUACAUCAACUAUACUUAGUCAAACUAAAAAUAACUAAACCACUUAAAGCCAUUUUUAAUUACGUCUGAAUUCAUUGAAUCAUUUUUAAAUUAUAUUUAAUUAGUUCAAUCAACUUACCUUUUCAAAUUAUAAUACUAGGAAUGUUCCAUCUCAUGUUGUGGCAUCUCAAAAAAUAGCAUCUCCACAGCCAUGAGACAAGAAUCUACUUAAUCUAAAUGUUGAAUUAAUUUAUUUUGGUUAAACGUCGAUCAAUGGGGCUGACGUUUGGCCCCCUUUUGGUUCAGCUUUUAGGUACAAACUAAAUAAAUAAGAAAGACUAAAAAAGAUAAAGAACAAAUUUCUUGGAGCUUUCCUCUGACAAAUAUUUUAAUUAUGAAUGGCAUUCUAUUGUGCUAAUUACAGUUUAAUUUCGGUCCUUAAAAAAAGUUUUUUUUUUAAUUUCCUCUUUGUGAAAUUCCUUGGACAAGUAUUUUCAUAUGAAUGGCAUUAUAGUCCUUUUAUUCUAUUGUGCUAAUCACUUGGUUUCUUUGGGUUAUGGGAUUAUAAACCUUUCGUCUUCAUUAAUUAUAAACAAUUCUAAGUGCUUGCCUAUUAUUAUUAUGAAGUCAUUCUUUAAUAUAAGUUAGAUAUUAGUCUUGUUGGUUCUCAAUUGUUGAAGGGUUCAAUAUCAUUUCUACUCUCCUUUUCUGCUGUCAUCAUAUCAAGCGAUUUCCCAGGGAAAACGAUGAAGAAAUAGUGGAUAAUUGAUGAAAGAGAGUAAUGAUAAUAAUUCAUCAUAAUCAAAUCUUUACGACUAUUGAAUUGAAUAAUAUAAUUAAAUUUAAAUCAAUUAAUUAAUUCACACAUUUAUUUUAUAAAGUAGAACUUAGAACUUUAAUGUUCAAUAUUCGAAAUUAUUUUAAUAAAUCUUUUCUAAAAUCUUAACCUCAAGAUUUUAUUGACAUUUCAAUUGUCAAUUGUAACCUUAAUGCUUAUGCAUUUUAAAAAUUAUACAAAUCUCACAUUGUUAAAGAAAGAUUUUGAAAUUCUUGUUUAUAAGCAGGAAAAAUUAAGUUUAGACGGUCUUGUGACUUGUGCAUUGAGCCACCAAGCCGAUGCAAUUUACAUCCAUAGUCUUUUUGUUUUUCAAAUUAUUUUUUUACUCAAUUUUUGAGAGUUAAAAGAGAAGUUAACUUCUUAACUUGUAAGAUCUAUAUUUAGUCAAAUUAAAACUAACUUAAUCAAUUAAAGUUAUUUUUAGUUAAAUACAGAUUCAUUUUGAAGAUCAACAGAGAUUGGUGUUUGAGUGAAACAUGGAUGACAAGGGGAGAAUAGAGCAAUAGGAGAAAUAAUGAUAUUGACUUGUUGUAGAUUGUAUUGGAACAGCUAGUACCAUAAUUAGGGGACCCAAAAAAUUUUAAAUUUUGAGUUAAUUGAAUCAAGUUAUUCAGUUUUUUUAGCCAACUCGAAUAAGUAAUUUGAGUUUUGAGUUCGAGUCGAGUUAUAUUUUACAAUUUGAAUAAUAGAUUGGUGUAAAUACACCUUUACUCCCUGUCAAUUUUAAAAAUAAGCAAAAUGAUUUCUCUCAAAAAAAAAAAAAUCAAACUUGUUUAAAGUAUUGUGAUAAGGGGAGUAGUUUCACAUGGAUGAACACACAUUUUCAUUCUGUUAUAGACCGAAGAAACCUGAAGAAGAUCAUGUGGCACUUGAUACUAGCAUACUUGUUACCACAACUAGUUUAGAUUUUGUGAAAAAGAGGGAGCACUGUGUGCUAUUGCUAUUGCAAUUCUACUGUUGCAAUUUUGCUACUACAAUUUAGGGAGACUUAUUUUUAUCAACAAAAAUGUGACAAGGUUAUCUCGAUUUAAAAAUGCUUUAUUCUCAUAAAAACGUAAGUAUGAACAAACAUAAAAUAUAUUAAUCGAUCAUGAUUGUCCACACAUGAAAGGAGAAAUCUUAGUACAUAAUAUUUUUUACUUGUUAUCUUAUUACAUAAUAAAGUUGUAAAGAAUUUAAACUAUAGUAAUUUAUAAUUUAAAUUAAAUUAAUAAAUUAUAAUUUAUUAAAGUAUUUACUGAAUCAUUAGCCUUCUAAAAUUUUCUUUGACCAUUAUUAGUGAAUUAAAUAAACCUAAUUGACUCAUAUAAAUAAUUUGAACCAUCGUGCACUGCCAUGAGACAUGAAUUACUUUCUAGUUAGUCUAAAUGUUGUAUUAAUUUCUUUUAACUUUUGGUUGAGCUUUCGGGUACAAACUAAAUAAAUAAGAAAGACUACAAAAAUAUAAAGAGAUGUCCUCUUUGCAGUGGCGUAGGUUGGGGUUAGCAAGGCACGGCUCUCUUAAAAUAGAAAAUUCCUAUUACAUCUUACACAUUUAUGUUCUCCCUCUCCAUCCAUCUUCAUAUUCAAUAUUCAUUUCAUGCAUAUCCUUCUUCAUAUUCAGUAUUCAUUUGAUGCAUUUCUCGUUGGUUGACAUAUUACAUAUUUCUCAACUUCUUGUAUUCCAUUGAUACGAACCAGGCUCUCUAAAUAAGAAUGAAGGGAGAUGGCGAAACGAAGAUGAUCUAGAUCAGUAUUAAUCUCAAGCUUCUUAAGCUCUUGGGUGGAGGCGUCAAAUAGGAGUACUUCAUCAUUUGUGUCUCUAAGAAACAAGUCACUAUUUUUUCCAAAUCCCAUUAAUGGGUGUACAACUCCAGAAAUGGAUUUAAUAUUGAAUUGUUUAGUCCACACUCCUUCACUUGUAACCCAUAAAUCACAAGACGUGUCAAUUCUUUCCGUUGGGUAAACAAUAGCACCAAGUGAUCCAUUAAACACCAAUAGAUCAACAUAGUAUUCUGGGAAAGACCCAACGAAUUCUGGGAUAGGUAAAACUGAGAACUUGUCAUUCCUCAUGUCAAAUGAAAGAAUUAGUCCUCUAAAAUCAAGAUAUGCCCCUGUCUCUGUUUUCCAAUAGCAAAUUCCGUCUACAUAAUUAUUUCCCAAAGUUUUUCCAUUUGGAUUAUAAUCAGGAUAUGGAAUUUCCUUCCAGGAAUUACUUCUAAGAGAAUACAACUCAACUUGGUAUAUAAAAUCAGGAUGUGCAUAUUCUUCUUCACUAUUAACAAAAGUAAGAGUAACGAAUCGUAUGAAUUUGUAGUCAUCAGUUUUAGAAUCAAAGCCAAAAGCAGCGUGGUCAAAAGAAACGCCGUCUAAAGUAAGGUAGGUUUCUUCGAAUGGGGAAAAAUAUGGAGGGCGUUGGAUUGAAGAUGGUGGAAGGAUUUUAAACUCUCUAUUUGAUGGGUUCCAAAUGGCAGCCUUAUCCUUUGAAGGAUCAAAUAAACACAAUAAUCCAUGACAAGCACCAUAAAUAGAGGGGAUAUCAUUCCUAAAAAAGGGCAAGUGAAUGUUUUGUUUUACCAUAUAAUUUUGAUAUUUUUCAUUUGAAAGUUGAGAGAAAUAAAGUUGGAAGGUGUUACCAUCACAGCGACUAAGAAGUAGAUUAAGGUGGUUGUUUUCAAGGUUGUUGUGAUAAUUAUUGGAAAUGAAAUGAGGAGUUUGAAAAGAAGAACACCAAUACUUACAAACAUAAAUACUUGAGUCUCAAAAUAAGCACUAGCUCAAUAAAACACAUAUGAUAAUUUAGAUUACUGUAAUAAAACACAUAUUGAUAAUCCAGAUAUUACAUUAACAUUUUUAAACAUAUAUGAGACAAUUGUGGCAAAGCUAGCUAUGGAAAUUCUAUGGUAUUGGAUCCACUAUUGCACGGGCUGUAAAAUAAGUUGGAACAAUUUUGAGGCCUUCCAAAGGUACCGGAUGGCCCCGGUCUUCCAUAACAGAUAAACAACUCCUUGAGUAGUAGAACAUUAGUUCUUUGGUGUUUACUACAUGAGAUUUGCGGAGAUGCUCCUAUAAGUUGGAAAACUAUAUCCGCAACUUGUCGGACCGUAUAGGUAGAUCUACGUGUGAGUCCCAUAGCUAAAUCCCAAAAUUCAUUAAAACAAAUAAGAGACAAUAAAGUAUAUUAAACACAAAUAGGAAUGUGAAGGGAAAAUAAAAACAAUUUAUGCGAUAUACCUGAAUUUAAAUUUGUCCUAAGUUGUAUGGCCGAUUGGAAGUAUGACAGAGGAUGUUGUGCAAAGUCGGAAUAUGUGCCAUGUUCCAUCCAUUCGUGGAACCAAAAUUUAAUGUUUGGCUCUCCCAAAUUCAAGUUCGGCCAUUGUGAGCGCAAGUUGUUCCAAAGUGCUGCAUCCCUUAUUAACAAUUGCUUUUAAAUAAGAAACAAAAAAUUUUAUUAGAUUAUAGAUAAAUUACUUAAUAGUUUCAGGCGAAGAAUGUACGUAUGCAUACUCUGAGAGCUAAUUGUGAUGUCAUAGGUUGUGGAUUGGUGCAGCGAUGAUUUGUAUCAUAUGGGGGCACCGGCCUGUCAUGAGCAUCUUGUGCCCAAAUUCCAUGUAUUUUGAAUUCAGUUGGGAUUGGGAGUUUACAGUUGAGAGUAGAGCUACAAACAGAUGGAGGCCAUUGAAGUGCCAGCUUGUAGAAGUCCGGAAUUGCUGGUUGCUGGGGUACUGCAAAUGCUACCCAUAAUGAAAAAUUGAUACAAUGCAUUUUUACAAAUUUACAAAUAAAAAGAAAACUACAUUUAUAAAUAUUACAUGCAUGGAUGGUUGGGCUGAGAUUGGAUGAUUGUGCUUUGCGAGUAGCUGGUUUAUGAUCUCCUUUAUAAGCUUGGCACACAUAUUUCACAAAAUUUUCAAAGUCCUGCAACCAUGAAAUAAAUAUUGAAGUUACUUAUCCCAAAGUGUUACUUCACAAUCACACCAAGAGAGAAAUAAACAAACUCACUUGUCUGAGUGGCUGAUUAUUCACCACCACCCAUGGCACAUAUUCUUGAGGUGGCUUCAUAUGUGCAGUCACAUUAGAAUAUUGCAGCUGAAGCCGCAAUUCAUUAAUUUGGAAAUUCAAUGUUAGAAAAAGCAAAGGAGAGUUAAUUAAAUACUAAGACAUGCAGCCAACCUUAUAUCCGAAUCCAGUAGUAUAGCAUUUGUUGAUUAUCUCCUCAUUCAAUCUCAGCUUUUCACUACAAUAUUUCCACAGUGCUUCAAUGGGCGCCUCCUUUAAGCUUUGUUGCUCUGUGCAGCGAAUGAAUUCCAAGUGCUCUUUCUACACCACAGGAGAGUAAUUAAACAAGAGUUGGAGAUGAGAACAAAUACUUAUGGCUAAUAGAAGUUACUGCAUCAGGCCAUAAAUGGAUGACAACUAUGUAUAGUGUUUAAGUGACGUUCUUCUUCUCCAUGUUGCACAUUGUUGCAAAAACUAUAAUUAGUUAUAACACCAAAAAGAAAUUGAACUUCAUUAGUUAAUAAUGAUAAUACAUUAAAAUGAAGAACGGAGUUGUAAACCUGGCAAUGGAUUUCAGCAUUGCCCCAAGGGACCAAUCUUAGAUUGGUAAUGGUAUGGAGGUCAGUGCGGAAGACCUUGAGUAGGCCAUUGGAGAUAAGCGAGAAUAUUGCAAGAGCAGCCAGAAUAUAGAAGAUUAAUGGUUGAAGAUAAGCCAUUGUUUCAGUGGUAGCUUUUGAACAAUGCUAGACGUCAAUUGUGCAAGGCUUCUUAUAGUUGAGAAUUGGGAUGAUGAAUAUUGCUUUCUGUCACUUUCAGAAACCAUGAGACAAAUUUACAAAGUUAUCAUCUUUAAAAAACAAUUAUACACCACUUUAAAAAAAAAUUAUUUACAUGAAAGAUUGUUUAUCUAUUUAUGUAUGAAUAUUGUCUAAACAUGAAAGGAGAAGUCUUAUUAGAUAACAGAGUUUUAUAAUUGAAAUUAAGUUGGCCUUCUAAAAUGCUCUUAGACCAUUAUUAGUGAAUUAAAUAAACCUACUUGGCUCAUAUAAAUAAUUUGAACCAUCGUGCAGUACCAUGAGACAAGAAUCUACUUAGUCUAAAUGUUGUAUUAAUUAACCAUUAAUGAAUAUUAAUGGUAAAAAGUCAGUAUGUAAGUCCUUGUCAUAAUAAAGAUAAAAGAAAAUUACUUUGGCACCACCUCUCAUUAAUUCAUAAUAUUUGUGUGAAUGUUUAUUAAUCUUCACAAAGGAUGGACUUCUUUAAUUAUGAACAAUUCUAAGUGCUUGUCAAUUCUUAUUAUGAAGUCAUUCUUUAAUAUAAAUUAUAUAUUAGUCUUCAUAUAGCUUUUCUUUUCUGCAGUCAUCGUAUUAAGCGACUUCGAGGAAAACGAUGAAGAAACAGUGGAUACUUGAUGGAAGAGAGUAAUGAUAAUAAUCCACCACAUUCAAGUCUUGAAUUGAAUAAUAUAAUUCAAUUAUACAAAUCUCAUAUUGUUAAAGUGAAUUUUUGAGAUUCUUGUCUAUAAGUCAUUAUACUUCAUUAAGUUAAUAAAAAUUAAGUUUAGACCGUGAACUUGUGGCCUACAAGGCUAAUGCAAUUUACAUCCAAGUCCUUUUUGUUUUUAAAAUUAUUUUUUACUGAAUCUUUUAGAAAACUUCUUAACCUGUAAAAGUAUUUUAAUCGACUGAAGCUAUUUUCAGUUAAGUUCAUAUUAACCUUUUUCAAACUGUUUUUAGCUAAUUCAAUUAACUUACUUUUGUUAUGGUUAACCAGUGAAAUUUUUAUAAAUACACCUUCAAAAUUCCCAAUUUAUUCUUUACAUUCUCUUUCAGACACUCCUUGUUUCCUCAAAAGCUUUCUUCUACAAUUUUAGCCGAGUAUUUAUUUGGUUUGUUUUUCCUACCGAUUAAUAGAAUUGUUUGUUGAAGUCACGAAAUAUUUGUAAGGACAAUGAUAUUCACACUUCAAACAGUAAUUCUAAUAUUCUAAACCUCCUAUUUCUAACCAUUCCAAGGAUAAAAAUUAGAUAUAAAUGAUUUUCUCCUUUUAUUAUGUUGAAUUUAAUUACAGAACAAAUUUAAAGGAAAAUGAGUCGGGUGUUCAAAUUCUUUUAAUUUAUUUUAAGACUAAUCAUGUUUGAAGAGGCAUGAAUAUUUUUCCCAAAUUUCAAGACUUUGAUUUGAAAAUUACAAGAACUAGUUCGCAAAAAGGUAUGAAGUGAAUAAAACAUAGAUAUAAUGACCCUAAUGUUUUUUUUUCAUUUUUAUUAUAUAUUUUUAUUAUUUUCAAUCUUCAAAUUCUAAUCAAAUUAUUAUUUUUUAUAAAAAAUUAUCUAGAUUGCUAAAAUUUUAAUAAUGUUGAUGUUGUGACCUAGGUGACACUCCACUUAUACUUCAACGUUGAUGCGAUUUAAAAAAAAAAUUGAACUUUUAAUAUUUUAUGUAUUUUUUUUUUUGUAAAGUACAUAUUGUUGACACCAUUUUUUUGGAUGGAAAACGGGGUCGACUUGGGUUUUAAAAAAUGAAACGAAAACGGGAGUCGUCACCAAUCCUUUUUUAUAAGGUGUGACUGGAUCACCUCGAAAAGUGGUUAUUUUUAAUAAAAGGUUUGAUUUUAUUAAAACAACAAGUUUGGUCCACGAAAUUCAGAAAAAACGGGUUCGGGAGUCGGUUACGCACGAGGAAGGAUUAGCACCCUCGAUACGCCCAAAAUUGGUACCUAGUUGAUCACUCAAGGUCUGCAUGUCGGAAAUUGAAAACUUUAAAGAAAUUUAAAAUACGAUCCUUAAAAAAACUUGAAUGGCAUGGAUUAAAAUUUAAGAGGAUAUUUGGCAAUUUGGUUAAACGAGAAAUCGAAACCCAGCACAUUAGGGCACGUUCCUCGAAUUUCCGAAGGCAAAACAUUGCCUUAUUUUGAAAUAUAUAUAUAUUUUAAAAAGGAUAUUAAGCCAUUUGGUUGAACGAGAAAAAUCAACACCCAGCACCUUAGGGCGUGUUUUCUCGAAUUUCCAAACGCAAAACAUUGCCAUAUUUUGAAAUUUUUUAAAGGAUAUUAAGCCAUUUGGUUGAAUGAGAAAAUCGACACCCAGCACCUUAGGGCGUGUUUUUCUCGAAUUUCCAAACGCAAAACAUUGCCUUAUUUAGGAAUAUUUUCCUUUUUUAAAAUAUGAUAUUAAUAUGCAGAGUGGAAUAAUAAAUAUGAUAGUGUGAAAUAAAAAUGAACAAAAAUAAAUAAUAAAACAAAUCAAUCAUGCAUAUAUCAUAGCAAAUAAAUAAAUAAACUAAAGCAUAAAGAUGGACAUAUAAAUGAAUACAUAAGUGAACAUAAAAUUAAAGGAAAAUAUAUGAAAAUUAUAAAAUAUAAAAAAGGUAGGUACAUAUGAGGGAAAUAUGUAUGUAUAUACAUAAAAUUAUGGAAAUAUAAAAGAUGUGUAUAUAAAAGUAUGUAUAUAUGUGUAUACUUUUUAUAAAAGAGAACUAUGUACGUAUAAAUAUGUUAUAUAAAUGUAUUAACGUGUGUAUAUAUAUAUAUAUACUUUGAAAUUAUAAAAUAAAAACAUAUGUACAUAUUUUAAAAUUAUUAUAUAAAAUAUAUAUAUAUAAGUAAGUAUAUACAUAUUCGUGAGAAAAAAAUAUAAAUAUACAUAUAUAUAAAUAUAUAUAUAAUGAGUACUUAUGUAUGUAUAAAAAAAUAAAAAAUAUAUAUACAUAUAUAUAUAUGUAAGCAAUUAUAUAAUAAUAAUAUAAUAUGUCACAUAUAUCUAAGAUUUAUAUAAGUAAAUAUAAGUAUAAAUAUAAUGAUAGUAAUAAGAAUAUUAGUAAUAAUACUAAUAAUAAUAAUAAUAAUAAAACUACUGAAAAAAGGACUAAAUCGAAAUAAAAUAAAAAUACUGGGCGAAUUUGAAAUAAAAAAGACGAAAAGGACCAAAAUGUGACGCGCGAGAAAGGACGGAGGGCCAAAUGGGAAAUAAUCCCCAUCCUCCAAAACGCGCAGGUUCAAUAGGGACCAAACUGGAAAGCAAAACAAAUUAAUGGUGCCAAAUUAAAACACAAAACGAAAAGCCAAAGGAGUAAAUUGAAAGAGGGUGACAAUGUGAAAGUACUCGCAGCGCAAAUAGCCCAUAAGGCGCAAAAACACGCGGACCUUGGCCGCGGGUCGGGUUGAGAUUCGGGUAAGGGCAAAACGACGUCGUUUUGGGGCCUUUCUGACCCUUCCAAAACGGCGCCGUUUUGGAUUCCUAUAUAAGUAAAAAAACCCCUAAAAAAAAUCAUUUCAUCCCUCUUUUUAAAAAAAAAAUUUUCAGAAAACUCUCCCUUCUCUCCCUUUCAGCCCAGACUCCGCUCAACAUCCGGCGAGUGCUCCGGCUAUCGGCGCCGUCGCGCCGGCCACCGUACACGGUGGCCAGAAAUCCAAAAAAUGUAUUUUUUUGCUUUUUUUUUUACGUUUAUUCGUUUUAUAUAUGUAAAAUAAAAGAAAUAAAAUCGAAUACAAUCAGUUUCGAAAGGAAGAAAAAUAAAAAGGAAAUGAGGAAAGGGAAUAGAUCUUAUACCGAAAANNNNNNNNNNNNNNNNNNNNNNNNNNNNNNNNNNNNNNNNNNNNNNNNNNNNNNNNNNNNNNNNNNNNNNNNNNNNNNNNNNNNNNNNNNNNNNNNNNNNNNNNNNNNNUUUUUGUUCUUUGCGUGUCUUCUCCCCUUGCAGGUGGAGUCGGUGGCGACGUGACGUGACGGAGGCGUGUGAGGCGCAGUGGCAGGUGGGCAUAGUAGGGUAGGGCGGCGGCAGAGGCUAGAAGAGACCUGAAGGCCCUAGGUACGGCGCCUAGGGUUUUUUCUUUCAUUUUGUUUGGAUGAAAAUGUUUAGUUUUGGGCUUAGGGUUUCAGUUUGGUAGUGGGCUGGUAUUGUAAUGUGGGCUUGUGGGUUGUAAUUGGGUAUUGGGUCUUUUAUUUAUAAUGGGCCCCGGGCAAAUUUGGGCUUUUACAGCUGCCCCUCUUUGCUCGUUGUUAUGUAACGAGAACAGAGCAAAGACUAAGAAAGACCAAAUUUGCCUGGUCUUGCCGAGCCUCGACUUCUCUUGACACUUCUUUUCAAGUAGCUUCGUUCCAGUCCAUUGUGUCUUGUCACUUCAAUCCACUCUACUGCGCUUUAGGGAAAUCUGACUUGUAGCUUCAAUCUUCUUCGCAGCAACUUCAGGGGGACGAGAUUUGUGGUUUAAGUCUAUUCCACUACAACGUCAGGGAGAUAAGACUUGCUGUGAUCUGCUCCACUACUGCUUAGGGAGAUAAGACUUGAUGCGAUCUGCUCCACUACUGCUUAGGGAGAUAAGAUCUGGUUUCUUUCGUCUGCUCCACUACUGCUUAGGGAGAUAAUACUUGAUGCGAUCUGCUCCACUACUACUUAGGGAGAUAAGAUCUGGUUUCUUUCGUCUGCUCCACUACUGCUUAGGGAGAUAAGAUCUGUGGUUUUAAUCCGCUCCGCUGUAACUUCAGGGAGAUAGGAUAGUGUCUUCGAUCUACUCUGCUGUAACCUCAGGGGGAUAAGAUCUGAAAUUCUUCGGUCUACUCUACUGUAACCUCAAGGAGAUAAGACCUGGUGCGAUCUGCUCUAUUGUAACUUCAGAGAGAUAAGAUCCUUUAUUUUAAUUCGCUCCACUAUAACUUCAGGGAGAUAGGAUUAUGUCUUCAAUCUGCUCCGCUGUAACCUCAGGGAGAUAAGAUCUGAAAGUCUUCGGUCUACUCCACUGUAACCUCAGGGAGAUAAGACCUGGUGCGAUCUGCUCUACUGUAACUUCAGAGAGAUAAGAUCCUUUAUUUUAAUCCGCUCCACUGUAACUUCAGGGAGAUAGGAUUAUGUCUUCGAUCUGCUCCGCUGUAACCUCAGGGAGAUAAGAUCUGAAAGUCUUCGGUCUACUCCACUGUAACCUCAGGGAGAUAAGACCUGAUGCGAUCUACUCUACUGUAACUUCAGAGAGAUAAGAUCCUGUCUUCGAUCUGCUCCGCUGUAACCUCAGGGAGAUAAGAUCUGAAAGUCUUCGGUCUACUCUACUGUAACCUCAGGGAGAUAAGACCUGGUGUGAUCUGCUCUACUGUAACUUCAGAGAGAUAAGAUCCUUUAUUUUAAUCCGCUCCACUGUAACUUCAGGGAGAUAGGAUUAUGUCUUCGAUCUGCUCCGCUGUAACCUCAGGGAGAUAAGAUCUGAAAGUCUUCGGUCUACUCUACUGUAACCUCAGGGAGAUAAGACCUGGUGUGAUCUACUCUACUGUAACUUCAGAGAGAUAAGAUCCUUUAUUUUAAUCCGCUCCACUGUAACUUCAGGGAGAUAGGAUUAUGUCUUCGAUCUGCUCCGCUGUAACCUCAGGGAGAUAAGAUCUAAAAGUCUUCGGUCUACUCUAUUGUAACCUCAGGGAGAUAAGACCUGGUGUGAUCUGCUCUACUGUAACUUCAGAGAGAUAAGAUCCUUUAUUUUAAUCCGCUCCACUGUAACUUCAGAGAGAUAGGAUUAUGUCUUCGAUCUGCUCCGCUGUAACCUCAGGGAGAUAAGAUCUGAAAGUCUUCGGUCAACUCUUACUGUAACCUCAGGGAGAUAAGACCUGAUGCGAUCUACUCUACUGUAACUUCAGAGAGAUAAGAUCCUGUCUUCGAUCUGUUCCGCUGUAACCUCAGGGAGAUAAGAUCUGAAAGUCUUCGGUCUACUCCACUGUAACCUCAGGGAGAUAAGACCUGACGCGAUCUACUCUGCUGUAACUUCAGAGAGAUAAGAUCCUUCAUUUUAAUCCACUCCACUAUAAUCUCAGGGAGAUAGGAUUACUAACUUUAAUCUGCUCCGCUGUAAUCUCAGGGAGAUAAGAUCUGAAAUUCUUCAGCCAGCUUCACUACAACCGAGAGAGGUAAGGUUCGUCUUCGACCUGUUUCACUGUCAAUGCAAGAAGGCAAGAUCUGUUGUCUUCAACCAGCUCCAUCACAACCGAGGAAGGCAAGGUUUGUGUCUUCGACCGGCUUCGCUGUCAAUGCAGGAAGGCAAGAUCUUUUGUCUUCAACCAGCUCCAUCACAACCGAGAGAGGUAAGGUUUGUGUCUUUGACCUGUUUCGCCGUCAAUGCAGGAAGGCAAGAUCUUUUGUCUUCAACCAGCUCCAUCACAACCGAGAGCGGCAAGGUUUGUGUCUUUGACCUGCUUCGCCGUCAAUGCAGGAAGGCAAGAUCUUUUGUCUUUAACCAGCUCCACUGCAACCAAUGAAGGCAAGGCUUUGUUUUCGAUCUGCUUUGCUGUUAACGCAGGAAGGCAAGAUCUGCUUAUUUAACCAGCUCCACUGUAACCAAUGAAGGCAAGGCUUUGUUUUCGAUCUGCUUCGCUGUUAACGCAGGGAGGCAAGAUCUGCUUCUUCACUGAUCUGUUCUCUAGGGAACAUGACCUGUAUGUUCUAUUUUAUGAACCUAAUUGUGCCUAGUGAUUAGGAUGACAUGAAAAUGCUCCUAACUAGAUGUGUAUGAAUGACAUUUGAAUGAAUGCAAAAUGAAAAUGGUUCCUUAAUGCUUAGGUUAUCAUCACGUAAAAGCUUAUUAAGGCUUUAUCACUGACGCGCUACAACGCCUUCUUGCUCGGCAGGCGUAUCCAAACAAACACUUAAUUUGAAUGGCCCCCAGUGUGAUCUUCAAACUUCAAUCCACUGGGAUGCAAAAUUUGUACCAUCAUUCUCCCACUGUAAUCCAAGAGUAGAAAGAUAUGGCUUUUCUCGAUCUUCUCCUAUCGCAAUUUAAGGACAUAGAAUGUGAAGCUCUUUGGUCCUUUACCUCAUUCCCAAGGUGUCAUACCAAAUGCUCAUACACAAUUGCAAAAUUUUAUUCUCCAAGAAAACCUUUUCUUUUUGCCUGGUGAACAUCACUUGUUGGUUCAUUGAAGCUUUGCUACCAACACGUCAUCUUGUCAUUUUGCUCAAUCAAUGUUUGGACAACAAAAUCUGAAAAGAUAGUCUUUAACUUAGACUCUUCCUUCUUAGAUAUUUCACCCUUUAAACUUGGUGUUUUCUAAACAAUAGCUCUGCCUCAGGUUCCUAUAUUAUUUAGAAACUUCUAGAGUAAUAUGCAAAACUUCCAUUGUGAAAGUGUUAUUAGUCCAUUAAUCAUUAUUCUAAUGCAACAUGCUUGCAAAGAGAACAUAACGAUAGAUAAAAUAGAAUUGAUUUGAGAGCAUAGCUCGAAAUGAAUGAAUUAUCAAGGGUAGUAAGAAUAAAAGAGGAAUUGAUUGGAAUACGUAUCUUGAAAAAGAAUGAAGUAUUCCAAGAACAACAACAAACUCAAUAUAUAAAUAGUAUGAAUGUUAGGCACCCUAGAUAUCGCAGCUUGAACUCCUCUGUACAAACUUUCUGAAGAUUUUCCUGAGUUUGACAUGUGUUUAGGAGAUCUACAUGACUCUGUCGAUGCCCCAAGACGUUUCCUUACCCUUUCAGGUAUAGCAAGAUCACCACAUGCCCCGAUCUGAUCACUUCAUGCCCUAUUCUGAUCAAUAUUUGAGCCGCCCUUCGGGUUUUCAACUCAAAUCCCUUUUGGCCUAAGGUGCCCUUUGCGGGUUUUCCCCUUAGCCUCUCUAUUUUUACUUUUUUAUUUUUUCAUUUUUCAUCAUUUUUUUUGUUUGACUCAAAGUACCCUUUGCAGGUUCUCACCUUGGUCCUUCCUUCUUCUUUAAAUGAAGUGUUUCUCAAUUGGAUCUGAGUUUAUAGGAUUGACAAUCUCACUCAGGAUCAGUGCUCCUCUGAAAAUGGUCUUCUUUACAACAUAAGGACAUUCUUGGUUUGGCAUUCAUUUCGCUUUAGAAUCCUUUCGUUAAGGAAGAAUCUUUUUCAACAUCCAACCCUCUCGUGGAAUUCUUUGAGACCAGCCUGUUUAUUAUGGGCUCAUAUUAUUUAUUUAUGGUACAUCCGACCCUGAUGAAUAGCUUUUAACCCUUUUCCUAGGGUCAACUGAUCACAUCGCGAUUGGGUCCCUCCAACAAGUAAUGAAGGGAUUUUAAUAGGUAAAACUACCUCAUUCUUGUAAACCAAAAAGAGAGGUGUUGCCCCAGUACAGAUGUUCGACAAACAAUGAGGGCAUAUGGUAAUUUCUCACGUCAAUCCUUGUAAGUCUCAGUCAUUUUCCUUCAAUUUUCGAUGUUUAACUCUAGGAACUUCAGUGACGAAUCAUGGUGUCCACUUCUGAGUUAAUUUGAGACCUCAGCUAUCAUGCUAUUGUUUAAGCUCAAAGCAUUCUCCAACACCAUCCUCACUGAAAUUCUGUAUCAGUAUAAAAUGACCUUGAUCCAUGCAGUAGCCUCUAAAAAAUGAAGCAAUGCCCAUCAGAAGUCUUCGAUAAUGGUGAUGUCCAUGCCCUAUUUUGCUCAAAAUUUGAGUCACCUUUUUUCGGGUUUUCAACUCAGAUCCACCUUUGGUCAAAGCGCCUUUUGCGGGUUUUCGCCUUGACCUCUCCUUUUUCUUUUUCUUUUUCUUUUUCUUUUUCUUUUUUCUAUUUUUGACUUUGAUUUUUUUAUUUUUGUUUUUCUUUUGAUUUUUUGAUUUUUUGAUUUUUUGAUUUUUUUUUUGAGUCUGAACUCAUGAGAUCAGGCAAGUCCUGGUCAUGUUUUUCGACCAGAAUCAAUGUUAUUCUAAAGUCUUCCACAUAAGAUCUUCCACUUUCAUCUUGUAUGUGAAAAACCUUCUUUGGUACCAGAUUUUUUUCAUAGAGCCCUUUUGGGACGCAACUACGACAAAACUUUGGAUCUUCCUCUUUAACCAGGAUAAAAUCCAACAACAUCUUGAAAGGAUGGAAACUCAACUUCAAAUGGGCAAAGCUAUGCUGAAUCAAUGAGAGAGGCAUUGCCCCGGCAAAGAAUUGCAUCGUUCGCACUGUAAAUUUCUAACAACAUGCUGUUGUGCAGGUUUUAUUAUAAGAAUCGAGGCAUACCCUGGUAUGAUCAUACAAAGNNNNNNNNNNNNNNNNNNNNNNNNNNNNNNNNNNNNNNNNNNNNNNNNNNNNNNNNNNNNNNNNNNNNNNNNNNNNNNNNNNNNNNNNNNNNNNNNNNNNUAACUCAAAAAGGUCUUGCUUCGCCUCUGUGGUCAGGUCAAUUCUAGUCUUCACCAAGCUCACAAUUUCUAAUGAUUCCUUGAGAGGUAGGAUCUGUUUAUCCUCUUGUUCUACCAUCCUCAACAAGUCUGGGGAUAGGCUACAAUCUAUGUCAUCUUCAAAGUCGUAAGAUCCCUCUAAACACAUGUCUCGCUCAAAAGGAGAUUCUAAGUAUGUAGCAAAGUCAUUCACGUCGUUGAUAUCCAGGGACCUACUGUAGGUACAAAAGAAUAUACAAAGAAUGUAUGAAUUUAAGAAUAAUUAUCUGCACAGUAUGAUUAAAAAAAUGAUUUGGAUGAAAGAAUAAAAGAAUAAUCAUUCAAGAAAUGAAAGAAUAUUGGUUCAAAAGAUCGCAAAGAUGCAUUCCAUUAAAAUAAUGAUGUUCAGACAUGAGCCUAUUUCACAAAAGACUUCUUGUUGCCUCUAGGCUAAAAGCAACAAGUGUGUUUUGAAUAUUACUCUGAGUAAGCUCUAAAUACUAUAGGGGUUCCUUUAGAACACUCCCAAGUUUAUAAGGGCGAACAUCUAAUAAGAUCUCUUCUCCGAUUGCUUCUUCGUAUUCGGCACUGAUGUGAACGUUUCCCAACAUCUCUUCAUUCAUGCAUUCCUUUCAUUAUCCGUAUGAUUGAGUAGCGGGUUUUCUGUACUAGAUAAAUCGUCCAAUUUGACAAUGCCUAUACUGAUAAGCCUUUCAACCACCUUUUUAAAGGCAAUGCAAUUUUCUAUGGAAUGCCCCGUAUUUCCCGCAUAAUAUUCGCAUUGUGCAUUCGCAUCGUGCCAUUUGGGGUACGGAGGCUGUGGAGGUUUUGAGUAGAAAGGGGAAACGAUGUGCGCAUCGAAUAACUUUUAGUACAGCUCCUUAUACGUCAUUGGAAUUGGCGUGAACUGGAGGUUCUCAGUACCUUGUUUCACCUCAGAUUCUUACUUUAAAGGACUCCGACGUCUGGUAGUUUCUGUUUUUGAUCGGUCCACAGUGAUUGGUUUUGAGUGGCCCUUGUUAUAUAUAUUCGCAUUAUUCCCCCUAUUCCCCUUCUUCUUUGGGGCCUCUAUAAUAUCUGGGUACCCUGCCCCUACCUGCUUCAUUUCUUCUGGAUCAUCACGUGCAACAAGAAAAUUAUUCCUCAAAUUGGAUCUUAGGCCCGUCAAGCCACUUACUGGUGCUAUUGUACUAGUCUGAUAUUGUUGAGAUCUUAUGGUAAAGAGUGCCCCUUGUGGACGCCCAUCCGGCUGGACUUGGACACUUGUCGGAGUAUAAUCUAGGGAAUGGGCAAGAUCAUUAUUAUCAACCCCAAAGUGGACCACUGGGUCCUUCCUUUUUUCUAACUCUCCAGCUGGCAGUCGGUUGAACUGACUCAUCAAGGUUCUUUGUAAUUCUAGCAUCUGAUCUCUCAUCUCCUGUUGAAAUUCAGUCAAUUGCUCCCGCAUCUGAAUCUGCAUUCACUCUAAUAUCUCCAACCUUUGGUCCAUUCCUUAGUUUCUAUUCGGGUACUGCAAAAAUGUUGGUUUUCCAGACUUUCUGAAAUAAUUUUACCUAAUUAGGGUCACUUCGUGAAAAUCUAAUGCAUGUGAUACAAUGUAAUGCAAAUGCAUGAAAUGAAUGCCUAAAGAGACGUUGAUUCUGAUUCAAUUAUAUUUAGGAAACUUUUCUAGAAAGUAAAUUCCCUUACAUAAAACGGAUACAUGUACGACCUCACCCUCAUAUUCCAAGAAACAACAUCGGUUUUUUCUUCAUCCACAUGUUUGAGGUAAUCUCUCCAAUAGAUGCCAUUGCUAGCUCAUUUUCUUGAUCUUGGUCGCGAUCCAUCAUCUGCCCAUCUUCAUAAAGCUCGUCCGCCUCUUUAAAGGGGUGGAAUGUUGAAGGCUCUUAGAUAAUUGCCUUGAAUCCUCAGGCUACGAAGCAGGGUCACGAACUCUUCCAUCGCCAUUCUUGUGUUUCUCAGAAUAUAUUCGGGAAGUCGUAUUGUUUUCCACUUUAUCAAGGAAUCCGUAUUCCAUGACAAACUUUCUAAUUUAGUAAUCGGACUUGAAUCAAUAUCUCUUUCCUAAGAUGCAAAUGCGAUGCAAUCAUAAUCAAAGCACAAAAAGAGGGGUUAGUACAAAAAUAAACAAGGAAAACAGAAAGUACCUAAUCGGGUGACUACUAGGGGUUUGGAGUGGCUCUAUCUAGGCUAAGUUCCUAAGUCCACUAUAUGAGGUUUGGCUCUAAAGAUAAGGUACCCGAACUAGCAGAUUCCUCGAUCUUCACCCAUUAUAGGUUCAUACAGACCGAGUUCGGUUCAGGGGAAUACAUUUCCCUAUGGCUGCACGGAGAUGAAAAUCUCACGAAGACAUAGGUACGGAUGUAUCCCGAAAGCGAUCCACUAUCCUGCACGGAGGUGAAAACCUCACGAAGGAGUAGCUUCUCACUCCCACUUAAAAGGUGUGACCAGCAGUCAUGCAAUGCAAUGCAGAAAGAUAUAAAAAUUUAAAAUACAAAACAUGAUGAAAACUAUAACUCAAAACAAAUGAAAUGCAAUGAGAGGAUCGUAUAUUUAAAUCAAAUUUUUGACUUUCGACAAAAAGACAAAAAGUAAUCAACUCGUGGCUUGACUCUCUUAUUUUUGGGUCCCCAGCGGAGUCGCCAAGCUGUUGACACCAUUUUUUUGGAUGGAAAACGGGGUCGACUUGGGUUUUAAAAAAUGAAACAAAAACGGGAGUCGCCACCAAUCCUUUUUUAUAAGGUGUGAUUGGAUCACCUCGAAAAGUGGUUAUUUUUAAUAAAAGGUUUGAUUUUAUUAAAACAACAAGUUUGGUCCACGAAAUUCAGAAAAAAUGGGUUCGGGAGUCGGUUACGCACGAGGAAGGAUUAGCACCCUCGAUACGCCCAAAAUUGGUACCUAGUUGAUCACUCAAGGUCUGCAUGUCGGAAAUUGAAAACUUUAAAGAAAUUUAAAAUACGAUCCUUAAAAAAACUUGAAUGGCAUGGAUUAAAAUUUAAGAGGAUAUUUGGCAAUUUGGUUAAACGAGAAAUCGAAACCCAGCACAUUAGGGCACGUUCCUCGAAUUUCCGAAGGCAAAACAUUGCCUUAUUUUGAAAUAUAUAUAUAUAUUUUAAAAAGGAUAUUAAGUCAUUUGGUUGAACGAGAAAAAUCAACACCCAGCACCUUAGGGCGUGUUUUCUCGAAUUUCCAAACGCAAAACAUUGCCAUAUUUUGAAAUUUUUUAAAGGAUAUUAAGCCAUUUGGUUGAAUGAGAAAAAUCGACACCCAGCACCUUAGGGCGUGUUUUCUCGAAUUUCCAAACGCAAAAUAUUGCCUUAUUUAGGAAUAUUUUCCUUUUUUAAAAUAUGAUAUUAAUAUGCAGAGUGGAAUAAUAAAUAUGAUAGUGUGAAAUAAAAAUGAACAAAAAUAAAUAAUAAAACAAAUCAAUCAUGCAUAUAUCAUAGCAAAUAAAUAAAUAAACUAAAGCAUAAAGAUGGACAUAUAAAUGAAUACAUAAGUGAACAUAAAAUUAAAGGAAAAUAUAUGAAAAUUAUAAAAUAUAAAAAAGGUAGGUACAUAUGAGGGAAAUAUGUAUGUAUAUACAUAAAAUUAUGGAAAUAUAAAAGAUGUGUAUAUAAAAGUAUGUAUAUAUGUGUAUACUUUUUAUAAAAGAGAACUAUGUACGUAUAAAUAUGUUAUAUAAAUGUAUUAACGUGUGUAUAUAUAUAUAUAUACUUUGAAAUUAUAAAAUAAAAACAUAUGUACAUAUUUUAAAAUUAUUAUAUAAAAUAUAUAUAUAUAAGUAAGUAUAUACAUAUUCGUGAGAAAAAAAUAUAAAUAUACAUAUAUAUAAAUAUAUAUAAUGAGUAUUUAUGUAUGUAUAAAAAAAUAAAAAAUAUAUAUACAUAUAUAUAUGUAAGCAAUUAUAUAAUAAUAAUAUAAUAUGUCACAUAUAUCUAAGAUUUAUAUAAGUAAAUAUAAGUAUAAAUAUAAUGAUAGUAAUAAGAAUAUUAGUAAUAAUACUAAUAAUAAUAAUAAUAAUAAAACUACUGAAAAAAGGACUAAAUCGAACUACUGAAAAAAGGACUAAAUCGAAAUAAAAUAAAAAUACUGGGCGAAUUUGAAAUAAAAAAGACGAAAAGGACCAAAUGGGAAAUAAUCCCCAUCCUCAAACGCGCAGGUUCAUAGGACCAAACGAAAAGCCAAAGGAGUNNNNNNNNNNNNNNNNNNNNNNNNNNNNNNNNNNNNNNNNNNNNNNNNNNNNNNNNNNNNNNNNNNNNNNNNNNNNNNNNNNNNNNNNNNNNNNNNNNNNNNNNNNNNNNNNNNNNNNNNNNNNNNNNNNNNNNNNNNNNNNNNNNNNNNNNNNNNNNNNNNNNNNNNNNNNNNNNNNNNNNNNNNNNNNNNNNNNNNNNNNNNNNNNNNNNNNNNNNNNNNNNNNNNNNNNNNNNNNNNNNNNNNNNNNNNNNNNNNNNNNNNNNNNNNNNNNNNNNNNNNNNNNNNNNNNNNNNNNNNNNNNNNNNNNNNNNNNNNNNNNNNNNNNNNNNNNNNNNNNNNNNNNNNNNNNNNNNNNNNNNNNNNNNNNNNNNNNNNNNNNNNNNNNNNNNNNNNNNNNNNNNNNNNNNNNNNNNNNNNNNNNNNNNNNNNNNNNNNNNNNNNNNNNNNNNNNNNNNNNNNNNNNNNNNNNNNNNNNNNNNNNNNNNNNNNNNNNNNNNNNNNNNNNNNNNNNNNNNNNNNNNNNNNNNNNNNNNNNNNNNNNNNNNNGGCUUUAUAGCCGAUUACAUGUUAUUAUUUUGCUUUUUUUGUUCUUUGCGUGUCUUCUCCCCUUGCAGGUGGAGUCGGUGGCGACGUGACGUGACGGAGGCGUGUGAGGCGCAGUGGCAGGUAGGCAUAGUAGGGUAGGGCGGCAGCAGAGGCUAGAAGAGACCUGAAGGCCCUAGGUACGGCGCCUAGGGUUUUUUCUUUCAUUUUGUUUGGCUGAAAAUGUUUAGUUUUGGGCUUAGGGUUUCAGUUUGUAGUGGGCUGGUAUUGUAAUGUGGGCUUGUGGGUUGUAAUUGGGUAUUGGGUCUUUUAUUUAUAAUGGGCCCCGGGCAAAUUUGGGCUUUUACACAUAUAUAUUAUCAUGUAGGUUAUAACAUCAAUUUUUUAUGAAGUACAUUUGUAUUAUCAUACCGUAUUCAACAGACUGUCAUUCAAGUGGCCAUCCGAGUUUUCUAUUUUUCAUCAUAUGAUGAUUCCCUAUGGAAUUAGCCCUUUAUUAACUGAUACAUUUUCAAUAAUUUCCCUUUAAAGAGGAAUAGUAUUGACAGACAUAUCUCUCACUUAGUUCAUCCUUUCUAGUACCUCUUUCCGUCAAAGGGAUUCUAACUAACUCUUCUUUACCGAUUUGUUUGUAACUCUUCUUUUCAAAUCAAUCCUUCCUACAUGACAAACCUUUUGUCUUCUUUAAUUAUGAACAAAUCACAAUUCUUAGAAGGGUUCAAAGGGUUAAGUGUUUUGAAGGACAGUGGCAGAUCAGAUUUAUGUCUAAAGAAACAAACUUAAUUGCGGACCGAUUGGCUAAGCUUUGCCUUGCAUGAAAGUCGAGCUUACAAAUUUUUGAUGUACCUCCUAAUGAAGUAUUGGGGACUCUUCAACAAGAUAAAGCUUGUGGUGCUUUUGAACAAUUGAAUUGAUAUGAUUUUGUUUUACCUUCACCAAAAAAAUACAAAUUAUAACAAAAGAAAAAUAGUAUAGAUAUAUAAUCAUAAAUUUUAUAAAACAUAAAUUCUCAAAGAGGCAUAGCACAUUAACUACAAAGGUAGCCUACUGGUGAUAAAAUCUUCCAGUUAAACAGAUAAACUCCAAAUUUAUCAUAUGACAAUAAAUGAAAAAGAAAGGUGGAACAAGCCAAAAUAAGCAGAUCAUUUAAGCAAGAAGAGCACAAACAAACAAACAAAAAUUCCUUCUUUUAUUAUGUUAAGUCGUGCCGUCUUUGUAAGGAAUAAAAAGGUGGCAAGAUGUCUUUGUUCCCAGGCUCGUAAACUCGCUCCUAGUUCUUCUCCCAUUUUCGUCCACUAGGUAAGGGGUAAAGUGCAAUUUUACCUUUACCGAUUUAAAAUUUUUAAAGAACCUAAAUGAAUAAUUUUUCAUUUUAGGGGGAGCUGGCCCUGCUAGUCCUUUUUAGGGGUGAACUCCUUUUGGUUCAGCUUUUGGGUACAAACUAAAUAAAUAAGAAAGACUAAAAAAGAUAAAGAACAAAUUUCUUGGAGCUUUCCUCUGACAAAUAUUUUAAUUAUGAAUGGCAUUCUAUGGUGCUAAUUACAGUUUAAUUUCGGUCCUUAAAAAAGUUUUUUUUUCUUUUUUUAUUUCACUCCGGCCUCUUUGUGAAAUUCCUUGGAGCUUUCCUUUGACAAAUAUUUUCAUAUGAAUGGCAUUAUAGUCCUUUUAUUCUAUUGUGCUAAUCACUUGGUUUCUUUGGGUCAUGGGAUUAUAAACCUUUCGUCUUCAUUAAUUAUAAACAAUUCUAAGUGCUUGCCAAUUAUUAUUAUGAAGUCAUUCUUUAAUAUAAGUUAUAUAUUAGUCUUGAUAUAGCUUUUCCUUAUUCCAUUUCUUGUUGGUUCUCAACUGUUGAAGGGUUCAAUAUCAUUUCUACUCUCCUUUUCUGCAGUCAUCAUAUCAAGCGACUUCACAGGGAAAACGAUGAAGAAAUAGUGGAUAAUUGAUGAAAGAGAGUAAUGAUAAUAAUUCAUCAUAAUCAGAUCUUUACGAGUAUUGAAUUGAAUAAUAUAAUUAAAUUUAAAUCAAUCAAUUAAUUAAUUCACACAUUUCUUUUAUAAAGUAAAUGUUUAAUAUUCGAAAUUAUUUUAAUAAAUCUUUUCUAAAAUCUUAACCUCAAGAUUUUAUUGACAUGUCAAUUGUCAAUUGUAACCUUAAUGCUUAUGCAUUUUAAAAAUUAUACAAAUCUCACAUUGUUGAAGAAAGAUUUUGAAAUUCUUGUUUAUAAGCAGGAAAAAUUAAGUUUAGAGGGUCUUGUGACUUGUGCAUUGAGCCGCAAAGCCAAUGCAAUUUACAUCCAAUGUCUUUUUUGUUUUUGAAAUUAUUUUUUUACUCAAUUUUUGAGAGUUAAAAGAAAAGUAAUUAAUCGUUUUAACUUGUAAGAUCUAUAUUUAGUCAAACUAAAAAUAACUUAAUCGAUUGAAGUUAUUUUUAGUUAAAUACAGAUUCAUUUUGAAGAUCAACAGAGAUUGGUGUUUGAAUGAAACAUGGAUGACAAGGGAAGAAUAGAGCAAUAGGAGAAAUAAUGAUACUGACUUGUUGUAGAUUGUGUUGGAAUAGCUAGUACCAUAAUUAGGGGAGAGUAAAACUCGAUUCGACUCAAAAAAAAUUUUAAUUUUAAAUUUUGAGUUAAUUGAAUCAAGUUAUUCGGUUUUUUUUAGCCAACUCAAAUAAGUAAUUUGAGUUUUGAGUUCAAGUAGAGUUAUAUUUUACAAUUUGAAUAAUAGAUUGGUAUAAAUACACCUUUGAUCCCUGUCAAUUUUAAAAAUGAGCAAAAUGAUUUCUCUAAAAAAAAAAAACCAAACUUGUUUAAAGUAUUGUGAUAAGGGGAGUAGUUUCACAUGGAUGAACACACAUUUUCAUUCUGUUAUAGACCGAAGAAACCUGAAGAAGAUCAUGUGGCACUUGAUACUAGCAUACUUUUAAUUACCACAACUAGUUUAGAUUUUGUGAAGAAGAGGGAGCACUGUGUGCUAUUGCUAUUGCAAUUCUAUUGUUGCAAUUUUGCUACUACAAUUUAGGGAGACUUAUUUUUAUCAACAAAAAUGUGACAAGGUUAUCUCGAUUUAAAAAUGCUUUAUUCUCAUAAAAAUGUAAGUAUGAACAAACAUAAAAUAUAUUAAUCGAUCAUGAUUGUCCGCACAUGAACGGAGAAAUCUUAGUACAUAAUAUUUUUUACUUGUUAUCUUAUUACAUAAUAAAGUUGUAAAGAAUUUAAACUAUAAUAAUUUAUAAUUUAAAUUAAUUUAAUAAAGUACCUACUGAAUCAUUAGCCUUCUAAAAUUUUAUUAGACCAUUAUUAGUGAAUUAAAUAAACCUAAUUGACUCAUAUAAAUAAUUGGAUCCAUCGUGCACUGCCAUGAGGCGUGAAUUACAUUCUAGUUAGUCUAAAUGUUGUAUUAAUUUCUUUUAACUUUUGGUUGAGCUUUUGGGUACUAACUAAAUAAAUAAGAAAGACUACAAAAAGAUAAAGAGAUGUCCUCUUUGCAGUGGCGUUUGUUGGGGUUAGCAAGGCACGGCUUUGUUAAAAUAGAAAUUUGUUUAUUUAAGUUUUUUAAAAAUUUUAAAAUUUUAAAUUAAUAAAGAUAAAUUAUAUUUUAGUUAACUUAAAAAUGAUAAAAAUUUGAUUUAAUCUUCUAAAAAUUAUAAAGAUACAGGUUAUUAAAAAUUACAGUUUAAUUUUGACCCCUAAAAAAGUUUUCUGACUUUGCCUCUAUCUCGUUGUAAAAUUUCUUCGAGCUUUUCUUUGACAAAUAUUUUCAUAUGAAUGGUAUUAUAGUCCUUUUAUUCUAUUGUGCUAAUCACUUGGUUUCUUUGGGUUAUGGGAUUUCCCACUUAGUUAUAUAAUAAUUAUUACCAAAAUAAUAAUCUCAUAAAAUAUGAGAUUUAUUAUAACAAACUUUAUGACAUAGGAAUAUUAUAUUUUUAUACCAAUUUUAUUGCUAUUUAUAUUCUUUAAAUUUUUAAAUAAAAAAUCAUGUGUUUAAAUAUAUUUGGAUUCAAUUUUUUAUUAUUGUAAUAACAAAAAAAUUAAUUAAAGUAAUACUUAGUUAGCGAUAUAGUACAAUUAUCUUCAUAGGAGAGUGCAUAAUCAAAAAGAUUCUAACAUUUUAUCCUCUUUUCGUGCUGCUUGAAUCUCCAAAAACGGUGGCCCACUUCAACAAACCUUUUGUCUCCCUUAAUUAUGAACAAUUCUAAGUGUUUGCCAAUUAUUAUUAUGGACUCAUUCUUUAAUGUAAGUUAUAUAUUAGUCUUGAUAUAUAAAGCCUAAAAAAGAUAAAGAACAAAUUUCUUGGAGCUUUCCUCUGGCAAAUAUUUUAAUUAUGAAUGCCAUUCUAUUGUGCUAAUUACAGUUUAAUUUCGGUCCUUAAAAAAAAGGUUUUUUUUUUAAAUUUCAGUCCGGCCUCUUUGUGAAAUUCCUUGGAGCUUUCCUUUGGCAAAUAUUUUCAUAUGAAUGGCAUUAUAGUGCUUUUCUUCUGUUGUGCUAACCACUUGGUUUCUUUGGGUUAUGGGAUUAUAAACAUUUCUAAGUGCUUGCCAAUUAUUAUUAUGAAGUCAUUCUUUAAUAUAAGUUAUAUAUUAGUCUUGAUAUAAGGUUAAGGAGGAGUUACGUGUAGUUCUAGGUAUUAUAUCAAAUUUUCUCAGAAUAUUUUUUAACAUUUGUAUAAUUAAAUAUUCAAGUUUAUGUGAUAUAAAUUAUAUAAUAUAUAAAAAUACAUUAUAAAAGUAUAAAUCAAUCUAGGUUUGGGCUAGAGGUAAUCGUGGGUUGGGCCUCAAUAUGAUAUUAACAUACUUUAUACUUGUCCAAACCCACCCAUAUUUUCCAAAGAAUAAUCCAAGUCCGUUUAGGCCCGUCUAUAUUAUUUUUUAAUUUUUUUAAAAAUAUUUAUAUUAUACUAUUUUAAUAUUUAAUAAGUUGCAUAUUUUUUAUUUAUUAAAUUUUUUAUAUAGUCCUCUUAACAUUAUUUUAUUGCUUACAUUAAGCCAGUAUUAUAUAUUUACGAAAGAUUAACUCAAGCCCUUUUAGGCCGCCCAUAUUAUUUUUUCAAAUUUUUUAAAAAUAUUUAUUUUAUUUUAAUAUCUAAUGCUCUCUAGUGUUCGUUCUGAUGAUUGGUGGUAUUAACGUUGGAUUUUGGUUUCAUUUAUUAAGUAAAAUAAACAAAACUCACAAUAUUUAGAGGUUCAUGAUUGGAUUUCUCUCCGAUUUGUAUCAAGAAUUUUGACCUUAAAAUAUAAAAAUUCGAUCUAAUCCCUCUAUCUGAACUGCGAUCCGACAAAUUCCCAAUCAACUUGGUCAUUUGAAUUCUUUCAAUAACCUUUGGGAUAAUGUUUAAAACCUUACAUAUUUCUAAUUAACAUCAUACACUUUCUAACACUAAUCAUAUCUUUUUAAUAAUAUUUUAACUUUAAUUAGUGUUGAUUAAUUAAAUAAAUUUGAAGCUAAAAAUCAAACAAAAUUAAUGAACAAUAAUAGUAAAACAAGGCUUAUGGAUUUGGUUUUGUUCGUGGAACUAAAUUUAUGAUUUUAGAGAAAGGGUUAAAUAAAGAUUGAGGGCUAAAAAGGUUUAGGAUUAUAGAGUCAAGGGUUUUGUUUGUUGAAUAAAACAUUGUGUGCAUUUUGAGUUUUUAUUCAUUUCACCACUUUAAAAAAAAUUAUUUAAAUGAAAGAUUGUUUAUCUAUUUAUGCAUGGAUAUUGGUUACACAUGAAAGGAGAAAUCUUAUUAGAAUUUAUAAUUUAAAUUAAGUUGGCCUUCUAAAAUUUUCUUAGACCAUUAUUAGUGAAUUAAAUAAACCUAAUUGGCUCAUAUAAAUAAUUUGAACCAUCGUGCAGUGCCAUGAGACAAGAAUCUACUUAGUCUAAAUGUUGUAUUAAUUAACCAUUAAUGAAUAUUAAUGGUAAAAAGCCAAGAUGUAAGUCCUUAUCAUAAUAAAGAUAAAAGAAAAUUACUUUGGCACCACCUCUCAUUAAUUCAUAAUAUAUAUUUGUGUGAAUGUUUAUUAAUCUUCACAAAGGAUGGUCUUCUUUAAUUAUGAACAAUUCUAAGUGCUUGUCAAUUCUUAUUAUGAAGUCAUUCUUUAGUAUCUUUUCUGCAGUCAUCGUAUCAAGCGACUUCCAGGAAACCGAUGAAGAAACAGUGGAUAAUUGAUGGAAGAGAGUAAUGACAAUAAUCCCACCACAAUCAAGUGUUAGAAUUGAAUAAUAUAAUUCAACUAUACAAAUCUCAUAUUGUUAAAGUGAAAUUUUGAGAUUCUUGUCUAUAAGUCAUUAUACUUCAUUAAGUUAACAAAUUAAAUUUAGACCGUGAACUUGUGGCCUACAAGGCUAAUGCAAUUUACAUCCAAGUCCUUUUUGUUUUUAAAAUUACUUUUUACUGAAUGUUUUAGAAAACUUCUUAACCUGUAAAAAUAUUUUAAUCGACUGAAGCUAUUUUCAGUUGAGUUCAUUUUAACCUUUUUCAAACUAUUUUUAGCUAAUUCAAUCGACUUACCUAUGUUAUAGUUAACCAGUGAAAUUUUUAUAAAUACUCCUUCAAAGUUCCCAAUUUAUUCUUUACAUUCUCUUUCAAAAACUCCUUGUUUACUCAAAAGCUCUCUUCUACAAUUUUAACCGAAUAUUUAUUUGAUUUGUUUUUCCUACCAAUUAAUAGAAUUGUUUGUUGAAUUCUAGAGAAUACGUAAAUUCACGAAAUAUUUGUAAGGACUGUUGACAACAUUUUUUUUGAUGAAAAACGGGGUCCAAUUGGGUUUUGAAAACGAAAAAGGGAGUCGCCACCAAUCCUUUUUUGAGGUGUGAUUGGGUCACCUUGGAAAGAGGUUGUUUCUAAUAAAUAAUUUAAUUUUAUUAAAACAACGGUUUUGGUCAACGGAAUCUAGAAAACGGGUUCGGGAGUCGGUUACGUACGAGGAAGGGUUAGCACCCUCGUAACGCCCAGAAAUUGGUACCUAGUUAAUUAUCUAAUGUCUUGAUGUCGAGAACUGAAAACUUGAAAAAUUUUUAAAAUACGAUCCCUUGGUAUUAAACAUUAAAAAUUUGGGAAAAGAAGCAUAUUUUAUGUUAAUCGAGAAAAAGAAUCGUAUCCAGUAAGUUAGGACACAAUAUCUCGAAUUCCCAAUAUACAAAAAAAUGCUUAUUUAAAAGGUAUUUUUAGCUAUCUCGGAUUCGAAAGUGAGGUCACAACCAGUAAGUUAGGAUGCGAUUCUUUUUAAAUCCCUAGAUCAUUUAAAACUUGAGUUUGAAAGAUUCGUGUAUUUAGAUUUAUUGUGAAAAUCGAAACCCAGUAAGUUAGGGUACGGCAUUCUCAAAUCUAAACACGAGAUUUUGCUUAUUCAAAAAUUGUAAUUUUAUGUAUUGAAAUGAAUUAAUCUAACAUGAAAUUAUAAAACCCGAUGUUAAUACUCAUAACAAGACGAUAUUGAAUACAAUAGUGCAAAAUAAUACGAACAAUUGCAACGUAAAUAAGAUAAAUACAAAGUAUGAAUCAAUAACAUACGAAAUAGCAAUGUAUACAAGCAAAUAAAAUUAAAGCAUUCAUUCAGAUCAAUAACGCAAAUGAAAUAAAUAACUAAAUGAAUACGAAUAUAAAAAGUAAAAAGAUAUAUGUGUGUGCAUAAAAUUAUGAGAAUGUAAAAAAUCUAUGUACGUAAAAAUAUGUGUAAAUAUNNNNNNNNNNNNNNNNNNNNNNNNNNNNNNNNNNNNNNNNNNNNNNNNNNNNNNNNNNNNNNNNNNNNNNNNNNNNNNNNNNNNNNNNNNNNNNNNNNNNNNNNNNNNNNNNNNNNNNNNNNNNNNNNNNNNNNNNNNNNNNNNNNNNNNNNNNNNNNNNNNNNNNNNNNNNNNNNNNNNNNNNNNNNNNNNNNNNNNNNNNNNNNUAUAUAUAUAUAUAUAUAGACAUGCGGCUAUAUACAAUAAAAAUAAUAAAAGAUAAAUAUGUAUAGGUAUUCAUAAAAAUAAAAUAUGUGUAUUCGUAUAUUAAAGUAUAAAGUAUAAAUAAUAUAUAUCUAAGUAGAUAUACAUAUGUAAGUAAACUUGGAAAGUUAUGCGUACACAUACUAUGACAAUAUGAAUGUAUAUGUAUAAAUUAUAGAAUGUAUUAAAGCGUAAGUAUGUAAAUAGGUAUGUACACAUAUAUCAUAAUCAAAAAACAGUAUAAAUGGGUAAACAAUAAAGGCAAAUAAUAAAAAUAAAAGCAAUAAUGAUAAUAAUAAUAAUAAUAAUGGUAAUAAAACUAAUUACUUUUAAAAAAAAUAAAACGGGACUAAAUAAAAAAAAAAGCAAAAUCCCAGGGGAGAAAAGUAAAAAGAAAAAAACUAAAACAGGGACCAGAUUGGAGGGAAGCCCAGAAGCAGGAGGACUGAAAGGGUAAAUAGACCCUCAGUCCAAAACACGCGGAUCCCUGGGAUCCAUCGGGUCAACGAGCGGGUCGCGCUCAAUACGGCGCCGUUUUGGAGCCAUUGAUCAGACUCCAAACGGCGUCGUUUCAGACAACACCUAAGGCCCAAGAAAUACCUUAAUCUGAUAGCCUCCAUUCAUUUUUUAAACAAACAAAGAAAAAGAAAAUAAAAAAACAAAAAAGGAAAACUGAGAGCCCGAAUGCUCUCCUCCCCACGCCUCUCUCGGCCCUUAAGCUCAGGCCGCCAUCUCCGCCUCCAUGGCCAAUGGCCGGAGUUGCGCGAGAACGGCCCCUAGGCCUCCCCCAUUUGCGGCGUCCCCGAAGGCUAAGCCUUCUCAACCGCGAGAUCAAAAGGAAAAGGGAUGAAAUGCCCCUUUUGGCUAGUCUCCGACGACGGCAAGGGUGGGGUUCCGACACCAGCCCGUCGAAGCGGUAAGGUAUUUACUCCUUUCCCUUUUAGUUCAUUUUCUUUGUUGAACGAUUGCGAAGGGAAAAAAAUAAUAAACAAUAAAUAAAGAGUAAAGUAAAUAAGAAACAAGAACAGAGAAGAAUAAACUGGAGUCAACCUUUUUGAUCUGUUUUUCCUUUUUUUGAAUUCAAAACGCUGUGUAAAAAAUUGUACAGAGAUAUUGUUUGGCUUUUAUAGCCUUUUCCAUUGUAUUUUGAUUGUAUUUUGCUGUCUUGCACUAUCUGUUGCGUGCUCCUGCUUUUUUCUAUCAUUUUUUUGCAGGCGUUGAUGAAGCUAGUAGCGGCGGGUGGCGAUGGGACAAAACGAAUGAUGAUGGCAGAGGGAUGGGCGCGGUGCUAGGCUUGGCUAGGGUUUCCGUUUUCUGAAACCCUUGACUGGGUUCUGGGCCUGUUGGGUUUAUUGGGCCGUUUGGGCUCUGUUAAUUGGCCCCGGGCAAUAAUUGGGUUGUACAGCUGCCCCUCUUUGCUCGUUGUCGUGUAACAAUAACAGAGCAAAGACUAAGAAAGACCAAUUUUUGCCCAGUCUUGCCGAGGAAAAGAUUCUCCGUUGCGGCUUCAAUCUGUUCCGCUGCGUCGCCUGGAAGUAAGAUUCGCCGUUGUGGCUUCGAUCUUUUAAAUUGCAAUGUCGGCUUGAAUCUCAAAAAACGGUGGCCCACUUCAACAAACCUUUUGUCUCCCUUAAUUAUGAACAAUUCUAAGUGUUUGCCAAUUAUUAUUAUGGACUCAUUCUUUAAUGUAAGUUAUAUAUUAGUCUUGAUAUAUAAAGCCUAAAAAAGAUAAAGAACAAAUUUCUUGGAGCUUUCCUCUGGCAAAUAUUUUAAUUAUGAAUGCCAUUCUAUUGUGCUAAUUACAGUUUAAUUUCGGUCCUUAAAAAAAAGGUUUUUUUUUUAAAUUUCAGUCCGGCCUCUUUGUGAAAUUCCUUGGAGCUUUCCUUUGGCAAAUAUUUUCAUAUGAAUGGCAUUAUAGUGCUUUUCUUCUGUUGUGCUAACCACUUGGUUUCUUUGGGUUAUGGGAUUAUAAACAUUUCUAAGUGCUUGCCAAUUAUUAUUAUGAAGUCAUUCUUUAAUAUAAGUUAUAUAUUAGUCUUGAUAUAAGGUUAAGGAGGAGUUACGUGUAGUUCUAGGUAUUAUAUCAAAUUUUCUCAGAAUAUUUUUUAAUGGAGGGCGUUGGAUUGAAGAUGGUGGAAGGAUUUUAAACUCUCUGGCUGAUGGGUUCCAAUGGCAGCCUUAUCCUUUGAAGGAUCAAGUAAACAUAAUAAUCCAUGACAAGCACCAUAAACAGAGGGGAGAUCAUUCUUAAAAAAGGGCAAGUGAAUGUUUUGUUUUACUAUAUAAUUUUGAUCUUUUUCAUUUGAAAGUUGAGAGUAAUAAAGUUAGAAGGCGUUACCAUCAAGGCGACUAAGAAGUAGAUUAAGGUUGUUGUUUUCAAGGUUAUUGGAAAUGAAAUGAGGAGUUUGAAUAGAAGAACACCAAUACUUACAAACACAGUUGAAGCGAGUAAGGGAUUUAACUGGAAGCUUUGACAGAAUUUCAAUAACCAAAGCUUCUGGCAAUUCAAACCUUGGCCUCUGCAUCUUGCUAUUUUGUUGGUGUUAAGAGGCAAUAGCAAGCUGGUUUCAGCUUGCUUGGACAGCAAGUGUCGAGCCUUGCUGAAGAAACAAACUCAAAAAGAAACAGAAAUCAAGCUUGCAAGUGGAAAAACAGAAAAACGAGAGAGAGUUUGAAUGAAAAACAAACUGAAAGUUUUUCAUUAACAUUAAACAAGGCAUUGAGCCAUUACAUAUAUUAGCUAACAUGUAAUACAAACAAGUAAUUGCCUAAUCAACUACCUAACUCCACUAAUCUGUCUUGAAACUUACAAAAAUAGCUUCAUCAUAUUGCUAUGUUGAUUUUCAAUCAAUCAACAUCAAAAUUACAUCAAAACAUUUAUCUACUUAGUUCAACAUGAACUAGAUUACAAAAUAAUUAAAAUUCAACUAAAACACAACAAUUAAUUUGGCAACUUCAAGCUCCAGCUUCUGCACAUCAUGGCUCGACUGCUUGUUGCCAUUUCUUCUUGUAUGGCCACCUUUGCAUAGGAACUAAUCUCAACACUCCUCCUUAGUUGCCAUGUUAGUGACACCUAGUUCCUUCUUCAACUUUAUAAACCUUGACACAUUUAAAGCUUUGGUAAAAAUGUCAGCAAUUUGCUCCUCCGAAUUGCAAUGAACCAGCUCGAUUUCAUGAGCUUGUUCCAUCUCUCUUAUAACAUGUAGUUUGAUGUUAAAGUGCUUCGUUCUGCCAUGAAAGAUGGGAUUCUUUGCAAUUGCAACAGCAGAUUUGUUAUCACAGUAAAUCUCUGUUGCUUCUUCUUGGUUUUGGUUUAAAUCAGCCAAGAUUUUUCUAAGCCAUAUGGCUUGAUUCACAGCAGAUGCAGCAGCAACAUAUUCAACUUCUGCUGUUGAUUGUGCCACCAGACUCUGCUUCUUAGAACUCCAGCAAAACAUGCCUGAGCCAAGGCUAAAUGCAUAUCCAGAUGUGCUUCUCAUGUCAUCACAUGAUCCAGCCCAAUCACUAUCGACAUAGCCUAUUAACUUCAUGUUUUCAGCUCUUUUGAACAUCACACCAUGGUUAAUGGUGCCUUUGAUGUACCUCAGCACUCGUUUAGCUGCUUGAAAAUGCUGAUUGUUGCAGCAAUUCAUGCAUCUGGAUAGCACACUAACUGCAAACAUAAUAUCGGGCCUUGUUGCAGUCAAAUAUAGUAGACUACAAAUGAGACUUUUGUACAUAGUCUCACAAACUGGUUCACCAGUUUCCUGCCUCGAUAGCUUCAUUCCAACAACCAUUGGUGUGCUUGUUGGCUUGCAGUUCUUCAUUGAGAACUUGUUUAAAACUUUCAUAGCGAAGGAACUCUGGCUGAGAAAGAUUCCAGUUCCAUUUUGUUUUACUUCCAUUCCUAGGAAGUAGUUCAUUCUGCCUAAAUCAGACAUCUCGAACAUUUUCAUCAUUUUCUUCUUGAAAUCAUGCAUCAUAUUUUUGUCUCCUCCAGUUACUAACAAAUCAUCAACAUAGAGUGACAAGAUAAGUUGAGUCUCAGCUUAAUUUUUCUUCACAUGCAGUGUUGGUUCACUGGCACUUCUCUCGAAUUCCAAACUGAGCAAGUAGGAAUCAAUUCGAGCAUACCAGGCUCGAGGGGCCUGUUUCAGGCCGUACAAGGCCUUUUUCAAUCUGUAGACCAUGUGUUCUUUGCCAGUGACUACAAACCCUUGAGGUUGCUCAAUGUAAAUCUCUUCUUCUAGGAAGCCAUUGAGGAAUGCAGACUUCACAUCCAGCUGAUGAAUGGUCCACUGAUUUUGAGCAACCAAAGCAACUAUCAUUCUGACCGUGUCAAGUCUGGCUACUGGUGCAAAGGUUUCCAAGUAGUCCAGACCAUACCUUUGGCUAAAACCUUUGACAACAAGCCUGGCCUUCAGUUUGUUCAAACUGCCAUCUGCAUUUUGUUUUGCUCGAUAGACCCAUUUUACUCCAAUGGUCUUCUUUCCAGCUGGUUUAUCAACCAGCUCCCAUGUUUGAUUCUUUUGAAUCAUAUUGAUUUCAUCAAGCAUAGCUUGUUUCCAGCCUUCAUCUGCCUCAGCCUCUUCAAAACUGCUAGGUUCUGCUGUAGCAACCUGUGCCCUUUCAUAAAUCUCAUCUAGGGGCCUUGUGCCUCUCACAGGUACAUCAGCAACAUCCAACUCAGAACCAAGCUGCUCGAGUUCAGUUUGAUUAGGCACCAAGUCUUCUGAAACUGUUUCAGGCUCAUUUUUCUCUCAAUUCCAGCAAGCCUUUUCAUCAAAGAUAACAUCUCUGCUUACCUGAACUUUGCUUGUCAAGGGAUCCAGAAUCCUGUAGCCCUUCUUGACCGAGCUAUAGCCCACUAGGAUGCCAGGUUGGGAUCUCUUUGACAGCUUGUCCCUCUUUGCUGCUGGUAUUUGUGCAUAGCAUAGGCAACCAAACACCUUCAGAUGUGCCAAUGAAGGUUUGAAGCCAAACCAUGCCUCGAAAGGUGUCUUGGAUGCAAGAGCUUUGGUAGGAAGCCUAUUCUGAAGGUAAACAGCAGUGUUUACUGCCUCAGCCCACAUGGUCUUAGGCAGUUUCUUCUCAAACAGUAAGCAUCUUGCCAUAUCCAUUAGGCUUCUGUUCUUCCUUUCAGAUACCCCAUUCUGCUGAGGUGUGUACACAUUUGUUAGCUGGUGUUUAAUGCCAGCAUCAUUGCAAAUGGGUUGGAACUGAGUUGAAUUGUACUCAGUGCCAUUGUCUGACCUUAUCGAUUUCAGCUUGCAGCCUGUUUCUGUCUCUAUAGCAGUUUUAAACUUCACAAACACUUGAGCUACCUCAGACUUGUGUUUCAAGAAGAAAAUCCAGCAAAACCUUGUAAAAUCAUCAAUGAAGAGGAUGAAAUACUUGUUUUUGCUGAGUGAUUCAGUCCUCAUAGGUCCACAUACAUCAGAGUGCACCAGCUGCAAUCUUUCAGUGGCUCUCCAUGCUAAACUUGUAGGAAAUGGCAGUCUUGCCUGUUUUCCCAUCUGGCACACUUCACACACAUCAUCAUGCUCCAUUGAGCUGGUGAAGUUCUUUGCCAAUCCCUCUUUGGCCAAUCGAGCCAUUGAUCUGAAGUUGGCAUACCCGAGCCUUUGGUACCAAAUCUUGGAAUCAUCAACAGAGGCAGUGUAUGCUGACUUUGAGUUAUUUGGCCAAUGGACCUCAAAGCAUUUAUCAGUCAUUGUGACUGUCAUAAGGCUUGAUCCACUUAGAUCAGCAAUGUGGCACUGUUUGUCCUUGAACACAACAGAAUAACCUUUCUCAAGCAAUUGAGCUAUGCUGAGAAGGUUUCUGUCAAUUUCAGGUACCAGCAAGACAUUUGAGAUAACUUUGUUUCCUGUAGGAGUACAUAUCAGCACCUCUCCUCUUCCUUCAGCCCUUAUGAACUGACCAUUUCCAACCUUGACCUUGGUUUUGCAACUUCUAUCCAAGGUUUUAAAUAAGGAGGUAUCUGGUGACAUGUGGUUAGUACAACCACUGUCCAAUAACCAGCCUUUUGAACUUUUCUUUUCAGCAGCUAAGCAAGAAACAGCAAAGACCUGCUCUUCUUGAUCACUACUGUCCUCAGCCACUCGAGCUUCAACCUUUGGCUGCUGAAAUUGAUUCUGCCUUGGCUUAUUCCUGUUUUUACAGACCCUUUCAACAUGGCCCUUCUUCUUGCAGUGUUGGCACACAGCAUCUGGCCUAAACCAGCAUCUAUCUUCUGGAUGUCUUGACCUCUUGCAAUAUCUGCAGGGCUGGUCAUUGCUCCUUGCAGCAUCAGGCUUAGGCCUACUUUUCCAAGGCUUUUUGCCUCUUUGAGCAUUUACGCUUGAGGCUUCUCUGGCUUUGGCUUGAAAUGCACCUUCUUGGUGAUCUUCAGCUCUGCUAGCUCUCCUUUGUUCCUGAGCAUAAAAGGUGUUAAUUAGCUCAGUCAAAGAGAUGCUAGCAAGAUCUCUUGAGUCCUCUAAGGAGGAUAUCUUUGCCUCAUAUCUCUCAGGCAAAGUGGAGAGGACUUUCUCCACAAUUCUUGCCUCAUCAAAGUGCUCACCAAGGAGCCUUAUGCUGUUAACCACUGCCAUGAUUCUAUCUGCAUACUGCUUCACUAUUUCUUCUUCCUUCAUCUUCAGAUUCUCGAAAUCCCUUCUCAAAUUCAAUAGCUGCUGUUGCCUUGUCCUCUCAGUGCCUUGAAACUCCUCCUUAAGCUUGUCCCAGGCCUGUUUUGGAGUCUCACAGGCCAUAAUUCUGGUGAAGAUGACAUCUGACACACAGUUCUGGAUGCAAGACAUGGCUUUGUGCCUCUUGGUCCUCUCAUCAGCAUGUUGUCUGAUCUGAGCUACUGUGGGAUUAGCCCUCAGUGGUGCUGGCUCAGCAUCUGUGUUGACAACUUCCCACAGAUCAAAAGCCUGCAGGUAAGUCUUCAUCUUUACCAGCCAUAUAUGAAAGCCUUCUCCAUUAAAGACUGGUGGGGCUGCUGGUGAAAAUCCUGAAGAAGCCAUCAGGUUCCUUGACUUUAAGUAACAGGUCCACUAAGACAAGAGCUCUAGAUACCAAUUUGUUGGUGUUAAGAGGCAACAGCAAGCUGGUUUUAGCUUGCUUGGACAGCAAGUGUCGAGCCUUGCUGAAGAAACAAACUCGAAAAGAAACAGAAAUCAAGCUUGCAAGUGGAAAAACAGAAAAAGGAGAGAGUUUGAAUGAAAAACAAACUGAAAGUUUUUCAUUAACAUUAAACAAGGCAUUGAGCCAUUACAUAUACUAGCUAACAUGUAAUACAAACAAGUAAUUACCUAAUCAACUACCUAACUCCACUAAUCUGUCUUGAAACUUACAAAAAUAGCUUCAUCAUAUUGCUAUGCUGAUUUUCAAUCAAUCAACACAAAAGUACAUCAAAACAUUUAUCUACUUAGUUCAACAUGAACUAGAUUACAAAAUAAUUAAAAUUCAACUAAAACACAACAAGUAAUUUGGCAACUUCAAGCUCCAGCUUCUGCACAUCAUGGCUCGACUGCUUGCUGCCAUUUCUUCUUGCAUGGCCACCUUUGCAUGGGAACUAAUCUCAACAUAUUUUGAUUUUCUUUGUAAUUGACUAAGAGGAAUAAAUAAGCAAGCAAAAGGGGAGUUGGUAGGUGUCAUCUAUGGUCGAAACCUUAACCAUGAAGCAAACAUAAAAGGUAAGCAUUUGAUACAUUAUAAUAAUUAUAUGCAAUUUAGGAAAUUUCCUUAUUUGCUCAUUUGUAUCCAUGUGAAGAAUGAUUAAGAUUGAAUAUAAUCUAAUAUAUACCUUUUGAAUUUUAUCCCCAAUUUUUAAAAGAAUAAAUUUAAAGAAUACAAUACGCUCAACAUUUAUGUACUUUUUGUAUAUUUAAAAUUUAAUCCCUAAUUUUUUAUUUUUAAAAAUUUAGUCUCUUUAUUUUUAAAUUUUAGAAAUUUAGGAUCGUUAAAAUUAUUUGACAUAAUUGUUGAAAAUACCUUCCAUGUUUAUGAGUUUUUGUGUUUGAGCCAUUAACCUUCUUUUUUUAUUGACACCCUCAACAUUACAAUUUGUUUAGAAAUCAACCUAAUUUUCACGGGAUACAAGAGUUGAUCGUCAGUCAAACAAAAGGUUAACGAAGUAGCCUAUGUGGCGUGUCAUAUAUGCACGAGAUCAUAGAUGAUGGCAUCUAUAAAAACAAAAUUGUUUAAAAAAAAUUUUUUAUUUUGUUUCAAUAUUCUUUAUUCUUCUCCUCUUUCUCUCUUCCCCUCUAGCUCCUGUCAUCGUCGUGUCCAAACCCUUCCACCGUUGCCUUCCCUCUCACUCCUAACCGUUGUUCUCACCAAAAAUGUUAGAAGAAAUGUUAGAAGAGAUACUAAUAUAUAUAGAAUUUAUCUGAAUUCAUCCCUCAAAGUCAGAAAAAAAAAUACAUCUUCAAUCACCAGCAAUAUCAUACAAUCAUUAAAAUCCAAAACACCAACUAAAAAAAAAACUAGCUUUCAUCCUAUUGACAAAUUUUGAAGAACAUGUAGAAAACUCAAAAUAAACCUUACCAUUAACAAUCCACAAAGAUCAUAAACAAAGCAACACAACAAAGACAUUAAACUGGGGAUAAAAAAAAAAAAAAGGUACUGACUUUAUCCAUGGAAAAAAAGGGCCAACCCAUUUGAGAAAAACAUCAACCAAUAAUCCUAGAAAGGUAAGUAAAAUUCCCAACUUGAUUCAGUACCAAAUAGACCUUCUCGAUUGAGAACAAAAACCUGGCUCCUUUAGCAAAGAAUUAUUCUCUUCCGCUUCACAUUAUUCUAAUAAUCUCUGUCUCAAACUUACCCUUUUCUCAUUAACAUCAUCAUCACCUUCAACUCAUAAUUUUAGCUCCGGCAUCACUUCUCCUCCCUCAUCAUCAUUUUUAUCAUCAUUGAAAGUCAUUGAAUUUUUAGAACAAGAACCCAAAUUUCACCUGAGAAAAUUAGAGAAGGUGAAGCAAUAAAUGGAUAGAUGAAUUGAAAAACAAAGAAGGAUAUCAAAUAUACCGAAAGAAACCAAACCUAAACCAAACAAAGCGAGUUUGAUUUUUCUAGUUUUUUUAAAUUUAAAAGAAAACCAAAACCCUAAAAUGGGUUACAACAGUGAGUCUCUUUUUGCUUUUUCUUUAUUCUUUUUGGUUGUAUAGAAUUUUGGGUGUUUGACGAAAUUGUCUUUUGUAAGGCUAGCAGAGAUGAACUAGACGUUGAUGAUGAUGAUGAGGAGGAGGAUGGAGAUGGAGAAGAUUUUGGGACAUUUAUGGUAAGAUCGAGGUGAGGUGUGAGAGGGAAGGCGACAGUGGUGGGGGUUGUCUAGCCACAUAGGCUACUUUGUUGACAUGUGGUUUGAUUGACUGUCAACUCAUGUUUCUCACUAAAAUUUGGUUAAUUUCUAAAAAAAUCGUAACGUUGAUAAUGUCAAUUCAAAAAAAAAAGAAGGUUAAAAGCCCAAACCCAAAAACCUAUAAAUGUUGAGGGUAUUUUCGACAAUUAUGCCAAAUUCUUUUGUUAAAUUUGUCGGUUUGAUAUUCUAAAUUUCUUUUUUUUUUUAAAAAACCAUACUCCAUAAUCAUAUUACCGAAAAUGGCAUUAUAAUGGACUUGAAGCUAACAAAAAAAUUUAACGAUGUUAACGCUUCUUUAAACUUACGUCAAAAUUUUAAUUAGAAUAAAAUAUUUAGUCAACGUUGAAGCACCAAACUAUAAAAGAAGUAUAAAGGCUAAAUCUCGAAUUUUAACAUAGUAUAGAGACCAAAUUUGAAAUUUAACUAUUUUUAUCCAUGUGAGCAUUUGAUAGGUUAUAAUAAUUAUAUGCAAUUUAGGAAAAUUUCCUUAUUUGCAUUUGUAUCCAUGUGAGGAAGGAUUAAGAUCAAAUAUAAUAUAAUACAUACUUUUUGAAUUUAAUCCCUGAUUUUUAAAAGAUUAAAUUUAAAGGAUAUCACAUUUAUGUACUUUUGUAUAUUUGAAAUUUAAUACUUAAUUUUUAUUUUUAAGAAUUCAAUCUCUCUAUUUUUUUAAAAUUAUAAAUUUUGGUAUGGUUAACACCGUUAAAAUUGUUAAAAUUCUUUGGCAUAAUUGUCGAAAAUACUCUCAAUGUUUAUGGGUUUUUGGGUUGAGCUCUUAAAUUAUUUUUUUUUUGGAUUGACACCCUCAAUGUUACGAUUUUUCAUAAAUCAAUCCAAUUUUAACAGGAAACAUGAGUUAACCGUUAGUCAAAUCGCAAGUCAAUGAAGUAGCCUAUGUGGCUUGCCACAUAAGCAUGAGGUCAUAGAUGAAGUCAUUUAUAAAAAUAAAAUUGUUUAACAAAUUUUUUUUCAUUUUGUUUCAAUCUUCUUUUCUCUUCUUCUCUUUCUCUCUUCCCCUCUAGCUGUUGUCGCCGUUGUGUCCAACCCUAUCGUCGCCUUCCCUCUCACUCCUCACCAACCCAACCCCCACCACCUCUCACUUCCCUCUCACUCCUCACCGUUGAUCUCAUUGGCAUCUCUUCUAACAUUUGUGGUGAGAUCGACAGUGAAGAGUGAGAGGGAAGGCGGCGGCGGUGGGGGUUGGACACAACGGCAACAGUAGCUAGAGGGGAAAAUAUAAAGAGGAGAAGAAAUAAAUUGAAACAAAAUGAAAAAAAAUGUUAAACAAUUUUGUUUAUAGAUGACAUCAUCUAUGAACUCGUGCUUAUGGGGCACGCCACAUAGGCUACUUCGUUGAUCUGUGGUUUGACCGACUGUCAACUCACAUUUUCCGUUAAAAUUGGGCUGACUUAUUAAAAAAUCGUAACGUUAAGGGUGUCAAUCCAAAAAAAAAAAAAGGUUAAUGGCUCAAACCCAAAAACUCAAAAAUAUUGAGGUUUUUUCGACAAUUAUGCCAAAUUCUUUGUUAAAUUUGUUGGUUUGAUAUCCUAAAAUUUUUUUUAAAAAAAAAGUACUUACUCCAUAAUCAUGUCACAGAAAAUGGCAUUAUAAUGGACUUGAAGCUAAUAAGAAAAUAUUAAAGAUGUUAACACUUAUUUAAAUUUACGUAAAAAAUUAAUUAGAAUAAAAUAUUUAGACUAAAUAAUGACAUUAUAAACAUUGAAGCACCAAAUUAUAAAAAAGUAUAAAGUCCAAAUCUCAAAUUUUAACAUAGUACAAAGACCAAAACUGAAAUUUAAAUAAUCAUACAAUUACUUUCUUUUUUGUUGCAUAUCAUUUCCAAAUACAUAAAACGAUCCAUAUUCAACUAUAACAUAUUGUACACCAAAAAAUAAUUUUGAAAUCAAACAAUUGAAGAAAAAGAGUUAGCUGGAUGCUACAGAACAGUAGUCAAUGUCUGUCAGUUUGACUUUGGCUUGCGCUGCAUGAUUCUAGCUUGUUAUGAAUGCUUAAACUAUGGGUCACUUUCAUAAGACUUUUUCUCUAAUUCCAUGUCCAUUGUAAUUGCUGAAAUUCAUCUUCAUUUUUAGCUACUUGUUAGUGUAUAAAUUGUAGAAAAAUGUCUUCGUUUAAGUUCGAAUUGUUGUAAACUGUCCCUUAAAAAUCUUUAAUACGCAUUGAAGAAAUGAAAACUCGAAUGAAAUACAUGCAUGUUAUCGUGUUUGUUGUGAGUAUGAUCAUUGCAGGGUUCAAUGGAGUCGAUGCAAUGAGUAAAUAUUACAGUCACUGCGGGAAACAUGACAUCGAAAAGGAGGCUCAAAAUCUGUUCCCAUGUUAUGAGAUUAGUUAACGGGAAACAUGAGUUAACCGUUAGUCAAAUCGCAAGUUUCUUAUUUAAAUAAGAAACAUGUCCUAAACAUGGUAUAUCACCACUCAAUAAGAAACCGAUUGGAAGUAUGACAGAGGAUGUUGUGCAAAGUCGGAACAUGUCCUAAGCUGUAUGUUGUACAAACUCUGAACCUGUCAAUACCAAGUCCGGCCAUAGUGUGGGCAAUUGGUUCCAAAGAGCUAUAUCACCACUCAACAAUUGCUUUUAAAUAAGAAACAAAAAAAUUGAUUAGAUUACAGAUAAAUUACUUAAUAGUUUCAAGUGAAGAAUGUAUAUGCGUACUUGGAGUCGUGGCCGGGUUAGAAUAGGUUGUGGAUGGGUGCAAGGCUUCCUUGCAUUGUAUGGGGGCACCGGCAUGUCAUGAGCGUCUUGCGCCCAAAUUCCAUGUAUUUUGAAUUCAGUUGGGAUUGGGAGUUUACAGUUGAAAGUAGAGCUGCAAACAGAGGAGGCCACUGCAGUGCCAACUUAUAGAAGUCUACCACUGGAAUUACUGGCGGCUGGGGUACUGCAAAUGCUACCCAUAAUGAAAAAUGAUACAAUGCAUUUUUACAAAUUUACAAAUCAAAAGAGAACUACUCCAUAUAUAGAUCUUACAUGCAUAGAUGGUCGGGCUGAGAUUGGAUGAUUGUGCUUUGCAAGCAGCUGGUUUAUGAUCUCCUUUAUAAGCUUGGCACACAUAUUUCACGAAAUUUUCAAAGUCCUGCAACCAUGAAAUAAAUGUUGAAGUUACUUGUCACAAAAUGUUACUUCACAGUCACACCAAGAGGGAGAAAUAAACAAACUCACUUGUCUGAGUGGCUGAUUAUUCACCACCACCCAUGGCACAUAUUCUUGAGGUGGCUUCAGAUGUGCAGUCUCGUUAGCAUAUUGCAGCAGAAGCUGCAUUUUAUUAACUUGGAAAUUCAAUGUUAGAAAAAGCUAAGGAGAAGUGUUAAUUAAAUACUAAUACAUGCAGCCAACCUUAUAUCCAAAUCCAGUAGUAUAGCAUUGGUUGAUUAUCACCUCAUUCAAUCUCAGCUUUUCACUGCAAUUUUUCCACAGUGCUUCAACGGGCCACCCCUUUAAGCUUUGUUGCUCUGUGCAGCCAAUGAAUUCCAAGUGUUCUUUCUGCUACAAAGUAGAGUAAGUAAACACGAGUUGGAGACGAGUACAAAUACUUAUGGCUAAUAGAAGUUACCACAUCAGGCCAGAAAUGGAUGACACAACUAUGUAUAGUGUUUAAGUGGCAUUCUUCUUCUCCAUGCUGGACAUUGUUGCAUAAACUAUAAUUAGUUACAGUAGAAGAAAGAAAUUGAACUUCAUUAGUUAAUAAUGAAAAUAUAUUAAAAUGAAGAAUGGAGUUGUAAACCUGGCAAUGGAUUUCAGCAUUGCUCCAAGGGACCAAUCUUAGAUUGAUAAUGGUAUGGAGGUCAGUGUGGAAGACCUUGACGAGGUCGUUGGAGAUAAAGGAGGCACAACGUGGACAUAAACUUGUUUCAUAGUACAGUGACACAGUAACCCUGUCAUUAACAUUAUCUAAAGAGGAAUGGGAGGGAGAAAUAAGCCAAAAUAUUGCAAGAGCAGACAGAAUAUAGAAGAUCAGUGGUUGAAGAUAAGCCAUUGUUUUAGUGGUAGCUUCUGCACAAUGCUGAACCUCCAUUAUGCAAUGUUUUUUAUAGUUGAGAAAGGGGAUGAUGGCUAUUGUUUUCUAUCACUUUCAGAAACCAUGUGACGUUAUCACUUUCAGAAACCACUUUAAAAAAUUAUUUACAUGAAGAUUGUUUAUUUAUGUAUAUGGUUCUUGCUUUUUCUAAUUUUACUUUGGAAAUUACAAAAAUAAUCAACAUUGUAGUUAUAUCUAAUACUAGUUUCAAUCACAUGUAAUAAGUUCCACGUUAAUAAAAUAAGUCCUUAAUUUUUCUUAACAUGGCUUUCGAUGUGUCUGUUUCAAUAUGUAUAAAUAUGGGGAAUCAACUUCACAAGUAAUUGCUUAUAAUGGUUUAUUGCUUAUAACAAUUGAUAUAUAUAUGUAUAUAUAUGAACUUAACCAAACAUCCUCAAAGUUGUUGGAAUUUUGGUUUCUUUAAAAUUUUAGUAGGGUUUAAAACUUGAUUAAGAGUAUGGUAAUUAAUGGUUAGAGGAGAAAAUGAAUUGAUUUGUUUUUAUAAGUACUGUUAGUCUUUCACAUGAAAUAGGGUAAGAAUCUCAAUUUAACAAAAAUGGAUUUGCUUUUAUCAAAGUCUCAAGAUUAUAAGGUAGCAUUGGUUGGCUGGUAUUUUCAUGCGUAAAAAUAUAUUCAUUUUUGUUAAAUUGUGAUUUUUCCUACACUUGUAUGUGAUUCACACUAGCAGGUAAAUUCUUUCGUUUGUUGAGUAAAUUAAAUUAUCAAAGGUGUUCAAAGUCAAAUAUUAACUUAAAUGUUGCAAUAAUUAAUGCAAAAGGGAGAUUAUGAGUGAUUGUUGGAGGUCAUACCAUAGGUAGAAAGGGAGGAAACAGUGGGACAACCAACAAAGCCAAGACUUGAUCCAUUUAUACUCAGCCAUUAAGAUGUAAUGUAGUAGUUUAUACUUCUGAUUUUGGUUUCUCAAGAAUUAGAUUUAUCCAUAAUCGAAUUGGAUUGAGAUUAUCUCAAGUUUUCCUAACGUAACCAAUGCCACAUUUAUUAAAAGUAUAUAAUCAUGUUUUAAAGUAGAAAAAAAUGAUUUUAUUCUUUGCAUCUUUGUUUUGAUUUGUAAGAAACUUGCAAGUAUAACUAUGCCAUUUUGGAAGGACAAUCAGAGUGCUUAUGGAGCAAAUCUUAACAAUAAAGCAAAGAAGCAUUUAAUACAUUAAUUUUAUUCUUGUAGUGACAGCGAUGUUUAAUUUUUAAGAGUUAUUAAAACUCUUUAUUUGCAACCCAAUGGUUAUCUGAAAUCGAAUUAAAUUUCUUUUUAUUUAAUAUACAAUUAAUUUUAAUUUUUUAUUAUAAAAAUAAAUAUUAUUUGUUUAAAAUAGUAUAAAUAACUUAAAAAUUCUUGUAAAAUCAUUAUUAUUAUUUUUUUGCAAAUAUUUAUUAAAAGGGCUUUCAAAUUUGUCAAAUAAUAUUAAAAAAAAGCAUAAAACAAAGUCAAUUUUGUUAAAAUAAGUCUAAAAAUCUAAAAUAAAACAUUAUUAUGAAAAAAUUAACAACUCUUCAUAAAUUCUAUUUAUGCCCCCAAAAAUGAUACAAAUUUGAUUUAUUCUCUAAAAAUUUAUAUAGAUAUAAGUUAUUAAAAUUGUGAAAUUGCAUCUUUACUAUCAUAAAAAUAUAUAAUUUUAUCCCCAAAAUAAAACUUUCCUAGCUUCACCCCUGAUCGACAAUGCUAAUAUAAGUUUGUUACAAAAGAUUGGCAUUAUAGUGGAAUUGGAGCUAACAAAAAAAAAAAUAACAAUGUUAAUGUUUCUUUAAAUUUAGGUCAGAAUUUUUAUUAGAAUAAAAUAUUAAGGGUAAAUUACACAUAAAAGUCCUAUUUUUUUAAAAUUUACCGAAAUGGGCCCGGUAUUUUAUUAUUUACCGGAAUGGGCCAUUUUCCCCGAAAUCGCCUCCACGUCAGCGCGAUGUCAGGGGAUGUGUCAGCAAAUCGCGUCCACAUCAGCGCGAUUACUUACGUGGCAACAAAUCGCGUCCACGUAAGCGCGAUUUGCUGACGUGGAAGCAAUAAUUCAUGAACAGUUUAUGUUUUUUAGCUUGGAAAACUUUGAAAGGCCAUAACUUUUGACUCGGUUAUCCGAUUGAGACGAUUCAUUAAAAUACAUUAACAUUACCUAAAGAGGAAUGGGAGGGAGAAAUAAGCCAAAAUAUUGCAAGAGCAGACAGAAUAUAGAAGAUCAGUGGUUGAAGAUAAGCCAUUGUUUUAGUGGUAGCUUCUGCACAAUGCUGAACCUCCAUUAUGCAAUGUUUUUUAUAGUUGAGAAAGGGGAUGAUGGCUAUUGUUUUCUAUCACUUUCAGAAACCAUGUGACGUUAUCACUUUCAGAAACCACUUUAAAAAAUUAUUUACAUGAAGAUUGUUUAUUUAUGUAUAUGGUUCUUGCUUUUUCUAAUUUUACUUUGGAAAUUACAAAAAUAAUCAACAUUGUAGUUAUAUCUAAUACUAGUUUCAAUCACAUGUAAUAAGUUCCACGUUAAUAAAAUAAGUCCUUAAUUUUUCUUAACAUGGCUUUCGAUGUGUCUGUUUCAAUCUUUAUAAAUAUGGCGAAUCAACUUCACAAGUAAUUACUUAUAACAAUUGAUAUAUAUGUUUAUAUAUGAACUUAACCAAACAUCGUCAAAGUUGUUGGAAUUUUGGUUUCUUUAAAAUUUUAGUAGGGUUUAAAUCUUGAUUAAGAGUAUGGUAAUUAAUGGUUAGAGGAGAAAAUGAAAUGAUUUGUUUUUAUAAGUACUGUUAGUCUUUCACAUGAAAUAGUGUAAGAAUCUCAAUUUAACAAAAAUGGAUUUGCUUUUAUCAAAGUCUCAAGAUUAUAAGGUAGCAUUGGUUGGCUGGUAUUUUCAUGCGUAAAAAUAUAUUCAUUUUUGUUAAAUUGUGAUUUUUCCUACACUUUUAUGUGACUCACGCUAGCAGGUAAAUUCUUUCGUUUGUUGAGUAAAUUAAAUUAUCAAAGGUGUUCAAAGUCAAAUAUUAACUUAGAUGUUGCAAUAAUCAAUGCAAAACAGAGAUUAUGAGUGAUUGUCGGAGAUCAUACCAUAGGUAGAAAGGGAGGAAACAGUGGGACAACCAACAAAGCCAAGACUUGAUCCAUUUAUCAAAUCCUUGCUAUCUCAACUCAGCCAUUAAGAUGUCAUGUAGUAGUUUAUACUUCUGAGUUUGGUUUCUCAAGAAUUAAAUUUAUUAUCAAAAUUAGAUUUAUCCAUAAUCGAAUUGGAUUGAGAUUAUCUAACGUAACCAAUGCCACAUUUAUUAAAAGUAUAUAAUCAUGUUUUAAAGUAGAAAAAAAUGAUUUUACAAAACACACAAGUUUUUAUAAGAGAAGAUUAGAAAGGAACAUAGCCUUUUGAAGUUGUAAUUUGUGAUGGGAAAGAAACGAUAAAACUUUGAUUUAAUUCUCUAAAAAUUAUAAAGAUAUAAGUUCCUGAAAUAGUAAAAUUGCAUUUUAACUAUCGUAAAAUUAUACAAUUUAAUCUCUCCAAAAUGAAAUUUUCCUAACUUCAUCCCUAAUUGACAAUACUAAUUUAAAUUUACUCCUAAGUCGUAUUUUAGAUCCGUCACUAUGCACACAAAAUUUUCAUCACCCAAGCUUCGGGUAGUUGAAAGCUCCUCCUUUGCAUCUUUGUUUUGAUUUGUAAGACACUUGCAAGUAUAACUAUGCCAUUUUGGAAGGACAAAACCUUAACAAUAAAGCAAAGAAGCAUUUAAUACAUUAAUUUUAUUCUUUUGGUUACAGCAAUGUUUAAUUUUUAAGAGUUAUUAAAAGUCUUUAUUUGCAACCCAAUGGUUAUCUGAAAUCGAAUUAAAUUUCUUUUUAUUUCAUAUAUAAUUAAUUUUAAUUUUUUAUUAUAGAAAUAAAUAUUAUUUGUUUAAAAUGGUAUAAAUAACGUAAAAAUUCUUGUAAAAUCAUUAAUUUUUUUGCAAAUAUUUAUUAAAAGGGCUUUCAAAUUUGUCAAAUAAUAUUAAAAAAAAGCAUAAAACAAAGUCAAUUUUGUUAAAAUAAGUCUAAAAAAUAUAAAAUAAAAAAUUAAUAUGAAAAAAUUAACAACUCUUCAUAAAUUCUAUUUAUGCUUAAAUAAGUCUAUUAGAAAGGGCAUGCCGUUUUAGCAAUGAAAAUAUAUUUUUAAAUAAUUUCAGAGUUUUUCUUCAAUUAUCUUAAAUUUUUACCCAUAUAUCAUAGGGGUUAUUAAGCUUUAUUGAAAACAAAUAUUUAGAUGGAUCUUAUAAACAUCCAUCUGUGACACUCAUAUACUUGUAUGGAUAUAAUUUUUUUUUUAAAUAUUCAUAUCAAUUAUUAAUUAUUUUUUAUAUCCUAUAAUUACUUCCUAAUUCAAUCUUAAUAUUCAAAGCAAUGGGUAUGAGGAGAAGCUUCGAGUUGAAAUUAAUACAAAAAAAGUAAAAGCAUAUACAGAAAAAAAAAUUCUAUUUAUGAAAAAUUUAACAUGUGGGUUGACUCAAUAGCUUUCAAAAAGCCAAACAAAAUUAAACUCUUGGUGGGAAAAAAGGGGGAAAAUAGAAAAUUGGAAGAAUAAAACCCCAAACUUUUAAAAGUAAAUACUUUUUUGGGAGGGAAAAGAUUUGAUUUUUUUUUUGUUCAAUUGCUAGAAUCUGGUUAGUGAGUUUCCCUUUUCUCUGUUUCCAAACUUUCAAUUAUUUAUCUAUUUAUGUAAGAAGGUUGCAGUUUAUAAGAAGUUAAUCCCAAAGCUUUGAUGGACAAAAGAAAACAUGUGUGAAACUAUCAAAGAUUCCAUUGACAGUAAACAAAAAUGGAUUUGCUUUCACGUAUCAACUUACCUAGCUACCAUAAUAUUAAUGCAAAUUCCUUUCUCAAACAAUGCUUUGAGUCUCAAAAUUAUAAUGUAGAAUUGGUUAGCUGGUAUCUUCAUGCAUCAAGAUAUCCUUAUUGGCAGGUUUAUCCAUGUGAAGAAGGAUUACGAUAAAAUAUUCUUAUUUGCAGGGCUAACCACUACCAAAUUUACUGGCAAAAAUAAAGUAGAUUAGUUUUUCAAGAAAAUCGGUCAAUUUUAAUUUUUAUGCAAAUCAUUGGACACCAUCAAUAAAAAUUAAUAAUUAUUUAAAGAGAUAUUGUCAUAUUUAUGAAAAGGGUUUUCAAAUUUAUCAAAUAAUAUUAAAAAAAAUGCACAAAACAAAGUUAAUUUUGUCAAAAUAAGUCUAAAAAUUCAAAACCAAAAAUUAAUAUGAAAAAAUCGAGAACCGAACUAUGAUGGACAGUUUAAAAACUCUAAAACCCCCGACUGUAUAGUAAUACUCUAUUUAUUUAUAGAGAGAAGAAGACGCACCUACGUAUUACUAAAAUAUUUGAAUUCAACAUUAUAAUCAUGUCACAAAAAAUAAAAUUAUAAUGGACUUGAAUUUAACAAAAAAUUUAACGAAGCUAACGCUCCUAUAAAUUUAUGUCAGAAUUUUAAUUAGAAUAAAAUAUUUAAACUAACUAAUGACAUUAUAAACGUUGAAGCACCAAACUAUAUAAAAAAGAUCAAAUAUAAAGUUUAAAUCUCAAAUUUUAACAUAGUAUAGAGACUAAAAUUGAAAUUUAUCUAUUAAUGUAUAAAGGUUGCACUUUACAAGCACUUAAGUGUUUGAUGAAAAGGAUAUAAAUUAAUUAUAUAAUAUAAACUACCAUGCCACAAUAAUUAUAUAAUAUACAAAUUCAUUAUACCCAUGCAGACUUCAUUUAUGCAUACAACGUAAUCUUAAAACUUAAAGUUGAAUAUAAUUAUUGUAACUUAACGUGGAUUGAAUGCAAAACUUAGGGUGGGUUUGGAUGGGCGAUUGGGUGCGGUGCGGUGCGUUUAGCCUACAUUUUGUCUCACGCUACAGUGUUGCUACAGUAUUUAAUCUCACCGCCACCGUUGUUUUUACAUUAACCGCAGGUAAACGCACUGCCCAUCCAAACUCACCCUAAGUAUAUCUUUAUAUUUAUUAGUGUUCAUCUAUUGCUUUCAAUAAACCACAUGUACAUAUUGAUUAUGACAUUCUAAAAUAAACACAACAUUUUAACAUAACUCUUAUAAUACAUUCUUUCAACUCUAACAUAUCAUAUCAUAUCAUUACAUUAAUUACACAUAAAAUAUUCUUUUACACAUAAUCUGCCAAAAUAUUAUUUGUUGUUAUCAUCAUACCGUAAAAUGAACCGGACUACAAAUUCAAUGCAUUUAGGGAAUAUUAUUUGAGAAAUGUCUUAGUUAUGCUGAAUAUUGCAUUCAAGAAAUGGAAACUCAAGUGAAGUAGAUGUGGGUUAUGGUGUUUAUUGUGAGUAUUAAGCAUUGCAGGGUUCUAUGGAACUCAAUAGCUUUCAAAAAGUCGAACAAAAUUAAAUUGUUAGUGGGGAUUGAAACUCAAUCGAUAAAAAAAGAAAAAGAAGAGAAAAUUGAAAAUUGAAAAUUGAAAAUUGGAAGAAUAAACAAUUAAUGUAAAUAGAAAUCUGAUUGGUGAGUUUUCAUUUUUGUUUUAUGAAAUUUCUCUUUUCUUUGUUUCCAAUCUUUCAAUUGUUUAUCUAUUUAUGUAUGAAGGUUGCAGUUUAUAAGAUCUCAAAUGUUUGAUAAAAAGAAUUUAAAUUAAUCCCAAAGCUUUAAUGUGCAAAAGAAAACAUGCCAAAAUUGUCAAAGAUUCCAUUGACAACAAACAAAAAUGGAUUUGCUUUCACAUAUCAACUUACCCACCAUAAUAUUAAUGCAAAUUCCUUUAUCAAAACAAUGCUUUGAGUCUCCAAAUUAUAAUGUAAAAUUGGUUAGCUGGUGUUUUCAAGCAUCAAAAUAUAUCUAUUUUUGUUGUGAUUCACACCAGCUGACAGAAAGAUUAGCUUAGCAAGAUUCCUUGCUUUGUUGAGUAAAUUGAAAUUAUUGAAGGUGUUCAAGGUCAAAUAUUAACCUAAAUGUUACAAUAUUUAACGCAAAAGGAAUACCAUAAGUGAUUGUUGCAUAUCAUACCAUAGAUAAAAAGGAAUAAAACGGUGGGACAACCAACAAAGUCAAGACUUGAUUCAUUUAUCAAAUCCUUGCUAUCUCAGCUCAGCCAUCAAAAUGUAACGUAGUAGUUUAUACUUGUGAGUUUGGUUUCUCAAGAAUUGAAUUUAUUAUCAAAAUUCAACAUUUCCAAUAAUUAUCAAAAUACCGGUGAGCUCCAGUUUCCGAGCGUUGCUGCGCUAUAAUAGAGAAAAAGCUUAGCAAUCCAGACUGUCUCUGUGCUAUUUUGCAAACUCGUAUGCUGGAGUGAGAAAUGAAAUCCAAGUGUAGCCAGUUUUCUCAAUUCAUAUUUGAUCUUUAAGAUAUCAUCCCUAUUAUUUAGGGAUGGCAAAACUCAAACCAUCAUUCAGAAUAGAGAGGAUUUUCUUUUGAAAGUGAAUGCAGAUUGAAUUUUAUAGUAGUUAAAGCAAUUAACACACAAGCUUGUAACACAAGGUAACUUGAAAAAAGUACCAUAAUUUCACUCACUCGAACGAAAUGGGAUCAUGGCAACAUGGAUUUGUGGCUGAUUCGAUGCUCGUGUUGUGUUGUGGUGUUCAUCGGAUCUUCAUCUGUUUAAGAAUCUUAACCAUCAGGUGAGACCUGUUUUGGAUUAAGUUAUAAAAAUUAUGCCACUUACAGCAAUUAUUUUAAUUAGUUAAUGACAACCUUAAACAUCAAAUCCUCUUCGACUUGCAAUUUUUUUCCGCAGAAAACAAUAUCAACAUCUAAGCAAUCUUAUAGAUAUCUAACCAACAAAAACCAAAUAUAAACUGAACAAUUCUCCAAAUACAGAAACCAGGAAAUAGUUAACAUCUCAAACAUAUAACCCAAACAAUAACAGCAAUAUUAAGAAGCUCACAACAAAAAAUUCCUAUUACAUCUUACACAUAUAUGUUCUAGCUCCGCAUCCCUCUUCAUAUUCAGUAUCCAUUUCAUGCCUUCUUCAUAUUUAGUAUUCAUUUGAUGCAUCUCUCGCUGGUUGACGUAUUACAUGUUUCUCAAUAUUCUCUUGUAUUCCAUUGAUACGAACCAGGCUCUCUAAAUAUGCAUGAAGGGAGAUGGUGAACCGAAAAUGAUCUAGAUAAGUAUUAAUCUGAAGCUCCUUAAGCUCUUGGGUGGAGGCGUCAAAUAGGAGUACUUCAUCAUUUGUGUCUCUAAGAAACAAGUCACCAUUUUUCCCAAAUCCCAAUGGGUGUACAACUCCAGAAAUGGAUUUAAUAUUGAAUUGUUUAGUCCACACUCCUUCACUUGUAACCCAUAAAUCAAAAGACGUGUCAAUUCCUUCCGUUGGGUAAACAAUAGCACCAAGUGAUCCAUUAAACACCAAUAGAUUAACAUAGUAUUCUGGGAAAGACCCAACGAAUUCUGGGAUAGGUAAAAUUGAGAACUUCUCAUUCCCCAUGUCAAAUGAAAGAAUUAGUCCUCUAAAAUCAAGAUAUGCCCGUCUCUGUUUUCAUAUAGCAAAUUCCGUCUACAUAAUUAUUUCCCAAAGUUGUUCCAGUUGGUUUAUAAUCAGGACAUGGAAUUUCCUUCCAGGAAUUACUUCUAAGAGAAUACAACUCAACUUGGUACAUAAAAUGAGAAUGUGGAUAUUGUUCUUCACUAUUAACAAAAGUAAGAGUAACAAAUCGUAUGACUUUGUAGUCAUCAGUUUUAGAAUCAAACCCAAAAGAAGCGUGGUUAAAUUCAACGUGAUCUAAAGUAAGGUAGGUUUCUUCGAAUGGGGAAAAAUAUGGAGGGCGUUGGAUUGAAGAUGGUGGAAGGAUUUUAAACUCUCUGGUUGAUGGGUUCCAAAUGGCAGCCUUAUCCUUUGAAGGAUCAAGUAAACACAACAAUCCAUGACAAGCACCAUAAACAGAGGGGCGAUCAUUCUUAAAAAAGGGCAAGUGAAUGUUUUGUUUUACUAUAUAAUUUUGAUAUUUUUCAUUUGAAAGUUGAGAGAAAUAACGUUGGAAGGUGUUACCAUCACAGCGACUAAGCAGUAGAUUAAGGUUGUUGUUUUCAAGGUUGUUGUGAUAAUUAUUGGAAAUGAAAUGAGGAGUUUGAAAAGAAGAACACCAAUACUUACAAACACAGUUGAAGCGAGUAAGGGAUUUAACUGGCAGCUUUGACAGAAUUUCCAUAACCAAAGCUUCUGGCAAUUCAAACCUUGGCCUCUGCAUCUUGCUAUUUUGAUUUUCUUUGUAAUUGGGUAAGAGGAAUGAAUAAAAUGGGAGUUGGUAGGUGUCAUCUAUGGUCCAAACCUUAACCAGGAAGCAAAGAAGCAUAAAAGGUAAGCAUUUGAUAGGUUAUAAUAAUUAUAUGGAAUUUAGGAAAAUUUACUUAUUUGCAUUUGUAUCCAUGUGAGGAAGGAUUAAGAUCAAAUAUAAUAUAAUACGUACUUUUUGAAUUUAAUCCCCAAUUUUUAAAAGAAUAAAUUUAAAGGAUAUCACAUUUAUUUACUUUUUGUAUAUUUGAAAUUUAAUACUUAAUUUUUAUUUUAAAGAAUUCAAUCUCUCUAUUUUUUAAAAGCCAAAAACAGUGAUGUAGUUUUUUUUUUCACACGGCAAUCAAAAAAAAAAAUUUAAAGGUAGUUUUUUUUUCUCGUUUCUGCUCUUUUUCUUUUUUUCGUCUGUUCUAUUUUACUUGCGUUUUUUUUUUUGAGUUUUUUCUUUUCUUCUUUCGACAUACAUAUAUCUACAUUUUUUUAAAAAAAAGAACAGUUUAUAUAUAUACAUACACAAAAAAAUAAAAAUAAAAAAACUCACCUUUGAACUUUCCGGACUCGGCUACGUCGGCCGGUGCGGCGGAGACAAGGCGGCCCUUUGGCCGGAAUCUGGAUUUCAUCCAGAGAAAAGAGACCCCCUUUUCCCUUUUUUUGGUUUCUUUACAGACUGCCGGGAAUGAUUUCUUUUCCUCAAAAGUUGUCUUUUAUAGCCCCCCCCCCAACACCCCAGCAAAACGAUGUCGUUUUGGUUGGCGUACUUGAGCAAGAAACGACGUCGUUUUGGCCUUAGGAUCCGCUUGUGACCCGACCCGCAAAGAGGAUCCGCGUGUCACCAUUUAGGGGGAUAUCUUCACAAUUGGUGCCUCCACUUUUGUCUCGCUUUCAAUGUAGUUUUUUCAUAUAUUUUUAAUUUUGGCUACAUAAUUUUUCGUCUGUUUUAAUUUGGUCCCCAGACCAUGCACACGCGCCUCACUAGAACGAUGCCGUUUGGUCAGUUAGGGAGUAUUUCCGUUUUUGCUCCUCUUCCUUUCACGCGUGUUGUGAUUUAGUCCUUUUUGUGCUUUUUAUUGUUAAUUUCGACCCUAAAACCUUGUUUAUUUUCAAUUUAAUCCUUAAUCUGCUAUUUUAGUUAUUUUUCCUGUUAAAUUAAUUAUUUUAACAUUAUUAAAACUAUUAUAUUGCAUAAUUAUUAUUUAUUAUUAAUAUUAUUAUCCUUAUCUCGUUUGUACCUUUUUAUUCUAAAAUUUUGUUAUAUAUAUAUAUACAUAUCCGCAUAUGCUUUUCUAAUAUAUAUAUGUAUAUUUUUAAGGUUAUUAUAAAUAUACUUUUAUAUUUCAUUUUUUAUACUUAUAUCUAUAUCCACGUAUUUUAAUUUAUAUACAUAUAGAUUUUAUAUAUACUUAUUAUAAUUUUUUUAUUGUCAUAAAUACAUACACAUGUACACAUACUUUUAUAUGUUCUUCUAUAUUCCAUAAUUCUUAUAUACAUCCAUAUACAUAUGUAUAUUUUAAUCUACAUACAUAUAUGUAUAUAUACACAUACGACAUAUAUUUCUAUUUUAUAAUUUUAAAAUAAAUAUAUAUAUAUCUAUAUAUUCUUCUUAUUUUUAUAUACACAUGCAUAUAUUUUAUAUUUCCUUUAUUGUUUCGUUGUUUCGCGUAAUGUCAACCUUUUUAUGCCUAUUUUAUUUUAAAAGCAUUUUAAUUCGACUCUUUUAUUUACUAUUUAUCUUACAUUAAUUAAUUUGUCUCUGUAUUUAUUUUGCUACGUACAAAAUCGUGCUACAUUUUACCCGAUUCAUUAAAAAUGAUGUUUUAAACAAGCAAUAUUCAUAUUUUGAAAUUCGAAAAGUCGUUCCCUAACUUACGGGGUUUCGACUUUCUAAAAAAAAUCCAAAUACCGAACAUUUUUAAGCAUAAAUUUUAAAUAAUCUCAAGAAUUACUAAAAGAUCGUGUUCUAACUUAGGGAAUAUGAUUUUUUUCUAAAACCGAUAUAGUCAAACAUCUUUUAAAAUAAAUUUUUCGGCGUUUAUUUGUGCAUCAAGAAUUUAAGACAUUGUGUCCUAAUUCACGGGACGCGAUUCAUUUUCUCGAUUAACGUAAAAUAUGUCCAUUUGUCAACUUUUUAAUAUUUUAACAAGGGAUCGUAUUUUAAAUCUCUUUAAAGUUUUCAAUUUUUGACGAGACACUAAUUAAUCAACUAAGUACCAAUUUUGGGCGCGGGGGUGCUAAUUAGAGGUGAUCAUGGGUUGGGCAGUCCGGCCCGGCCCGAUGGCCCACCCAAAAUAUGAGAGGGUUUGGGUAAAAAUAUAGGCCCGAAAUAUGGGUUUGGGCAAAAAAUGAGGCCCGUUGGCAAAACUUUUUUGGUCCAGGCCUGGCCCGAAUAUAUAAUAAAUAUAUAUUUUUAUUUUUAAAAUACAUUUUCCAUUUCCCCAUUUCCCCAUUUCCCAUUAGACAUUUAGUAUUUAUAUAAUAAAUAUAUAUUUUUUAUUUUUUAAUUUUAAAGUAUUUUUAAAAUACUUCUUUUAUUUUUUAUUUUUAAGAUACAAUUUUGUUGUUUAUUAAAAAAAGGGUCGGGCUCGGGCUUAGGAUUUUUUCUCGGGCCAGGCUUGGACAAAAUUUCAGGCCCAUAUUUUGGGCUAGGCCGGGCCCAGGCCUAGGACGCGGGCCAAAAAAAAAUUUAGGCCUGGCCCAGCCCAUGAUCACCUUUAGUGCUAAUCCUUCCUUGUACGUAACCGACGCCCGAACUCGUGCUUAUGUGGCACGGCACAUAGGCUACUUUGUUGACCUAUGGUUUGACCGACGAUCAACUCACAUUUUCUGUUAAAAUUGGGCUAAUUUAUUAAAAAAUUGUACCGUUAACGGUGUCAAUCCAAAAAAAAAAAGGUUAAUGGCUCAAACCCAAAAACUCAAAAAAUUGAGUGUUUUUUCGACAAUUAUGCGAAAUUCUUUGUUAAAUUUGUUGGUUUGAUAUUCUUUCAAAAGUACAUUAUAAUGCCUUUUUUUUUAACCCAAACCCAAACUUUUGAAAUCAAAUACUAUUUUGAGAGGGAAAAUAUUUGAUUUUUUUUUUUGUUCAAUUGCUUGAAUCUGGUUGGAUAGUUUCUAUUUUCGUUUUAUUAAAUUUCCUUUUUCUCUGUUUGAAGGCGACUUUAAAGAAAAGAGUAACAUGCGAAGGAAUUGCAUUGGACUUUGCAAAGAUCAUAAAACACACAUUAAAAAUAUGUAUUAUUAGUUCUGUUGGACUUAAAGAUUUUGGGUUGUAACACUAGUAGAAAUUAUAUAAAGAAAGAUAUUGAAUGUUAUGGGAUUGGGUUUGGGUUAUUUUAAAUCUAUAUUCAGAUUAAUGUUAUUUUAAAAUCGAAUAAUUUUGAGUUUAAAUCAUUCAAAGUUGUUGAUCGGAUUUUAUAAAGAUAAAAAAACAUAUUGAAAAUAUGUAAUAUUAAUUGGAUUAUUUUAAACUAUGACAUAAAUACUUGAGUCUCAAAAUAAACACUAGCUCAAUAAAACGCAUAUGAUAAUUUAGAGUACUGUAAUAAAAUACAUAUUGAUAAUUCAGAUAUUACAUUAAACAUUUUUAAACAUACAUGAGACAAUUGUGGUAAAGCUGGCUAUGGUAAUUUUAUGGUAUCGGAUCCAUUACUGCAUAGGCCGUAAAAUAAGUUGGAACAAUUUUGGGGAGUUCCAAAGGUAUGGGAUGGCCCCGGUCUUCCAUAACAAAUAAACAUCUCCCCGAGUAGUAGAACUCUAGUUCUUCUGUGUUUACUGCAUGAAAUUUGUGGAGAUGCUCCUAUAAGUCGGAAAACUAUGUCCGCAACUUGUCGGACCGUAUAGGUGGAUCUAGGUGUGAGUCCCAUAGCUAAAUCCCAAAAUUCAUUAAAACAAAUAAGAGACAAUAAAGUAUAUUAAACACAAAUCUGAAUGUGAAGAAAAAAUAAAAACAAUUUAUUCGAUAUACCCGGAUCUAAAUUUGUCCUAAGUUGUAUGGCCGAUUGGAAGUAUGCCAGAGGAUAUGGUGCAAAGUCGGAACAUGUGCCAUGUUUUGUCCAUUCGUUGUGCAAAAAGCUAAUGUCUAACUUUCCCAAUAUCAAGUUUGGCCAUAGUCGGGGCAAGUCUACCCAAAGAACUGGAUCACUUUUCAGCAAACUCUUUGAAAUUAAAAACAAAAAUCUGGUUAGAUGACAGAUAAUUUACUUAAUAGUUUUAGGCGAAGAAUGUACGUAUGCGUACUUCGAGUUUCUUCUUAUCUAGAUUAGGAUUCGGAUUGUUGCAAAGAUUACUUGGACCAUACUGGGUCACCGGCUUGUCAUUAGCAUCUUGUGCCCAAAUUCCAUGUAUUGUAAAUUCUGUUGGGAUAGGGGUUUUACAUCUCGAAGUAGAGCUGCAAACUGAUGGAGGCCAUUGAAGUGCCAGCUUGUAGAAGUGCGGAAUUGCUGGUUGCUGAGGUACUGCAAAUGCUACCCAUAAUGAAAAAUUGAUACAAUGCAUUUUUACAAAUUUACAAAUAAAAAGAGAACUACUCCAUAUAUAAAUAUUACAUGCAUGGAUGAUUGGGCUGAGAUUGGAUGAUUGUGCUUUGCGAGUAGCUGGUUUAUGAUCUCCUUUAUAAUCUUGGCGCACAUAUUUCACAAAAUUUUCAAAGUCCUGCAACCAUGAAAUAAAUAUUGAGGUUACUUAUCACAAAGUGUUACUUCACAAUCACACCAAGAGAGAAAUAAACAAACUCACUUGUCUGAGUGGCUGAUUAUUCACCACCACCCAUGGCACAUCUUCUUGAGGUGGCUUCAGAUGUGCAGUCUCGUUAGCAUAUUGCAGCAGAAGCUGCAUUUCAUUAAUUUGGAAAAUCAAUGUUAGAAAAAGCUAAGAAGUGUUAAUUAAAUACUAAGACAUGCAGCCAACCUUAUAUCCAAAUCCAGUAGUAUAGCAUUUGUUGAUUAUCUCCUCAUUCAAUCUCAGCUUUUCACUGCAAUUUUUCCACAGUGCUUCAACGGGCCCCCCCUUUAAGCUUUGUUGCUCUGUGCAGCGAAUGAAUUCCAAGUGCUCUUUCUGCACCACAGUAGAGUAAUUAAACACGAGUUGGAGAUGAGUACAAAUACUUAUGGCUCAUAGCAGUUACUGCAUCAGGCCAUAAAUGGAUGACACAACUAUGUAUAGUGUUUAAGUGACGUUCUUCUUCUCCAUGUUGCACAUUAUCGCAAAAACUAUAAUUAGUUAUAACACCAAAAAGAACUAGAACUUCAUUAGUUAAUAAUGAUAAUACAUUAAAAUGAAGAACGGAGUAGUAAACCUGGCAAUGGAUUUCAGCAUUGCCCCAAGGGACCAAUCUUAGAUUGGUAAUGGUAUGGAGGUCAGUGCGGAAGACCUUGACUAGGCUAUUGGAGAUAAGCGAGAAUAUUGCAAGAGCAGCCAGAAUAUAGAAGAUUAAUGGUUGAAGAUAAGCCAUUGUUUCAGUGGUAGCUUUUGCACAAUGCUAGACCUCCAUUGUGCAAGGCUUCUUAUAGUUGAGAAUUGGGAUGCUGAGUAUUGCUUUCUGUCACGUUCAGAAACCAUGAGACAAAUUUACAAAGUUAUCAUCUUUAAAAAAACAAUUAUACACCACUUUAAAAAAAAAUUAUUUACAUGAAAGCUUGUUUAUCUAUUUAUGUAUGAAUAUUGUCUAAACAUGAAAGGAGAAAUCUUAUUAGAUAAUAGAGUUUUAUAAUAACUUAUAAUUUAAAUUAAGUUAUUAACGUAUUUACUGAAUCAUUGGCCUUCUAAAAUGCUUUUAGAUAUCAAAUCCUCUUCGACUUGCAAUUUUUUUCUGCAGAAAACAAUAUCAACAUCUAAGCAAUCUUAUAGAUAUCUAAGCAACAAAAACCAAACAUAAACUGAACAAUUCUCCAAAUACAGAAACCAGGAAAUAGUUAACAUCUCAAACAUAUAACCCAAACAAUUAUAGCAAUAUUAAGAAGCUCACAACAAAAAAUUCCUAUUACAUCUUACACAUAUAUGUUCCAGCUCCACAUCCCUCUUCAUAUUCAGUAUCCAUUUCAUGCCUUCUUCAUAUUUAGUAUUCAUUUGAUGCAUCUCUCGCUGGUUGACGUAUUACAUGUUUCUCAAUAUUCUCUUGUAUUCCAUUGAUACGAACCAGGCUCUCUAAAUAAGCAUGAAGGGAGAUGGUGAACCGAAAAUGAUCUAGGUAAGUAUUAAUCUCAAGCUCCUUAAGCUCUUGGGUGGAGGCGUCAAAUAGGAGUACUUCAUCAUUUGUGUCUGUAAGAAACAAGUCACCAUUUUUUCCAAAUCCCAAUGGGUGUACAACUCCAGAAAUGGAUUGUUUAGUCCACACUCCUUCACUUGUAACCCAUAAAUCAAAAGACGUGUCAAUUCUUUCCGUUGGGUAAACAAUAGCACCAAGUGAUCCAUUAAACACCAACAGAUUAACAUAGUAUUCUGGGAAAGACCCAACGAAUUCUGGGAUAGGUAAAAUUGAGAACUUCUCAUUCCCCAUGUCAAAUGAAAGAAUUAGUCCUCUAAAAUCAAGAUAUGCCCGUCUCUGUUUUCAUAUAGCAAAUUCCGUCUACAUAAUUAUUUCCCAAAGUUGUUCCAGUUGGUUUAUAAUCAGGACAUGGAAUUUCCUUCCAGGAAUUACUUCUAAGAGAAUACAACUCAACUUGGUACAUAAAAUGAGAAUGUGGAUAUUGUUCUUCACUAUUAACAAAAGUAAGAGUAACAAAUCGUAUGACUUUGUAGUCAUCAGUUUUAGAAUCAAACCCAAAAGAAGCGUGGUUAAAUUCAACGUGAUCUAAAGUAAGGUAGGUUUCUUCGAAUGGGGAAAAAUAUGGAGGGCGUUGGAUUGAAGAUGGUGGAAGGAUUUUAAACUCUCUGGUUGAUGGGUUCCAAAUGGCAGCCUUAUCCUUUGAAGGAUCAAGUAAACACAACAAUCCAUGACAAGCACCAUAAACAGAGGGGCGAUCAUUCUUAAAAAAGGGCAAGUGAAUGUUUUGUUUUACUAUAUAAUUUUGAUAUUUUUCAUUUGAAAGUUGAGAGAAAUAACGUUGGAAGGUGUUACCAUCACAGCGACUAAGCAGUAGAUUAAGGUUGUUGUUUUCAAGGUUGUUGUGAUAAUUAUUGGAAAUGAAAUGAGGAGUUUGAAAAGAAGAACACCAAUACUUACAAACACAGUUGAAGCGAGUAAGGGAUUUAACUGGAAGCUUUGACAGAAUUCCCAUAACCAAAGCUUCUGGCAAUUCAAAUCUUGGCCUCUGCAUCUUGCUAUUUUGAUUUUCUUUGUAAUUGGGUAAGAGGAAUGAAUAAGCAAGCAAAAUGGGAGUUGGUAUGGUCCAAACCUUAACCAGGAAGCAAAGAAGCAUAAAAGGUAAGCAUUUGAUAGGUUAUAAAAAUUAUAUGGAAUUUAGGAAAAUUUACUUAUUUGCAUUUGUAUCCAUGUGAGGAAGGAUUAAGAUCAAAUAUAAUAUAAUACAUACUUUUUGAAUUUAAUCCCCAAUUUUUAAAAGAUUAAAUUUAAAGGAUAUCAC